UUACUUUAUCUCCAUAAAGGUAAGUGACCAAGUCAUGGGUUCGAGGUGAUCGAGAUAGCUUCUCCAUCUCUAUAGUCUUUUCCGAUAAAUAAAUUCUAUUAUUUGCUAUAAUGAGGUUUCCACCAAAUGGACUUGUGGUGUUCAAUCUCUUUAUGCAUGUUAUGUGAUCAGUUUUAUAGGAGUUCAUCGAAUCUAUGUAACUGAUAUGUGCAAAUCGACUGUGCAUACUCAAAUUCAUGUUUUCUUGACUGCUUUCUAAUGUCAUUAUAUACUUCACGGUCAAUUUUCUUUUCAUAAUCUUAUAACUACUUGUAUUGCAUUUCCUCCGUCCAAAAGUAUAGGGAUUUCUAAAGUUCUUCACGGUGAUUGAUUUGUUGAAACGAGGAAGUAAGUGAAGAAGUUGCUAUAUUCUACGAUAAAUAUUCAACGCUAAAAGUUUCUAUAUUUUGAAAUGGAGGAAGUAUUUUGGAUGUAAAAACAUGAAAGGGGAUAUCCACUCAAUGGACCAGAAUCCAUCUUAUGGUGGUCAAUGAACCUAUCUAUAUGUAAUUACUAAACUGCUCAAAUUGCUUCUGCGGUCUUUUUUUUUGUUGUUUUUUUUUCCUAACUAAUGAAAAUGAGGAACCGGAGUGCAUACCGUCUGGUUCUAAAGAAAGCAAAGUGACUGCAGCCAUUGGAGACAAAUAAGCUCGUAAUAUCUAAGGAAAAAAAAAAGAAAAGCACUACUCAUGUAUUGCUAAAAUUUACUUAGACCAUGGAGCAAGCAGCUUCCUCAUUGACCACGUACACGAAAUGAAUGUGGUAACUGGUAAUCCACGAAUUUGACGACGCACAGCAAUUAUUAAUAGAAAAACAAAUAUGCUUACCUCAUAAUCUUUUCGACACAUGUUGGGAGCUCUGACCAACCAUACAUAUCAGAGUUUAAAAGAAUCACACAUUUCAUCUCAGAGAUGUCAAUAAUUUAGUAACCCAAUUAACCCUCCACCUUGAUUGAGAGGGCAUCAAACCUUUCCAUGUAGCUAUGGAAAGGAAAAAAAAACAUAGUUAAUACCUGUUUGGAACGAGAGAAACUUUCUCGAUUCCGACAGAAAAUAAACUGGUUCCUACCAAAUUACUACAGAAAGGAAAAAAGGACAUCAAAUUCCUGUGUUACCUGUAAACUGAGUCAUGUCCACACUCAAAUGCUCAAUGCAUGUUGGUUGAAACUUGAAAACAAACCUGUUUCAAAGAGAACCAGUGUAAACUAGAAGAUCACACUGAUUGACAAUUUCACUGUUACAGCAUCCUACAAGAUCAAUAUUGCAAGCAAUUCUCCCAGCAUUAGACCAAAACAUUAAACAUUAAACAUUAAACGACGCAUGAGAACGACCUGGUGAAAUUCUUCAGCAUUUUUCACUUCAAUUGGAGCCUGUUCACAAAAUUGCACCCACAGGUACACAAUAUAGCGACAUUUCGCUACCACUGUUCCCCAGACAAAACCAAUAUUCAACCACCUGAGUACUUAACUCGAUCCCUUAAACUUCCGACGACGACAAGUUGUUUAACUUUAAUUAGGUAUAACCUAAAUGAGGUGAAGCAAAAAAAAAAAAGAUGACAGGUUCAACUUCCUAAAUGAUUCUGUUUGAUCAGGAAAAAAGAAAAGGUGAUUCAGGUCCCCUGCUGCUCAUCAUCGCUAAGCAUCUCCGCAGCAGCGAGUAUCAUGUCCACCAUUUCAUAUCUCAUGCCUUGCAGCCCAGGAUCAUCCUUCCUAUGGAGUUUCAGCAUCCUUUUCUCAUGCCGCGCCAUCCCCUCCUUUGCUCUCUCUAUCGCACAUGAUGAGCAGUACCAUUUCCCCUUGGGUAUUGAAGUUCGACGGGGUGUUAUGCAGUAGAGAUGAUAAGCUUCAUCACAGCCGUCACACAGAAUGGUCAGGUCAUCAUCUCUGUCAGAAUGGCAAACUCGGCAAAGGCACGAUGGGCAGUACCAGCAGGGCUUGUCCAGCUGCUUGUCACUAGCGAUCUGUGUAGCCUUCAGGCAAGAAAUGUGGUAGUACUUAUAUAGACAAUGGGUGUGACCACAUACCAAGAAUCUCUUGUCCUUCUCCUCGGGAUUUCCACACAUCUUGCAUAAGCCCCUGACAUCAAUAUCUGACAAUUCCACAUCCUCAACAGGCUCUGCACUGGGAAUCACAAUUGCUCUGGAGUUAUCAGCAGGUGCCCUUUCACUGGCAGUUUCCUCACACCUUGGAGGCCUGCAAAACUCAAGGUCCUUGCAUGCGACGCAAUGUCCGUGCAAACGAUUUGGUUCAUAAUGGACCAAGGCCAUGCCAACUUCAGCUGAUUCGUUACAGAUGGUGCUGCAGGUUUUACAACACCAGCUUCCAGUUGAAGUGGAUGGCACAGGAGGUUCAAUGCAUGAGACGUGGAAUGCUAGCAUGCAUCUCUUGCAUGUGAGGAUGCUAUCAAUUUUCGCUACCUUGCCACAUUCAUUGCAGUUAGUACCGUUUUGUUCAUCGCAAACAUCCAUUGGAUCUGGUUGAUCCAACUGGUUGAAGCCUUGUGAGGUUGAAAGUACCAAUGCAUUUGACUUGACCAUGUUCAUGGGUUCCAAAUUGGUCGCCGCAGCUCCCUAUAUGUUGGUACAAUAAUAUUGAGCAAAAGGCAGGCAAGGCAUGACAUAAACAGAAAAGGCAAAGAAAUAGCCUAGCAACAGAAUACUCACCUUCAGAUUCUCUUCACUAUCAUCUGAUCCCCUCUCUCUUUCAACCUAACGAAUGUAAUACAAGAUUGUAGUGUCAAGAAUAAUGUCAGAUGAACUAUUUACAGAGAAUAUGAAUCCAAAAUUCAACGCAAUUCUAAUUCUAAUUGAAACAUAAAAAAAAAACUAUAGGAGAUUUCAAAAGGAAAGAAAAAAUAUAGAACAUGAGAGCUAUAAAAGAUCUAGCCAUAAAGUACUUGCCUGCUUUGUGUAGGACGUUUCUGUGAGGCUUGAAAGAUUAUUUGCUAGGUCAAUGAUAUCUUGACCAGCCAUUUUAAGAUCUUCCCAUAACUGCAACCAUAUCAAAACUAUUUUAUUCACCAUUUAUCACUACGAAAAUGUUUUGAAAAUUAAUGAAAUGACAUGCAGCUCUCUUGACUUGUUCAAAAGAAAAAAAAAGGUUUAGAAAAUAGAUGCCUCGCAUGAUAAAAUGCAAACUCAGUUUUGGUAAAAAAAAAAAAAGCUGAUAAACACAUGACUGAAAUAAAAGGCAUCAUAUAUCUGAGAUACAAACAUAAGUCAGAGAUAACUGGAGUGGAGUAUAUUCUAAAGUAGUGGGGUAACCAUUUUCAAAUCAUGUUUGAAUAAUAAUGGUGCACGGCCAUAAUCUCCAUUUUUCAUCCUUGAGUCAAUCAUGGUAAAAUCAAAAUACUUAGUCCUUUGCUCAUCUUGAUGGACAGUUCUGCCAAGCACAUUGCACAAUAAGGCAAAAUUCUCUGACUUUAAAACAUCCACAAGAACACUCUGACACUUAGCAAUAUUCCCAUCACUUGACACUUUUCUGUUGGAAUCCAUUUCCACUUUGUCCCCAACCUGAUAGGAUAAAGAAAAAUAUUUUGAAGUCUGACAACAAAAUGCAGUAUCCUCUAAAUAGAUUAUUAGAGUUGUCGAUUUGCAGUGCUUCCAUGAUUCAAAGAACUACAGAAGAGAAUUGCAUGAAGAGAAUGGGGUUGAUACCUAAUGUUCCAUGCAACAAACAUGCAAUCAAGGAUUCCCACUAGCCAAUACAUAGUUUGCAGCAAAGAAAUACUGUGGGUUACCAACGGCAUAUUUGGUUAUUUUACUAGCCUUACAUAGCUUUUCUAGUGGGCAAGGAAAAACCUUGCUGGAGAGGAGAACCAAAUUGGCAUUCUAUGAAAGGAAAACCUUGCUGACCUUGUCUAAAACCAAAUCAAGGGAACAAAACAACCACCAACCUUACUAUGAAAGAAUGGGUAAGGAAGCCAAACAUGACAUAAAUACUAAUACAACACUAGAGGGAGAACCACUUCUUGGUGGGUGGUAGAGAUGGGGUGGUGUGGGUGCAUGGCGGUGCAUCUGAAUAGGCAUCUUCCUAGUAAAUUAUAAUCGCAAAAGAACGAAUAUUAGAGUAUAACAAAAAAUACUUACAGUUCCAAAUUCAGCAGAACCGUAAAGAAGUACAUCACGGAUGCAACUCUGAAUGCCAGGACCCUCUAGUGCACCUGGCAAAUGCAUCAGUCCAUCUAAAACAUAUCGCCAGUGACUCCAACAGUCAUAUCUUUCAGUUUGCUUCUCAGAUUUGUUUUUGCUACUAUAUAAUCCAUUUUCUUGAAGUCCCUGUACAAUUAAAUUUUUGAUGAAAAAAUAGUUUAUUCCAAAGUAUUGACCAUGUACACCAAAGAAAAUAUUGCAAAAGAGAGGCAUCAAUGUAACUCCUUUUUAUGUGUUUUAGUGACAAGAUAAGGCAGUUAAAUCAGUAUCAGACUGAGUUUACUAGGAUAUGCAAUGUUAAUUCUCACAUGAUUUUGUACAAGCAAAAUGUACAGGUAAAACUGAUAAAAAAAGUUCAAGUACUAAAAAACUCUGCUACAGCCAAGAAGAUGCUAUAAUUUGAAAUUUGUACAAACAUUUACAUGAAUCCUAGUCUAAGUCUGAAUACAGGGCAAAGUUCUCCAUCAGAAGAAUCGAAGCAUACAAAUUUCUACAAAACAGCAUGUAAUUCAUCAAUCUGUUAUGUGGUAAUUGUCCAGUUCCUAGUUCUGAACUUCUGACAAAAUGCAUGACAAGAAUAACAACAAGGACAGACCUGAUAAUUGUUGCUGUUCUGUGGAGGAUGAGUGGUAUUGCAUACUGUGUUCAAUGUGUUUGAUUGUCUUUCAGCUUGAUUAAAAUCUUCAGAAGAACCUUUUCCCUGCAUUACCUCAGCAAAAUUCUCUUGAUCAAACUGUAAACUCUCAGAAGAGCAUGGCAUGUUGCAACUGUCAAUAACAUCAAGAUUCAAUCUUCCUUCUUUCUGCUUCUCUCUUGAUAUCAUUUUAUCCCGAAUAGUUUUAGCAACAUCUUCUGGAACAUUUAGGCAUUGAGGACGAUUCUGCCACCCAACAAGAUGCCACUUCAAUCUAGUUAUGCCAUGAUAACCCUCUAAACUGCACCACUUGCACUUCCAAUGGCCCUUCUCUUUGUCAUGAAUAAGCGAAUGUUCCCAUGCAUUGUCCCUCAAUCUUGUUGGGUAAUUGGAAAGUACCUACAAUUUCAUACAGCGCACCUCUAAGUAUGAAGUUAAAUUGCAGCAUGAAUGUUGAAAGCGCCAUGUGUAACAUAGCACCGCAAACAUAAUGCAGUGCUCAUUUGAUGAAGUAAUUAUGGUACAAAUAAUGAAUAUAAAAGUAGUCAAAGAUAGUAUUUUAUUCAAAGAUAGUAUUUUAUUGAAGAGGCAAACUAAUAAAUGAAGAGAAACUUGGACAUGAAACACAUUGAAUAAGCUUGUAGAUUUGACUUAAAAAAAGGUUUCCUGUCCCAAUUUAUCAAGGAAGUCAGAUGUGACUCUUAAGGAAUCCCGUUUCCGAACUGAACAGGAAUGGAGGAUUUUUAUUGAUAUAGUGUAUUUACCACAAGUAGUAAAGACUAAAGUACAGCGGUAUGCAAAGUAUUUAAUGGAUGAGCAUAUGUCCCCAAGGGGAAAGAAGAAAGAAAUGGACUGUAAUGGAUGAUUGAAUGUUAUCAAUUGCUACCUUCUAGUUCUGCUAUUCAAAUAAGAGGAUACUGUAGGAGAGUAAAUUGCAUUCCAAAUGGAACAUUGCAGACUUUAUGUGAGAGCACCGAAAGGCAAGAUUUGAUUUGCAUACGUAAAAACAGAAGAUAAGAUCAAAUGUUUGUUUAUACUUUAGUUUGUGACAAAACUAAACGACAAAAGUAGCGCAUCACACUACGACACUAGUAAACUAUAGUGAAAUAGACUAUAUAAAAAUACACAUCUGCAAAACUUACUAGUAAGCAGAACAAGGCUAAGCAUUAAUGGUACUAGAUUAAUGCAUGUGCCAAAACAGGUAUUCAAAUUAAAAAUAUAUUAUAUAUACAUGUAAUGAACAAUAAAUAUUUUUCGGUCAUUCUUUGCCAAUGGAAAUUCAAAACUGAAUUGUGUUCUUGACUUCGCUAAAUGCCACGGGCUGGGUUAAAUGCUUAGGAAAGCAGGUGUUGCCUUGUUGGCUUUCAAUAAAACCGUAUCUCUUCUAGAGAUAACUAAGAGCCUAAGACAGAAAUCUGAUUGCUUAUAUUCUGAUCAUAUAAAGGAGCUGCCUACUAUGAGUUGUAACACCCUAUGGCCCAAAAUUCACUCAUGUCCAGCCUCCAUAUGGGGGCAGGGGCCGAUGGGCCACAUGCGUAACACCUCACUGUUAGGCUUUUUUGUUUUCGUGAACACGCAGGAGACCCUGCACAUCUUUUCAUUAAGAAGAAGAAAAGUAAUUACAAGAAAACAAAAACAACAAAAGUUCCAAAAGGCAAAAGCUACCAACAACCAAUCUACCAAGACCCUUUGCCCCUACGACACACCACCAGGCACCCUCAUUUGUAAUUGACUGGACAACCAGGUUCACAUUAGGAGAGACACCAUUGAAGACAUAGUCAUUGCGAUGUUUCCAUAUCUCCCAAGCUACAAGGAUUACCAAAGAAUUAAACUGUUUUCUUAAAUCCUUGUCAACCAGCACUCCUGCGUAUUCAUGAAGAGGAAAAAAAAGCACUAUUAGGUUUUCAUUGUCACUUCACCCAAAUUGGUUAAUCGGGAAGCGCUACAUCUUGGACCAACAUUGAUUAUAUGCUAGCGUAACUCGAUGUAUACUGGCAGUGUGGUUGGUAUUACGGGAUGCGAUUUGGGAAUUACAGUAGAUUAAGGAUAAUGGGCAAACCAUGUAUGUCUUAUUAAUAUUGUGGUAUCAAACAAAAUCAUAUGCAGAUGCUACGCACACAACACACUUUGUGGGGUCUCUUGCGUAUUCGAGAAAAAACAACUGGGUGGGGCUCCUAAAGUCGUCAUAUUAUUCAUUAGUAAAAUUGUCACCAAUAAUACCCAGCUGUCGUUGCCCUUUGUUUCUUAAAGUAUAGGACCUGUGAUUAUGGAUUUCCCUUGUUGGUCUAAUAAAUCUCAGGACAAUUUAUACACCAAAAUUCCAAAGGGUUUUCCAUUUGAUCUGCAGAGCACCCAACAAAUGUGGACAUUAUCAGUGAAAAUUAACUGAUAUCACUGCAAACCAACAAAAUCCAAGGUGUAAACCAUCUGGAGUAGAAGUAAUUAAAAACACUUGUUUCAAGUUUUACCUUUGAGUUCUUUCACCUGGUUUUCCAGUUUCUAUUACCAAACUGUCUCUACUUUGGCUUAUCAAUCAUGCUGCUAUGGAACUACUAAAUUUUGGACAGACUCAUGAUCGAUUUUAAUCAGGAUUUCAAUUCUUUGUUGUGGCUAGUACUCUUAUACAUUUUUGUAUUUUAGUACACUGGAAAUACUGAUCAUUCUAAAGUUAGGCAUAUUUAUUUAUUUAUUUUGAGGGAGGGGAUCGUAUUGUAAUAUUUCAAUAGCAAAAUCAAUCAGUGAAGGAUAGGGCUGAGUGCCCUCUGGUCGAGCAGGCUCAUCCUGAAUGGUCAGAAACUCUACUCGGCAUGGAUUCUGUUUGGGCAAAGCCCUUUUAAUUAUUAUAGUGCUUAAUUUCCCUAACACACUAAGGCACCUUUAUAUUACAGGUGUUGAAGGAUAAAAUUAUAAUUACUAAAUGAAUUAGGAACUAUAUCAAUGACACAAUAGGAAAUAGAUACUAAAUAUUGAAUUCUUCAAGGCACUGCUGCCAUGCGUGUACGCCUUUGAUACUUACACCCAUAAUGCCAGUCCAUAACACAUUGAUUUUCCUUAACGGAAGUUACCUAAAAAUGAAGAGCGUAAAUGGAAAAACAUGGCACACAGUGUACCUUUCAUGGGAUUACAACCUCAUUGUGUUGAUCAUAUUAGCCUAGGUUGGCCAGAUUUGCAAAUAGAAAUUACAGUUAUUUGUGUAUGAUUGCUGCAACCAAGAAUUUUAUCUAUGGCAGAAAGUUUCAUCACAACAUAAAGCCACAAACGGAAUGCUUACACCUACCAUUCUUUUGCAUCUGAGACUAACAGAUGGCCCUUUGACUCAUUUCAAAUUCAACCAUUGUUACCUUAACGAGUACAGGCAUUUCUUGACAUAAUAAACUGAUGACAAUGACAUGACAGGAAAAUAGAAGGACAGAACAGGAAGAAUAGGAUUAAAAAGGAUACCCCACUGCAAUCAUUAUUACUAGAUGGUAGAGGAGGAUUCUCUGGUACCGGAUUGUUGUUCUGCUGUUGCUGACUCGAUUGCCCAAGAAUAUGUGGCCUUGAACGAGCUUGUUGCCCAGCCUUUUUCACAUUGAGCCUUCUCUUUAAGUGAAUAUGAUGCCGUGCCUUUGCAAAAACUUCUUUUGGAACACUUGGGCACUUAGGAUGUCGAAACACAGCAGCAAGAUGAAAAUGGAGCCUAGACGUUUUGCCAUACCCAUCCAAACCACAAUAUCUACACCUCCAAUGCCUUGCAGAUUCAUCAACGAUAACUAUAUGCUUCCUUAUGUUAAACCUAGUUUUUUUAGGGUGUUUCAAGACCUACAAAUAAGUGUAGAAGGUCAGAACACAGCAUAAUUUUUAUGCAUAACAGAAAUAUAGCUUACACAUGUUACUUAACUGAAAACUAGAAAAAGGUAGUACCUCCCUCCAGAAAUAUAAUAAAGCAUAUUAGUUUUGUUUGUUAAUAUAGAGCUUAUUUCAUAUUCCGGUGCAAAAUAAGUGCGGUUUUCCCUCUAUACAUCAAAUAAAUGUAUAUGCUUGAAUGCAUUUGACUUAGCGCUUAUAGAUAACAAUUUAUGGGGUAAUCUACAGUUAUUUUCAAUGCCUAUUUGGUCUAUGAGAAAGACAAAAAUAUGCCUUGGAAUUUUGGACAGAAGUACAUGCUGUCAUGGUAGAAAAAAUGUAUUGGAGAAUACCCAUCUUUUCCUGUAAAUAUUUUUGUCUAUGACUGGCAUAUUAUCUUUUUUGCAUUUUUCAAUUGUGGAGUAUAUCUUACAGUAUACAACUUAUGAUGACACUCUAAUUUUAUUUUCUGCAAAAAUCUAGAGAAGUCAUAACAAUUGCACUCAAUAUAAAGGUUCCACAAGUAUUAGUCAUAGCACAGAGCCUGUGAGGAAAAAAAAUAAUCCAUAACUUGAUUGUCAAUAGCACAAACAGAACUGAUACCUUUCUACAGGAUUAUGUUGUUUUUGUCAGGUUGAAGAAGGAAAUUACCUCUUUGUGUUCCGGAUUAUCAGUUUUAUUGUCCAUAGUCUGCUGCUUAUUAUUGUCAAGUACUUGGCACCUUCCAUGUUCCAAGGUGCAGUGCUCCUCAGGUUGAUCGCUGCUUUUCAUCAGCUGUUCACCAUGGUUAAGUAGUUGGUUGCUAUGUUCUGCACCCUGUUGGUUGCUUCCAGCUGCCACCUUUUCAAACUAAGUAAACCAAAAUAUGCAAGUAAGUUCCAAUGCUAGAAAAACAUUUGUCCAAAGAAGUGAGACAGCUAUGGUACAUUCUGAAGAAAGUGGGUGUGUCUGGUUUUAUCCCCUUCUCGGUGUUUAACUUGCAUGAAAUUUCAAGUGUAGGUCUCCAGAAGUUAUUAGAAAAUUGGCUAAAUGUAAUGAGGAUCAUUUCUCUAUGGCCCUGAAGCAAGAUAAAGUAAUUACAGUUGUAUGGGAUCCACAAAGAUGUCUUGAGAACAAUUUUAACUGUUUUGGCUCUAUUUAUCUUGCCUGUCAAAUUCCAUAUCUUUUAUUGCGUCAAUAAUGAAUAUUUCCACUCAAAUCAGUAUUAACAUAGGAAAUGGUGGGUGCCCUAACAGAAUAUGAAGCCAGUGGCAACCCUCAUUGACUUGAGAUGGAUGUUUGCAUUAUGAGUGGAUGUUUCAAUACUGUGCAAGGUGUGAUUAUCGGUGAACAACUGAUAAUCACUGCCUUGGGCUGUGAUGAAUCUGAAAUAAAUUUACUGCAUCUAAAGUAACAUACUCAAUAAGGGAGGGAACACCCUAAAGAAAAGGAUAUGGGAUGAAUAAGACCAUAAUACCUCAUUAAUGGUGCACUCUGAUGUUUGUAUAUGCAAGGAAUUUCCUAAAGGUUGUCGAUCAUCUGUCAAUGGUGGAGUACCUUCCACCUGUAUUUCUGAGAGAUUAACUGCAUCCUCGUCAAAUUUGACAUUGAAAGGAGAUUUUGCAGCGCUAUUAAAAAGAUGGCGUGCUGCCCUUUUCUCUUCAAUAAAGUUCAACACUUUUUUUGAUAUUUCCUUAGGAAUAUUUGGGCAACUACUAUCAGUAAGAUGAGCCUUCAAUGUAGUUACACCACCACUUCGACAUAAAGAACACCACUUGCACUUCCAUCGUCUUUUAUUUCCAUCAAGAUCCACUGCAUGCUCCCACCCAAUAUCUCUUAUCCCUCGUAACAACAUGGUAGCCUGCAAAUCAAUGUAAACUUUGAAUUUGAAUCCAUACAAUAUAAUUGGUAGUUUAUUACUGCUCAGAAUAAACCAAAAAAAUGUAGGAUAUAAAUAUUUAGUGAACAAUUACAGUACUAGGGCACAAGUUACGUGUGAAAGGUUUAUAGUUAGCAGUUAAUGACAUGUGAUUUUGCUAGUCUUUAAGGAUAAUAAGUUAAGAAUUCACAAAGUCAAGAGAUAUGAACUCAUACUUUAGUGACUAUGUUGUUUUCACACAUGAUGGCCUUGCAGUCUCUAUGAAAUUAUUUUUCUAAGUUCACUUUUCAGGGAUCAAAUAUCUUUGCUAUGACAGCUGCAUAAGUACUAGAUUUUGCUGAAUUAACUACUCCGUCCGUUUCACAAUGUAAGACUUUCUAGCAUUAUCCACACUCAUAUAGAUGUUAAUGAAUCUAGAUGCACAUAUGAAUAUAGAUUCAUUAGUAUCUAUAUGAAUGUGGGCGAUGCUAGAAAGUCUCACAUUGUGAAACGGAGGAAGUACAUAAGUUAGUAGGUACUGAAGCAUAUACAUAAUACAUUUCAAGUCCACAGGUGUAUGAUUGCUUACACUAAUCAAACAGAUGGCAACUAAAAUACUCCAGAUGAUGUUUUUUGUAGAGAUCACACUGAGUAGAAAAUGAAAUAGAGAAAAAAAAGUACCACUUUGUAUACCUUGGGAUAAGUAAGAUCCUGAUUAUCAUGGUUCGUUUGGUUAGUAACUUCUUCAAGAACAGUGUCUACUCCAGUCAGCACCUCUGAAUCAACGGGUAAAGGAUCUUUGCCAGACUUGAUAUCAUCAGAGGUGCUCUUAGCCGUCACACAGUUAUCACGAUUUUGUGCAGCUCGCUUCUUUCGCCUUUCUCUUUUCUUCCGCAAAUGCUCCCUUAUUUUUUCAGAGACGUCAGCUGGAACUUUUGGGCACAUUUUGACAUCCAGAUCACCAGCAAGAUGCCGCUUAAGUCUAGAGACACCACCACCAUAUCUAGUCAGGUGACAAUACAUGCACUUCCAGUGUUGUCUGUUCUCGUCGAUCAUUAUGCCAUGCUUCCAUCCAAUGUCCCUACUUUUCCAAAAUGUUUCAGUCACCUGCAAAAUCAAAAAAAUUAAAGAGUGGUAUGGUAGUCAUGAUAUUAACUUAUUCUGCACUAUAAACACAAAUUUCAGUGGAUAUGCCAAGCCAUAAUAACUUAAUGUCCUGAAAUAGAAUGUAUAGCACAAGGGAAACAGCAAUUGGUAAAGAAACAAGUUACGGAAAUUUUACAGUUGACAAAGUAAAGGUAUACUUCCAACAAAGUUUUGUUUCAGAAAAUGUUCUACCCAACAUUAUUUUGCUGGAAACCUAAUUGGCAAAAUACCACUCAAGAUUCUAACAUGACAAAAUCAAUUUACCACUCAUAUUUCAACAUUAACAUAGUAUUCGCAAGUUGUAACAUUAUUAUGCUCAAAUUUCUAUGUGAGUUUACGACAUUCUGUAACUAAAAAGUUAAAAAUUGCAUGCCGUUAUAUCACGUGAGACUUUUGCCUCUUGACUCAGAACCUCUUUUCCAUUUGUGAUGCUAAUGAAGAGAGUGCAAUUGAAACUAGAUAGAGUUACCCCAUAAACGUUGAUACGAGGAAUUUCAACAUGUCUACGAAGUCAUUUAAAAACAAAUAGAACUCAACAGAGCAGAAAACUAGGAAGCAAUAUAGUUAUUCAAAAAAUGCAGAUUGAAAACUAAGAAAUACCAAAUAUCUUACUGGAAUAAGAUAUUGAGUAUUUUCAGGUUUCCUUCCUUUGAAUAUUGCUACUUGUUAGAAGAAAAGCAUUAUCCAUAAGAGAUGAAACUUUGGGAGCAGCUAGAUCUAGAGGGAAGCUGUGAGCACUAUAUUUGCACAUUACCUCAAAACCAAGAUUAGCAGGGUUGUCAACCAAAAAAAAAAGUGAGAAAAUCCAUGAACGCUCUACUGUGCCCUUUUCACAUGGUACACAAAACCCAUGCGAAGAAGACCAAAGCAAGAACAAUUGCGAGUAGGGAAAAUAUCAAAUAUAGUGCACUAGAACUCCAAGUUAUGAACCUGAAUCCAUUAGUAUGGAACAUUGUCUUUUGUAAGUAAAAACUCCCAGUAUCUGAAAGAAUGAAGUGGUGCUUCGAGUCUCUAUGACAAAAACUAAAACACUCAACAGAAGAGAAGAUUGGAAAGCAAUAUAGUUCUUCAAUAAAAAAAGGGUGAUUCACAAAAUCAAAUAAGUGAAUUGUCUAAAAAAUACUUAAGUCUUACAGGAGUUGACAGUUGUGGGAUUCACAAAUGCAUUGUAGAAGAUGAAACCCAUAGAACUUAUGGAUGAGAAAAAAACAUAUACAGUUUGGUAAACAGGACCAAGUAACCCAAAACAUAAGCAUUCCAUGUUUGCACCACAGUAUGCCUUUUCUUAACGAAAGAUAGAGGAUGUGCCCUCCAAAAUAUUCUGUCCUGUUUAUAAUUUAAUAAAUAUCAAAAGUGAACAUAAAUUCCCAGAGGAGAAUUAUGUACAUUCCUUUCUAGAAUGAACUGACAUGAAUGACUAUAAAAAUGCUAAUGGCAGAACAUUAUCUAUAUUUAUUCACUUGUUUCAUCACAUAAUUUGAACACAACAUACCGACAACUAAGUAAUGAAUUAUUGCUCUACGCACUCAUAAUAAAUCUUUGCCAUUUCUUCCAGACUGCAAAAUAAAAGCAUUACUACUACAAUUUUUUUUUUGUCAUGCAAGUACAAGAUCCUAAUUUCCUAGCCACAUAUCGCCAGGUGCAGAAUUAAGCUAUUCCAAGCAUCUAACAAUCCCAUGCUAUCAUUCCAUUCUAUUAUACUACAAAAAAGAAACAGAGAUUUUAGCAAGUCCACAAGCUACAAAACACUAACAUCUAGCACAUCACACCAAUGAAACAGUUUUAGAUUAACUUUUUCAACGCAAUUCUCAGACUAAUAACUUUUCAAUGCAACAAACAGGCACUUUCAGAGUUCUUCCCCCAAGGAUUAUACCUGCCGUGCCAGAACAUCUGCAGCCUUGGCCUCUGCCUCUGCCUCUGCCUCUGCCUCUGGCUGUGGCUGUGGCUGUGGCUGUGGCUGUGGCUGUUGCUGUGGUUCCGGCUCUGACUGCGGCUGCGGCUGCGGUUGCUGUUGCGGCUCCGGCCGUGGCUGCCGGCGCCUCUUGUAGGUUCGGAAAGCUUCCUGGGGAGAGGAAUCCCUGAAAUGCACCUUCCCAUUCCCUUUAUCCUUGUCAACACCAUCCAUCUUCCACAGCCAGGGUUUCGGCCAAGAAACCUGCAGAACAAAACAACCAAAAAAAAAAUCCUCAGAACAAAACAUCCCAAGCAAAAGCAAGAACCGUGGAAAAAUACUCCAAUUCUCCACCCAAGAAUCCUAACCGGAUAGAUUCGAACCUCUUCCCCCUCGACAAAAACUAAAAUCAAUCACCAAGGAAGCUCAAAAUUUUGGGGAGGGAGAAAAACGCGGUCAAAACAGCAAGAAAACAGCGGAAAGAAGACGCAGCUUUCUCGAGUCCUACCGAAGAUUGAUUGCCCCGGAGGCCGAUUCGGGGAGUAAUGGCGGAUGGAGUCGGAAUUCUAGCACAAGUAGACGGCGCGAGGUGGGGGGAGGCGAAACGAAAACCUGCAGGAGAAGGGGAGGAGAGGAGAGGCUGUAUGGGAUACAGAAGAGAGGAGAGGAAGGGAGUAGUCUGACAAAAAUCCGGCACUUCUUUGGUGUGAGAGUUUACUUGUUCUCUCUCUCUCUCUACUGCUGCUUCUCUCUUGCCUUUCUCCUGCUUUGCUUUUGAGCCCAAAAAAACCAAAAGAGCCCUCUUUUAUUAACCCUUCACCUCUCUACCAAAAAAAAAGCUCCCUCUUUUCAGCUGCAAGUUAUUGUUUCUACUCCUAAGAUGUUCUUAUCUCUCUCAUGGAAAGUUUCUUUUUUUUUUCUUUUUUGGUUUCAUUCACAAGUUUUAUCUUGAAAUUUUUCGAUUGUAGUUUAGGAAGGAGCAGAAGGAAGGGAAAAAAUGUUCUUUUUUUUUCUGGAAGUAACUGAAAGGUUUUGAAUGCUGCAGACACUGGUGCCAGGUGGUGAUGCAUCCAGUGGUAUUAAGGAUUUGUUCUCUAGCAAAGGAUUUCUGCCUAUUUGGUCAUGGCCCCUUCCACAGCAUCGAUUUGCAGGAAGAAAUGAAUGAGUUGAAUGAUGCAGCAUUUUUGUCUUGCCAUAUAUCAGGCUAUCAGUAGUGAUGUAAUCACUACUUCUGACUUCUGGAGGAUACAUAGGUGAGAGAGAAAGAUUAGGAAUCCAUACCAUUCUUUCUUUCUUUCUGUUUUCCCUUGUGUUGGAUUCGGGAUUCAGGAAUGGUAACUUCUGAGCUCUGAAAGGCUGCUAAAUUUGGUUCAGAGAACCACUGCAUUAUCUAAUCACAAGAGGGUAGGAGUACUUAAUUCCUGUGCUAAUUGCAUUCUCUUAUUGUUAUGGAGAAGAUUCCCACUGCUAUUGUGUUGGAAUUAAUGAAUGGGUCUUAGCCCACUCGAAGAUUAAUUCUUUGGAAAAUCACAAAAGCCCACCUCAUGGGAUGGCAUGCAUGUGGAGUUUAGUACCACCUUGCUUAUUCUAGGAGAGGGGGACCUCCUUAAAAGGGAGGAUGCCCUCCUAGCCACUUGAAGCAUGUGUGGUGGAGAGAAGAGGGGAAACACACGCGCGCGCUCGCUCGCCUCGCCUCGCCUGGCCUGGGCAGGGCAGGGCAGGGCAGGGCAGGCGGCGCAAUGGUCCGAAAAAUUGGCUCCUCACCCUUGCGCAGAUGCAGCCUCUUUUUGCAGUUUUGUUUUGCUGCAAAUUCGGAUUCGUUUUUGUUUUGGAAACGUUCCGAAAAAUCCGAUGCGUGCAAACGGCGUGGAGUCCGGAUAAGUUACGCGCGACUUAUCCGGUUCGGUUACGCGCAGUAGAGAUCGUGCGGGCGCCCUGAUCAAGCGACCUUUCUCUAUAUAAACCGACCCGCCGUCUUCACGCAAUAUAUGCGAAAAUCAAUCUAGGGUUUGCCUCCUACUCUGUACUGCGCCGUCGCUCGUAGACUACUCCAUCCCGCUCGCCGGCGUGCACCAGCGAUCGGGAGAGCAGGUCUCCGGAACCUCUGCCUUUGACGUCCUGCACCGGGAGAAGGCGGCAAUAAGGUUUUUGGGAAGCGCUUCGCGCGACUGCUCCCUGUUCGUUCGCGACGGCUCGCCUUCCUCUUCGCUCGCGUGUUUCGUGCCUUCGUAGACACCUGCGAAAAGUUUCGACCAAGCAGCCGGUCUUUUCGUCACCUCGGUACGUGUUCAAUAUGUUGCGCAUAUUUGAUCUGUUCAUGUUAUUCUGCGUAGUUUACAUGUGUAGAUCUAAUGAUGCGUUCAUGCUAGUUUUCAUCUGUAAUGUCAUGACUUAUUUAUGGAAUAAAUUAAAUCAUUAUAUGCCCAUAAUCUCAACAAUCCAAAAACCUUAUUAUAGGCACUGUGAUUUUACUAUGGCUGGUUUUGCCGAUGCACUGAGGCCGGAUAAAUUCACCGGUGUGCAUUUUAAGAGAUGGCAGAUCAGGGUCACUCUGUGGCUGACAGCUAUGAAAUGCUUCUGGGUGAGUACUGGCAAACCUGAAGGAGUUCUUACUGCUGAACAGCAGAAGCAAUUCGAGGAAGCCACUACUCUCUUUGUGGGAUGCAUUCUUAGCGUUCUUGGCGAUCGUCUGGUCGAGGUGUAUAUGCAUAUGACCGACGCUAAGGAGUUGUGGGAUGCACUGAAUACUAAAUUCGGUGCUACUGAUGCUAGCAAUGAUCUGUAUAUCAUGGAGCAGUUUCAUGACUACAAAAUGGCUGACAACCGUUCUGUAGUCGAACAGGCUCAUGAGAUACAAACCAUGGCUAAGGAACUCGAACUCCUUAAGUGUGUCUUACCCGACAAAUUUGUGGCCGGGUGCAUUAUUGCAAAACUACCUCCAUCUUGGAGGAGUUUCGGUACUGCACUCAAACACAAGAGACAGGAAUACUCCGUUGAGGGGUUGAUUGCGUCUCUUGAUGUUGAGGAGAAAGCUCGGGAAAAAGAUGCCGCGUCUAAGGGCGAUGGUGGGCAGUCCAGUGCCAAUGUUGUGCACAAGGCCCAGAACAAGAGCAAGGGGAAAUACAAAGCUCAGCAGACCACCAACUUCAAGAAGCAGAAGAAGAACAACAACAAUCCUAAUCAGGAUGAGAGGACUUGCUUUGUGUGUGGCCAAGUUGGUCAUCUGGCUAGGAAGUGUCCACAACGCAAGGGGAUGAAGGCACCUGCAGGGCAGACUUCUAAGUCUGCUAAUGUGACCAUUGGCAACACUGGAGAUGGAAGCGGGUAUGGUAAUUUACCUACUGUUUUUUCAGUUAAUCAAUCUACUAAUUGGUGGGUUGAUACUGGGGCCAAUGUACAUGUUUGUGCUGACAUCUCAUUGUUUUCUUCUUAUCAGGUCGCACGGGGUUCCACCGUCCUAAUGGGGAAUGGGUCACAUGCUUCUGUUCAUGGUGUUGGCACGGUAGAUCUGAAGUUUACUUCGGGAAAGAUCGUGCAGCUGAAGAACGUGCAGCAUGUCCCUUCUAUCGACAGGAAUCUUGUUAGUGGCUCCCGUCUGACUAGAGACGGAUUUAAGUUGGUUUUUGAGUCUAAUAAAGUAGUCGUGUCUAAACAUGGAUAUUUUAUUGGUAAAGGUUAUGAGUGCGGAGGCCUGUUCCGCUUUUCCCUUUCUGAUUUCUGCAAUAAGUCUGUGAACCAUAUUUGUGGCAGUGUGGAUGAUGAGGCUAAUGUUUGGCAUUCACGUUUAUGUCAUAUUAAUUUUGGCUUGAUGUCUCGGCUUUCCAGCAUGUGUUUAAUUCCUAAGUUUUCCAUUGUCAAAGGUUCUAAGUGCCAUAGUUGUGUGCAAUCGAAGCAACCUCGCAAGCCUCACAAGGCUGCCGAGGAGAGAAACUUGGCACCACUAGAACUCCUACAUUCAGAUCUUUGUGAAAUGAAUGGGGUGUUGACGAAGGGUGGAAAACGAUAUUUCAUGACAUUGAUUGAUGAUGCUACUAGAUUUUGCUAUGUGUACUUGUUGAAAACGAAAGACGAGGCUCUAGACUAUUUUAAAAUUUAUAAGGCAGAGGUUGAAAAUCAACUUGACAGAAAGAUAAAAAGGCUUAGGUCUGAUCGUGGUGGAGAGUUUUUCUCGAACGAGUUUGACUUAUUCUGUGAGGAACAUGGCAUCAUACAUGAGAGGACGCCUCCCUAUUCUCCCGAGUCUAAUGGGAUUGCUGAAAGGAAGAACCGCACACUGACUGACUUGGUGAAUGCCAUGUUGGAUACCGCGGGACUGCCUAAGGCAUGGUGGGGGGAGGCAUUGUUGACCUCAAAUCAUGUGUUAAACAGAGUUCCUAACAGAAAUAAGGACAAAACACCAUAUGAGAUAUGGAUUGGUAGAAAACCAUCACUUUCUUAUUUGCGCACAUGGGGGUGCUUGGCGAAAGUCAAUGUACCAAUAACGAAGAAGCGCAAACUUGGACCUAAGACUGUGGACUGUGUUUUUCUGGGAUAUGCUCAUCAUAGCAUUGCCUAUAGAUUUUUAAUAGUUAAAUCCGAGGUACCGGACAUGCAUGUUGGUACAAUUAUGGAGUCUCGUGAUGCUACCUUCUUUGAGAGCUUUUUCCCAAUGAAGGAUACACAUAGUGGUUCGAACCAACCCUCUGAAAUAAUUCCCAGUUCAAUCACACCACCAGAACAAACUGAACAUACACAUGAACUUGUCUCUGAGGAGGAUGUCAGUGAAGCUCCUCGAAGGAGUAAGAGACAAAGGACGGCUAAGUCUUUUGGUGAUGAUUUCACUGUGUACCUCGUGGAUGACACUCCUAAGUCAAUUUCAGAAGCAUAUGCAUCUCCUGAUGCAGACUACUGGAAGGAGGCUGUCCGUAGUGAAAUGGAUUCCAUUAUCGCUAACGGGACUUGGGAGGUGACAGAGCGACCCUAUGGGUGUAAACCUGUGGGGUGCAAGUGGGUGUUCAAGAAGAAGCUUAGGCCUGACGGUACUAUUGAAAAGUACAAGGCUCGGCUUGUUGCUAAGGGCUAUACUCAGAAAGAAGGCGAAGAUUUCUUUGACACUUACUCACCUGUUGCUAGAUUGACCACAAUUCGUGUGCUACUUUCCCUAGCAGCCUCACAUGGUCUUCUCGUUCAUCAAAUGGACGUUAAGACAGCUUUUCUUAAUGGAGAGCUGGAUGAGGAGAUCUAUAUGGAUCAACCUGAUGGGUUUGUACUUGAAGGUCAAGAAGGCAAAGUGUGCAAAUUGUUGAAGUCUUUGUAUGGUCUGAAACAAGCUCCUAAGCAAUGGCAUGAGAAAUUUGACAAAACAUUGACGUCUGCAGGCUUUGCAGUCAAUGAGGCAGAUAAAUGUGUGUACUAUCGCCAUGGUGGGGGUGAGGGAGUUAUUUUGUGCUUGUAUGUUGACGACAUACUGAUAUUUGGGACAAACAUUGAGGUGAUAAAUGAGGUUAAAUCAUUCUUGUCUCAAAAUUUUGAUAUGAAAGAUUUGGGAGUAGCUGAUGUUAUUUUAAACAUUAAGCUAAUUAGAGGUGAGAAUGGGAUUACACUCUUGCAGUCUCAUUAUGUGGAGAAGAUCUUGAAUCGCUUUGGCUACAUUGAUAGUAAGCCUUCUCCAACACCUUAUGAUCCUAGCUUGUCGCUUCGCAAGAACAAGAGAAUUGCUAGGAAUCAACUGGAAUACUCCCAAAUCAUUGGCUCGUUGAUGUACCUGGCUAGUGCAACUAGGCCUGAUAUCUCCUUUGCUGUGAGCAAGUUGAGCCGAUUUACCUCUAAUCCGGGAGAUGAUCACUGGCGUGCGCUUGAGCGAGUAAUGCGCUAUCUGAAAGGUACUGUGGAAUUGGGGCUUCACUAUACUGGGUAUCCUGCGGUACUGGAGGGUUAUAGUGAUUCUAACUGGAUCUCUGAUGUGGAUGAGAUCAAAGCCACUAGUGGAUAUGUUUUCACACUGGGUGGUGGUGCUGUUUCAUGGAGGUCUUGCAAACAGACAAUUUUGACGAGGUCAACCAUGGAAGCAGAGCUAACGGCACUGGAUACUGCUACUGUUGAGGCAGAAUGGUUGCGUGAUCUAUUAAUGGAUCUGCCUGUUGUUGAAAAACCGGUGCCGGCUAUCCUUAUGAACUGUGACAAUCAAACGGUAAUUGUCAAAGUGAAUAAUUCUAAGGAUAAUAUGAAAUCGUCUAGACAUGUGAAAAGACGAUUGAAGUCUGUCAGGAAAUUAAGAAACUCCGGAGUUAUAACGUUGGAUUACAUCCAAACAGCGAGAAACCUGGCAGAUCCCUUCACGAAGGGACUAUCACGAAAUGUGAUAGACAAUGCAUCGAAGGAGAUGGGUUUGAGACCCAUGUGAGUUAUACUAUGGUGGUAACCCAGUCUAUGUGAUCGGAGAUCCCGUGAAUUAGAUCCUGGGAAGAACAAACCAUUAAUAAACUAGAGGAGAGUACCAAUAUAUAUACCCUCUCUAAGUGAAGAUGCAUAUACUCUCGUGAGCUGCAAGGCAGGUUGGCUAUGCCUUAAUGAGUUCUGUUGGCUUUAAUUAGCAAAGAUGUUGUCCUGCAGAGCAUUCUUGAAGGAACUCACCUUUGUGAGCUUGACUGUUGGUCGCAGUCCAUGAAGAUUUUGGGUGAAUCUUCUAGGAAGCUUACUAAAGACCUAGGAGUAUGACUUAUACGCUCCACCCGAGGGGUAGUCUACAGACGGUCUAGUACCAGAUAAGACUUUGAGUGAAACUUGCUUGCACAAGACUUGCAAUUCAAGGCGUAGUCCAUUGUUCAAGUUGUGAGUAAGUGUAGCUUGGAGUUCUAGGUGGAUGUUCAACCUUAAUUGGUCUCCAUCGAACCGCUGGUAUAUAAACAGUACAUUGGAAAAGGCAAAUCUCAGUGGGAUUUUGAGAUUUGGUGGGGGAUUGUUGGAAUUAAUGAAUGGGUCUUAGCCCACUCGAAGAUUAAUUCUUUGGAAAAUCACAAAAGCCCACCUCAUGGGAUGGCAUGCAUGUGGAGUUUAGUACCACCUUGCUUAUUCUAGGAGAGGGGGACCUCCUUAAAAGGGAGGAUGCCCUCCUAGCCACUUGAAGCAUGUGUGGUGGAGAGAAGAGGGGAAACACACGCGCGCGCUCGCUCGCCUCGCCUCGCCUGGCCUGGCCUGGCCUGGCCUGGGCAGGGCAGGGCAGGCGGCGCGCGUGCACGACGUACGCGUCGAAUGGUCCGAAAAAUUGGCUCCUCACCCUUGCGCAGAUGCAGCCUCUUUUUGCAGUUUUGUUUUGCUGCAAAUUCGGAUUCGUUUUUGUUUUGGAAACGUUCCGAAAAAUCCGAUGCGUGCAAACGGCGUGGAGUCCGGAUAAGUUACGCGCGACUUAUCCGGUUCGGUUACGCGCAGUAGAGAUCGUGCGGGCGCCCUGAUCAAGCGACCUUUCUCUAUAUAAACCGACCCGCCGUCUUCACGCAAUAUAUGCGAAAAUCAAUCUAGGGUUUGCCUCCUACUCUGUACUGCGCCGUCGCUCGUAGACUACUCCAUCCCGCUCGCCGGCGUGCACCAGCGAUCGGGAGAGCAGGUCUCCGGAACCUCUGCCUUUGACGUCCUGCACCGGGAGAAGGCGGCAAUAAGGUUUUUGGGAAGCGCUUCGCGCGACUGCUCCCUGUUCGUUCGCGACGGCUCGCCUUCCUCUUCGCUCGCGUGUUUCGUGCCUUCGUAGACACCUGCGAAAAGUUUCGACCAAGCAGCCGGUCUUUUCGUCACCUCGGUACGUGUUCAAUAUGUUGCGCAUAUUUGAUCUGUUCAUGUUAUUCUGCGUAGUUUACAUGUGUAGAUCUAAUGAUGCGUUCAUGCUAGUUUUCAUCUGUAAUGUCAUGACUUAUUUAUGGAAUAAAUUAAAUCAUUAUAUGCCCAUAAUCUCAACAUAUUGUUGGGUUCUUGGGGCCUCAUCCCCAUCGAUGUUUGUGAAUUGUGACACCUGGGCCUGAAACAGCAAGCUGAAAAGGCCAAUCCUUCUUGUUACAGAACUGAAUACACAAAACCAGCCCAAAGGGAUUGUAUUGAAGCAAAGCUGUUCACUGCCUCUUUAUGGCCGCCCACAUUAAAUCAAUCUUUAUCUUGACAUUUUCUUUGUUCCCUAGAAAAAAAAUUAUGUUCCCUUUCUACACAAGGCUUACACAAACUUCAAAUAUUCUCUAUGACUGCCCACAUUGAAUCAGACUUCAAAUAUCUUUCCCCCCCUUCUUGAAAAACAAAAUUGAUUUGCUCAUGGUUUCCUUGAAAGUUUUUGAUAUAGUCAACCUCUUUCUCAGGAAGAAACACACAAAAAAAGGUUCUUUCUAGGAAGAAACAGAAAAUGGGUUAAUGCUGUUGCAAGUGCCAGGUGGUGUCUUUAAGAGUUUGUCUCUAGCCAGGAUUUCUGCCUAUUUGGUCAUGUUUCCAGCACAUCAAAAACAGAAAUAAAUCAAUGAAUGAUGCAUAAUUUUUGUCUUUCUAUCUAUCUGCAGUGAUGUAAUCAGUAGUUCUGACUUCUGGAGGAUACAAUGUAGCCCUUUUCUCUCUUCAUGUGUUGGAUUCAGGAAUAGUAGCUUCUGAAUUCUGAACCCAAGGCCGUUCUAUUUGGGUGGAGUUUAGCAGUACCAGUUGCUGUGCUAAUUUUUUUUCUUACAGAGAUAAGUUAUUUUCUUAGAAAAUGGUAAACUCUGAACAAAGGAGUUUCUUUUUUUUUUCCCUAUAGAUGAGUUUACCACUUGUGUUGUUGAUUCUUGGAGCCUCAUCGAUGUAUGUGACACCUUGGGGCUAGAAGCUUUGUUUCAACGUAAUCAGUAAGGAUGGGACGUUUUCAGCUGGAUGUUUCAGGCCCAGGUGCGACAUGCAUCGAUGGGAAAAUUAAAAUUUUAUGGCUGCCAAACAUUGCAUCAAAAUUCUCAUUUUGGCAGUUUCUUUGUUCCCCUAGGAAAAAUAUAGAAGAAUGAUGCUUUGAUUGUGUAGUGUUUAAAAGGGCACAGUUAUAAAAGGAUUCUUCCCUUUUCUGCUCUGAAAACAAACAACUGCGGAACUGAAGUUUGCUUUGCUUCUGGGCUAGCUGUGCCAAUUUAUUACUCCCUCCGUUUCACAAUGUAAUACUUUCAAGCAUUGCCCACAUACAUAUAUAUAUGUUAAUAAAUCUAAACACAUAUAUAUGUCUAGAUUCAUUAACAUCUAAAUAAAUAUGAGCAAUGCUAGAAAGUCUUAUAUUGUGAAACGGAGGAAGUACUUGUUAGGGAUAAUUGGUGUAUUGCCUUCAGAAAACUUUGAUUUCAAGUUUCAAGGGUGAUCAGUUACAUUUUCAUCCAAGUAAUAAAUAAGUAAUGCAUAUGAGAAGAGUACCAAUCUUGAAGGUCCUUAGGUUUAUUGAUCAGUUUGACUCGGUUCAGCCAGACAGCUUAAUCUAUUGUAGGAGUAGAGAGCAUAAACUUGUUCAGUGUUUAGUGAGUAACCAUCAGGAUUGGAAGACAUUUUUACAUGAUGAUAGAGAUUCUCCACAAGAUUUAAGCAAAUGAAAUAUCACAGGAGGAAAAAAAACAAUUUCGAUCGAAUCACAACUGUGAAUUUCUAAUAAAAAAUACUAAUAUAUUUGCAAUAUAUACUUGUUUUCCUACUACUAUCUAGGAGUACUUUAUACGACAAGCAGAAAAAAAAAAGGAAAAAAAACAAACAACCAUACACAGUUACUGAAACGCCUAUAAACUCGCGCGCGUCGCCGGUGAUGUCGCGGCCGUGCUUACGCUUGAGGUGGUGGUGGUCGAAGUCCUCGCCUCGCCGCCGAGGUGGGUGGCGCCGUUGGUGGCGAGCACCUCGAACACGACACUGUCGAUGGCGAGGAUGCUGACGUCAUCGAACGUGCCGCCGCCGCGGCGAGGUCGAAGACGAGCGAGCGGACAUGGAUUCUCUGCAGUAAUGUAUUUACAGUAGCAGCUACUGGCUGACAAGUGGAUCCAGUUCCACAUGUCAGUGGCAGCCAGACAAUCCUCACUGCGAGCGAGCACGUUCUUCUCUUGUCGAUGCCGUACAUAGGCGAUGGCGGCGGCGGUCGAUCUCGGCUCGUUGAUGAUGCGGUCGACGGUGAGCCCGCCCGGCGUUGACACCGGCGUACUACGUCCUUGGUGAGUCACGGGACGUACACGUCAGCGGCGUGAUCUGGGCCGUUGGUUAAUCUGAUCGGACGGACGGUCAGGGUAUAGUGUGCGCGCGUAGCGUAGCGUGUCGUGCCGGUGCCGACUCAGUGAGUCCGUCUCGGUACUCCCAUCUUCGUACAUGGACCAGCGCGGACCGAACUCUGGACUGUAUAUUGGACUGUAAUGCUGAAGGCCUUGGUAGGAAUAAGUCUAUAUUGCUUCCCUCAACUCAUGCCCCUGGUUGAAACACAUCUCUCAAUCGCAAAACAACUCAUCUCCCAACUUACAAAACCGUAGCAAAUCGACUCCUUAGGCGGUUUCGUCCUACGUGGCACUUAUGUGGCGGGUUGACUUGGUCUUUAUACCACGUGGCAUCAACGUGACGUUUACGUCACUAAAAUAAAUGAGACCCAUAUGUAGUAAAACAAUAAAUAUUUUUUAGGCCCACGUGUCAGCUACCUUUUCUCCUCUUUAACCUUUCUCUCUCUCAGGUGGAUGGUGGAUGGUAGCAACUGGAUGGCGGCGGCAACGAGACGGAGCAUGGUGGAGGAUGAGGACUAUGGCGGAGGCCGUCGAAGGCUAGGUCAGCGAGGCCAACGGAUGAGCUCUCUGUUGCAAGCGGUGUGCGAGCAUCUCGGUGUCGAUCUCUGCGAAGGGGACGACUCCCCACGCCGGCUCGGCACCUUCUCCUCCUCGCCGACUCCCCACGCCGCCGCCUCCACCUCCUCCCCUCCGCUCUCCUUCCCCAAUGCCGACCUUGUCCUCCGCCUCGACCCCUGCCCCGACUACGAGGUGGAUUUCGACGUCAGCGAGGAUCACCACUCCUCCAUCGACCUCCACGUCUCCUCCGCGCCCCUGCUUCACUCCCACUACUUCGGCGCUCUCCUAUCUGACCGCUGGAGCCCUGCUCCCACCUCCAUCGCGCGGAGGGAGGAGAGGCGGCGGCAGCGAGGUUGAAGGAGGCGAGGACAGGCAUGAGGCGACAAAGAAGGGGCGUGGGAGGGGACACAGUGGCAGGGAGGGAGGAGAUGAGGCGGCGGCUGAGGGGCGCGAAUAGAGGUGGUGGCGAGGCUUUCUCACCUCUGCUCUCUCUCCGCUCUCGCCGAGCCACUCCACCGAGAUCCCGCCGCCUGCUCUCUCUCCCCUCCCGCCGUCCUGCUGCUCCCGCCAAGCUCCCGCCGCUCUCACCAUCUCGCUCGCCGCAAAGGAUAAAGAGGGAGGCGUUGGGCAACUGACACGUGGGCCCAAAAAUAGUUUUAUUUUUAUUUUGGUUUGUUUUCAUUUUAGUGCCACAUCGAUUUCACAUGGGAUAAGACACCACAGAAGUCAAAAUCGCCUCCAAAAACACCGGUAGAGUUGAUUUGCAACGGUUUUGGAAGCUAGGGGAUGGUUAUACAGGUUUUGCGGUUGAGGGGUGCGAUUUAACCAGCACAUGAGUUGAGGGAGAGAAACUAGACUUAUUCCGCCUUAUUAUAGUUGUAUGGGCUGGCAAACUGACAGCCCACCCAACCUGAACAGGCCAGGCUACCCGGGUAAAAGGACUGAACCAUCUUUAGUUAAAUCUCUAUAACCGAUUUCAGGAUCAAAAAUCUGGCCUUCUAUUGAGCCACGUGGCACAGUAAAAAUUUGGUAAGACAUCUUCAAAAAAACUACCACGUGUCCAUGAAGAGGAGUUAAAGAGCCUGCUUCGUUGGAAGUUAUGUCUCCUGUACACAUACAUGAUACAUACACCUAUCAGAAAUCUCUAGAAAACUCAAUACGGAGUAUUGCCAAGUCCUCGAAGACUCUCCAACGGGGUAAUCACUCAAUACAUAGUAUUGCCCAGCCCUCGAAGACUCUCCGACGGAGAGAUUACCUAGUCGUUGGAGAAGAUGAAGAGGCCACACUCCCGUGCACAUCAUGGUAAAUAAGUGUGUACAGUUCAUGGCACAAAUUCUAUAGAUUUGCAACUUUUCAUAUGGUACCAUGAAAAAAUGAUGAGUAUUGUAGCUCUUUAAACAAAAUUUAGAACACCUUUAAAUAAAAUAUCAUCACCUUUAAAUAAUGUGAUUUGCUACACUAAAUUUUAACUUAAAAAUUGAUUGAAAUUUUUAUUCGAAUGUACCUUUUUUUUGUUUCAAUAAAAUUGAACUAGAUUCUUAUAAAACUUUGCAAAAUUUAUAUUAGCUUUGUAUUUAACAUAAUGUCAUUUUAAAAAUCAACACAGACUCCAUUACACAUAUUUUAUCAUUGUUUUCCCAAACUACAUAUCUAUACAAAUUAAAAUACAACAAAGUUUUCAUCAAAAAUCUAUUGAUAUGAUAUUUACAAUUUAAUAGCUUAUGAUAUGGAAAUUUGAGGAUGUCUUUUUGCAACAAACAUAAUGCUUCUUAAUAACACGAAAACAAAUGCAAGGGCUAUAAAGGCACGCUUGUUUUCUAGUUUUGCUUAUAAGGGCAUCUCCAAGAGAAUGCUAAACAGGUUACUAAAACAUAAAUUUUAGGAAUUUGGUGAAAAUCAGCCCUCCAACAGACUCCUAAACAUGGUCCCAAAAUUUAGCCACCUCCAAAACCAGGACCAACCUGAACCAAAUAUUGGGCAACUAGAAGCGCUCCCAAUCGAAGCAAUCGUUCCUGCCCGCGCCGUUUUUUCUUUUCCUGGCGCCAAUUUUUUUCCUCGCCCGCGCUUUCCCUCAACCACCGUCUCUUCGUUCGCCGGGAGGAGCCGCGCCUUUCUUCCCCUCCUCGCGCCAGCUUCCUCUCCUCGCGCCAACUCCGUUCAGGGCGCCGCCAGCCGUCCGUCCGUCCGGGACGCCGCAGGUUCUCCAAGGCGUCGCCGGCCCUCCGUCCAGGGCGCCGCCGGCAGCCCAUCUAGGUCGCUGCCGCCCCUCCGUCCAGGGCGUCGCCGGCAGCCCAUCUAGGUCGCUGCCGCCCCUCCGUCCAGAGCGCUAGCGGCCUCCGUCCAAGUCACCAUCGACUGUCAAUCCAGGGACCGUCGGCAGUCUGUGCCCCUUCGUCCACCUCGCCUCUCAACGACGUGAGUUGCUACUGGAUUUGUUUGAGGUAAUUUCAGAGUAACAACUCAUUUAUUUUCUGCUUCUCUCCAUGGAUCUAACUCUCUUUGUGUUCAAUUGAGGUUGACUCACUGAUAUUAUCCCCAUUGAUAUCCUAGUACUGACAAGGUCCUUAUGUGUAUUUCUUUGUUUUCGUUGAUACAAGUCUUAGAUGAAUAUGUCCAAAAUAGUCUUCACAAGUUGCUAACAGACCAUAUUCUUCUCACCCUAAAGUUCUAUUGAAGUCCACUUAAUUGUACUAAAACUAUUUUAUUCAAGAAGACAAAUGGGACAUGCUAGUUUCAUAUUCUACUGAAGAUUUUAUUUCUUUACUGGUAUAGUUGAGGUUUUUUCCCCUGAACUAGUAUAAGUUUUUUUUUUCCCUAAACUGCUAUAGUUAAGUUUUUUUUUCACUGAACUGCUUUGCUUUGAAUGUUGUAUUCAUAAAAGUCAGUAUCACACUGCACUGAGGCCUAAUCUGAGGUAUGUUUCCAUUGACCAGUUCCAUCUGUUGUGUGUCAUAUGCUUGUGCCCACUUUUACUUCUAUCAUGAUUAAGGUCAAAAUUAAGGUCGAAAUUUUUUUGAACAAUGUUAGUAUAUUUUAGAUCUUCAGGUGUGGCAUGCUAUCUGCCAUGGUGCAUGUGCACUUAAGUCAGCACACCACCUGAAAGGCUGCUGUCUACAAAUCUAAAAUAUUAUAUCAAACGAAAAAUCUGAAUAGCAUCUAUCAUCUUGUUUUUUUAGGCAGACAGACAACAUUGCAUUGCUUAGAUAGACAUGUAAACAAAAUAAUCAUCUUCCAUUUAACAUACAUGAUGGAGAUAAUUGCUUGUAGGUCCUACUGAUAAUGGAAGAAGAAGGAUUCUAUACUAAUUUGAUGAAUGAGGGGAACGAUUCCUUAGAUUGGGAUAGUUUGAGUACGAUGCCUGUGGAGGAUGAUAUGAGUAACCAGCUUGAUGAGAAUGGCAUGAGUAGCGAGCCUGUCACGCAACAGUUCCCCACUAUUGAGAGGACUACCGUGGCUAGACCAAAUCAAAAAAGAUCGAAGAAUUUUAGUGAACAAGAAGAUAAGAUACUUGUGUCGGCGUGGUUGCAUGUAAGUUUGGAUCCAGUGCUAGGCACAAAUCAAACUCGUGCUGCAUAUUGGACUAGAAUAUACGAGCACUUAUACAAAACAAGUAAAUCCACACCAGAUCGCAGCCAGAAUUCACUUAUGCAUCGUUGGAAAACUAUACAAGAGAAUGUCAACAAGUUUUGUGGAUAUCUGAGCCAGAUUGAGGGUAGAAGACAAAGCGGGGUUAGUAUACACGACAAGGUACUACAUAGUUAUGUAGCUUGUGUUUUUAUGUUAGUUUAUAAAUAAAAGAUAUGAUGUUUGCUAACCACAUUCACUUGACUUGACAUGUGCAGAUUGCUCAGGCCAUUGCUGUAUUUAAGGAGUUGGAAGAUAAGCCCUUCCAAUUCCUGCACUGUUGGACUCUCUUGAGGUCACAAUCCAAGUGGCAUGAUAAGAUGAAGCAAAUAACAUCCCAAAAACCCUGUGCCACCAAAAAACAGAAGGCAAGCACAGAUGGUUUGGGAAAAGCUAUACCCACAAAUGAUGAUACUACCAAUCAUGUUGAUGAAGAUAAUGAACCUACAGAGACCGAAGAGCCGAAGAUCAAAUACCUUGCUGCAUGAUCAACUGAUCCAUGUGAGUGCAUAUUCAAUUUCAGUUUGAAUGAUAGGUUACUGAAUCCAUAUUUUCGACAGUGAUCAGUCAAAAAAAUCACUUGCAGUACUAGCUAGCUUCAAUUAUUGUUUACAGUACAAACAUAUAGGUAGCUUCAAAUAUUGUACAUUACUAAUUAAAAUAGACUAGAAAACUUGGCAGCUCUAUACUCUGUACAUGUAUUAUGGUUAAUUCGAACUCCAUCUUAUUGCUAUCAACAGGGAAGCCACCUCGCUGAGACCUUCGUACAUGUGAAGAAGCAACUGAACAAAUUGUGACCAGAUCAGAGAAUGGGAGGGAAAGAGAUGGCAAUCGUAGCUGCAGUUUAGAUCAGUGGUUUGUUAGAAAUUUAUCUAGGUUUACUAAGUCUGCAAUGCAAACUAUUUAUAUUCAGAAUUGUGUCUUUUUGUUUUGUCCGAAGUUGGUGUUAGUAGAUGGGUACUUCCCUUAUCAUGCCCUUGGUGUUAGUCUGUGUAAUGAAUCAGACUUUAUGAGAGCCUGAUGUUGCUAUUGACCUGUGGUAAUCUGUAUUGUCUCUCACUGAGAGCCUGAUGUUUGAUUGUUUCCUGGCAUGAUUGAAAAGCUUCUGGGGCCUCUACCUCAUCUGUGGCUUUUCAUGAUUGACAGGAAGACCACAUGACAUAUUUAUCACUGCCAGCCGACAUAUUCAACAAAAUGCAUAAAGGAAGUGCACUUUUAUUAAUUCUCCUGUACUAUUCUUAAACCGAACAGUACACCAUUUAUUCAAUACAUGAAGAACAAAUUAAAAUGAUUUUGCAAAUCCUCACAUAUGUAUACUAUUUAUUACAUGGAAUUCAAACAUAUAAAUAAAACCUCAAUAUUUAUCAGGAUAAUGUUGCCACAAGUGCUCCACUAGGUCUUCACGUAGCUGAUAGUGAGUUUCGUCGUCCCUUAUUUUUUUGUGCAUCUGGAUAAAAUCAUCAAGAUCAGGUAUUUCAUCGUGGGACACUCUGACAUUUUCUCCUCCCUCUGGGAACCGUUCUUCCCAAUCAACUUCUCCCUCAUCUUCAAUAAUCAUGUUAUGCAUGAUAACACAAGCUUUCAUGAUGUAUCCCAGAGUCUUUUCAUCCCAAUGUCGAGCUGGCCCUCGAACAAUGGCAAAUCGAGCUUGCAGAACCCCAAAAGCUCGUUCGACAUCCUUCCUUACUGCUUCCUGUGCUUUGGCAAAAUAUUUCCUCUUGUUGCCAUGUGGUUCUGGUAUGGUCUUCACAAAUGUGGCCCAAGAAGGAUAUAUGCCAUCAGCAAGAUAAUAUCCCAUCAUAUAAUCGUGUCCAUUUAUACUAUAGUUCACUUCAGGAGCCUUGCCUUCAGCUAGCUUUGCAAAUAGCGGGGAUCGAUGAAGUACAUUGAUAUCGUUAUGAGACCCAGGCAUACCAAAAAAAGCGUGCCAAAUCCAGAGAUCCUUUGAAGCAACGGCUUCUAAAAUUAUUGUAGGCUCGUGCACGUGCCCUUGGUACAUACCGUGCAAUUCUGUAGGGCAGUUCUUCCACUUCCAAUGCAUGCAAUCUAUGGAGCCUAACAUACCGGGGAAACCUCUGUCCUCCCCAAGUUCAAGUAAUCGAGUUGUAUCGUUCUCAUUGGGUGAUCUUAAGUAUUCAUGUUCAAAAACUUGUACAACUGCUUUCACAAACCUUCUCAGGCUCUCUAUAGCGGUACUUUCUGCAAUACCGAGAUAUUCAUCCAAAGCAUCUGCUGCUAUACCAUAAGCCAACUGACGCAUUGCUGCAGUGACCUUUUGGUGACAACUGAACCCAAUUAAACCAGCUGCAUUUCUCUUCUGCACAAAAUAGUCAUCGUGAUCCUCUAUUGCAUUCAUUAUGCGGAGAAACAGAGGCCUGCUCAUUCUAUUCCUGCGAAUCAUAACUAAUGAGACAUGCAUAUCUAUGCAUAUAACAAAAAUAAAUUAUAUAAAAUUUACUUAUACAAACCUGCGCCUGAAUAAAACUGGGCCAUAGGUAGGAUUAUUGGAAAAGUAGUCUUGGUAUAAUCUCAAGUGCCGUGCUUCUCUGUUGCGAUCAAUCACUUCAUGUCCCAUGACUGACCCACCAUGUCUUGGUGCAUUGACAGAGUGCCAAUAGCUAUGGACGAUUUGUGCCGUGGCAAAAAAAAAAAUCAUCGUCAUCGUCAGACGAUGAUUCAUCCACGAGCUGUUGAAACGAGGAGCGAGGUCGACUCAUCUUGGAUCAAAUCAACUGCCAAACCAUUAUUCAUCACAAUAAAUUAAGUUUUCCCCUUGCGACGUUGUCAGAUCAAAUUAAAAAAAAUGUGAUUGGCCUUCCGUUUUUCCAAAUAUUUAUUCAUCAUAUCAAAUUAAGUUUUUUUUUCCAUCAAGACAUUGUCAGAUCAGAAACAUAAAAAAAGGAAAUAGAACAAAGUAAAAAACAUGGUUGCUAGCAAAAUUUUGCUACUCACGCACUGCACAAGAGCUUGUGCCUGUCACCAAUCGUUGCUGCUUGCUGCAGUUGCCUGAUUAAGUGAGGUGCUAACGUCGCCGGCCCUGACAGAGGAAGAGCUCUGAUUGAGUGAAGUGCUAACGCCGCCGGCGCUGACAGAGGAAGAGCUCUAUGUGCGUCUAUAGCACUGUGUCCUUCGAUCAAUUUCGUAUAUCGCUGCGUCUGAUAUAUAACCUCGCCAACGGUAUCAGUUGCGAUCUCGCGCGCGACUAGGAUGAGCAGCCAUCUCCUUCCGUCCGCGUGCGUCGCGUCGACCAUGCCCAUUCCCCUCCGCAUCCGCACGCCGCGAUCUCCUCCUCGCCUCUCACGCGCGACGCGAUCUCCCCCUCCGCUCUCGCCUGUGAUUUUAACGAGCAGGUAGAAAAUUAGUUGGGAAGGGCCCACUAAUGAUGAUGUGGAAAAAUUUUAAAUUUUUGGGAACCAAAUUUUAGUCAUCUAUUGGAGAAGAGGGUGUAUUUUAGGCUAAAUAUGUUUUUGGCUGUCCCCAAUACAGGAUUUUUGGGAGUUUAAUUUUAGUCAUCUAUUGGAGAUGCUCUAAGCGGGCUCAUGGAUUGGCCCGCUUGCAUCCCUACUCUCAGGUUCCAUGAAUCCUAGCCAAAAGUUCAUCAGAGAACAGUGCUUUGUCAUUUUGAGCACACAGCUGUGAAGACUUAGGCCCAUGCUAUUUGAAGUUUCUGAUGGCUGAGAAGUAUUGACCAAACUGGAGUGUGGACACAAAUUUCCUGCCCCAAAUGUCCAGUGAUUCAGUCCAUGUUAGAUGUAAUAACAGAGAAACUGAGGCAACUUCUGACAUUCUGAGUAUCCGUGAACCGUGAUUGGCAUAAACAUAUAGCUUCAGCUGCCCUUUAUGCCACUUGUGAAGCUUCUGCUUCGAGGUGCAGACGUGCAGCUUCUGUUCAUUGUUAGCAUGCAUUAUGGCAUCAUGAUUGAUUCAUUCUGAGAAAAUUAGAAAAAAGAAAGAUGUCAGCUGUAAAUCACCUUGAUUGAAUGGAAGCAAUCAGAUCCUCAAAUAAACAUCCAAAACCAGAAACAAAAAUGCCUAUACUGAUUAUUAUAAAUCUUAUAAGAAACCUGAUGGAGUACCAGUACCUAGUAUCAAAUGGAUGUCGGCUAGUGAUAAAGCAUACUUGUUAAUAAUUUGCAGCAACAACCAAAAUUUCCUCACAUUCAUUUAAUUUGAUAUAUCAAACAAAUAUUGCUAUAAAUCAAACAUUGAACUUAUAGCAAUGCAAUAUGCAGCCUGUGGAAAACAACAAAAAAACAAAACAGACAAUAAUUGGCAAUACUAACUUCUACCAAAAAAUAAAGAGAAACUUGAUCCAAAAUAUCCAUCCAUUAAAUAGCUUCAGUGCAUUAUGCAAGGGAUAAUUACACCUAGUCCAUUCGAAGCCAAAUAUCGUUGCAUCUAGAGUAAAAACAUUAACAUUUUGAAAAAAAACUGAUUGGUUUACCAAUAUAAUUCUGCAACAAAAGGGCGAAUAGAUACACAUAGCAACAAUCAUGCACCGUGUGGAAAAUUUUGAAAUCUUUUUUUGUUGUGUUGCAACAUAAAGAGUGAUCAGUGAAACAAGACUUAUCAGUGAUCACAUCUAGGUUCUGAACAUUUCUGUUCUCACGGAAUUAGUCCGAACAGUUCUGAACCUGUCCAUUUAUCCGAAGCUUGAAUGGUUCUGAAAUCUAUCGUGAUGUUUGCUUGUCCAAAGUGUUACCUGGGAAUUGGCAAAUUUGCACAGGUUGGCCAGAAAGAAGCUCUCUGUCUGCUGCAGCUCACCAUCAUCUUCCCCGAGGUCAGCAUGUUUUCGCUGUAAACCGCAGCGAGGAAGGCGGAGACCACCUGGUGCUGGAGUGAGUUCCACUCAGCUAUGUGCAGCAAACUCACUGAAAUAAAUUGUUGCAAGCCAUAGCGGAUUACUACUGCAUUGCCUCCUUCGAUCAUCAGACAAUCAGUUUCUAGCUACCUUAGCCAUAAAAAAAAAAUCAGAGUGUUGUGAAUUUACCUUAUGUGCAUGGCGUCAUCAGCAGUCCACUUGGCUCACCCUAGACAAAAGAACCUCGAAUUCAAGCAAAAGCCAUAAUUUUCACUUCAUAAUAAACUCAGUAAUUUCAAGCCUGAAGAUUAAUUGUCAUCAACAGUGAGAUCAAUGUUGGUGUCACCCAGUCACUGUCAAUAGCAACUCGGUACGGGCGUGCUUGUUAUCCAAGCUGAAGUACCUGGGGUUGCCCAGGUCAGCAAAGUACCUGGGGUUGAAGAAAAUCUUUAAAUCUUACCCAUGAUACACUCCUAAAAAGUUUCUGAAAACUGCUUGGCCCCAUCUUUAUUACAUCAUCUGUUGGAACCCUUAUUCUCUGAAGCACUUAUCUAUUCUCUGUGCUAUUUAUGUAGCUAAGAGAACAAUUCAAGUUAUGUUACAAAUGCAUUAUAGCAACUUCAAAUAAUAUAUAUGGAAUGUGCAGCUUCAAACAAGUUACAUGUUCGCUGAACUCAAGGAGCAGGUUUGUCAAACAAGAGAUGUACACCAUAUGACCAACACCUACUCUGCCUAGCGACCUGCAUAAAUAUAUUAUCAAUGUAUCAAAUUCAAGUGCAUGGUAAAGACAGAUGAGUUGGCAUAGGAAACAACCAUUUUGUGAGAAAGUAAACUUCUGUGAAGAAUAAUCAGAAAUGAUGGAAUUUAGAAGACUUAAGAGUCAAUGGCUCAAUGCCAUGAUUUUUAAUGUAUUGAAACUAUUUGUUAAACACGUCAGUUUUUAAAUUCCAUUUACAAAAGUUCAAAAUGCAUGCCUAUUACAUAGCAUGGGAUUACAAGGGGCAUAAGUAAUAAAGAUUGUAAUACUGCGAGGAAUAAAAUCAUUGUUCACACUAUUUUUCAAAUAUCUCAGGUACUUCAAUAUUUUAUUUGCAUAAAUGAAUAUUGGGCAGUAAGAAUGAAUGAAACGGUGGUCUAUAUGGAAAUUUGGCAGGUUGUGACAGUUAUCUGGGAAGAAAUUUCGCGGAGGAUAUUGUGCUGAUCCAUUCCUGUACUAAGGAACCAAAAUGGCAGUUUGUUUAACUAAAAACAAAAAUCAAAUUGGCAAGCAUUAUGUGGUUUCUCACACCUGUAUUCAUGAUAAAAUUAUCGAAUAUUUUAGCUGUAGCUGAUGUUCAACGAAAUUGGCAAGCAUGAUUAUAACCGAUGAUUCAACGAAAAAUAAUAAUUUCAAAAAAGCAAAGCACUAAUUAGGCGCUGCCUCCAGAGAGGCCCGACUGUGUGCCUCCCAUAGGGCAUCUUUAGAUUCUUUUUUUUUUAAUGGAUGCAGCUAACCGGCAGGGGGUCGCCUGCCGUGCCCCGACAAGGGGAUCUUUUCACUGCUCUUUUUUCCUUUUCAGCUGAACGGCAGGGGGAACACGCCCGGCCGUGCGCACAGAGACGAUCUUUUCGCUGUAUUCAGUCGGGGUGGGUGCCCCCCGGGGAGGCGAUGGAAUAGAAUCGACCCGCGUUGAUAAACAGGUCGCGCUGUCUCUGAAUCGGCGGUGUGGGACAAAACUCGAUUGCUGGAUGGAUUCAGUCCGAGCCGGAAGCGCGGCGCGCGGACCGACCUAGGAGUAGAAGAGGGCGAGGCGUACCUGCUCUCCACGGAAGCCGGCGGCGAGGGCGCCGCCAAUCUGGCCGGAGCUAAAAGUUUCCCGCCGGCCGGCCGCCGUCGCCGUCACCGAUGCCGCGGAGACUACGCCCGUGGGACCCAGAUCGUCCGCCCAAAGGGCACACCCGCAGCCGGCUGAUCGCCGCCGGACGUCGGGAAGCGGCGCCGUCGGAGGAGAGCGAGAGACAAGGGGAGGGGGAAGCGGUGGCAUGUGGAUGUGGGAUCGAUGAAGUAUGAGGCCAUAUUUCACUCGUCUGGGCUGGAGCCCAAGCUGCUCAAGGCCCAGUUCACGCCUGGGUUGUUCUUUUUUUUUUUUUCCCAAGGACUGGUUUUUUUGUGCUCAAAGUUGGUGGGGUUGUUAGUUUGGAAGUUGCUGACUAUGGCCUGGUUUAGUUUUCAAAUUUUUUCUUAAAAACAUCACAUCAAAUCUUAGGACAUGUGCAUAGAGCAUUAAAUAUAGAUAAAAAUAAAAACUAAUUCCACAGUUUGUAUGAAAAUUGCGAUACGAAUCUUUUGAGCCUAAUUAGUCCAUGAUUAGCUAAGUGCUACAGUAACUUACAUGUGCUAAUGAUGGCUUAAUUAGACUCAAAAGAUUCGUCUUGCGGUUUCCAUGCGAGUUAUGAAAUUAGUUUUUUCAUUCGUGACUGAAAACCCCUUCCAAUAUCCGGUCAAACAUCUGAUGUGACAUCCAAAAAUUUUCUUUUCGCGAACUAAGUAGGUUCUUCAACUUUUGCAGAAUACAGAGUUAAGCCUAGGUUUCUAGUAGUCAUUAGUUGUUCGUAGAUCUUCGUGGCCAUUAACCAUUACUCCUCUGUUACAUAGUAUAAAUUGUUUGAUAUUUUUCCUAAUCAAAAUUUUUAAGUUUGAUUAAUUUUUUUAAAAAACAAGAUAGUGGUAUUUUUAACACAAAACAAAUGUAUUAUCAAAAUAUAUUUAAUAUUACAUUUAAUGAAAUUAAUUCGACAUUAUAGAUAUUGCUAAAUUUUUCUAUAAAUUUGAUCAAACUUAACAAAGUUUGAUUAGCGACUAAAAAUAUGAAACAGUGGGAGUAGAAAUUUGAGUUAGUGGUGUGUAUUUUCUUUCUUAGAAAUGGAAACCAUCCCAUUCGAUGGCACGCUUUGUAGGAUCGUAAACGGUGCAAUUUUUUCGCAAAAAAAAAGACUUCUACUAUAUAUAUGAAUUUUUAAAGGAUGUUUAAAUCAAUCUUUUAGCUCUAUGAUAGUUAAUUAAUUCGUUUUGCAUAUUCGAAUAGUUAACACAAAAUCUUUCAACAUUCAGCUAUGAAGAAAAAAAAGAAAGACCCCAAUCUCAGACGUUCCAUGCAAUUCAUAAAUAUAUUCCAUCAAAAAACGGAUUCACAAACUAUCUUCAAUCCUCUAUCUAAAACAGGGACCAUAUUGACUACUCUUCCUAAUCUUUUCCUCCUACUAACUUUUUACAUGCUAUGAUACAGUAGAUGAGAUCUUAUACACAGAUACACAUGUACAAAUAUAUAUAGCUGGGUAUUUUUUUUCCGUUUCAUUUCAGAAGCAUGUAAUCAUCAUCGUCAUCAACAUCGCCGUCGCCGUCGAUCGUGGCCGAUGGGCCACAGAACAUGCCGCCCUGUCGCCGGAAAUGGAUGAGGGCGACGGGGAGCGUGCAGAGGAGGCUGGUGAUGCCGGUGCAGGAGAUGGCCUCCUCCACCGUGUACCUGGACCCGCUGAAGAAGAGCCGGUUCGUCACGAUCGCCCCCACCGCGCCGCCGCUCGCCGUCAUGCCCGACACCACGCCCAGCGACCUGCGUGUAUUCACGCACCCACCAAAUCAGCCAAAAACAUUUAAAAUGGGCACUGAAAAUAGGUUAGUGAAAUAAUUCAGCAAUUUUAUAAAAUUGUAUGAUUUGAGAAGGAGAUAUGUUUUUAACUUUUUAGCCGUCCCAGUAAGCCAUCUCCAUUAGACCUUACCCCCUACUUAAAAAAGACAAAUCCUAGAUAUAAAUUUGGAUAAGUAAUUACUCAGAAAUUUAUAGCUAGGAUCUGAUUCUUUUAGGGACUGAGGGUGUAGACGAUGGAUCCAUUCAUGCAUGGUAAAACAUGGGUACACGCAACAACAUUUUGAGCAUGCAUCGCUGUCGUCAAUUAUUUUCAACCUUCACGUUUUAGAAAACGUUGGUUAAUUUUGUUCAUCUCGGUCCACCAGAUUGAAUCCUCCGGUUGCUUUCUUCAAUAAUUAAGUGUAUAUAGUCGGAUGCUGUGGACGUCAAGAGUAGCGCUACCCACAGAUUCUGUUUUAGAUUCUCUAAGAUCCUACCAAUUGUUAUGGCUGGCCGACGUCCUUGUACUACUUGGUAGUUGGCCAGUGUGAAUCUGUGUGUGAUGACCUCUCGUGUAUCAGAGCCAUCAUCUUCUACUCGAAUGAAUCCAUAAUAUUUAAUAAAAGGGGCAAUUAAAAUAUAAUAAAACCUUAUUGGCGUAGCAAAUUAUGUGUGGUUGAAGCUAAAGUGUAAUUAAGAAGAUUUUUUAGUUAGUUAAUUAAUUUAAUUUAAUUACCUUUUGCAGACGAAGGGAACGAUGCCGAAGGUGAGGCCGGAGGCGGCCUGCACGAACGCCGCGCACGCCACCAUGACGGCCACGGUCGCCGCCAGCGACGGCGCCUCCGCGGCGCCCAUCCUGCCGACGAGCACACAGAGCGCGGCGCCGGCGCUCUGCACGGCCCACAGCGCCCACAGCCGCCCGCGCAUCCCGAACCGCCUCGCCACCUCGUCGGAGGCCACCCCUCCGGCCGGCCGCGCCACCGCGUUCAUCGCGCCGAAGCACGCCGCGGCGGCGCCCGCGGCCUCCAUGGGCAGCCGGAACCGCCUGCGGAAGAAGUCCGCCGCCACGUUCUCCAUGAUCAGCUCCACGCCGUAGCAGUGGCCGUAGGUGAGGCCCAGCAACCACGCUCGGUAGUCGCCGACGCCGCCCCGCACCACCGCCCAGAAGCUCCUCCUCCGCCCGCCGCCGCCGCCGGGGCAGCGACCACCGCCGCCGCCCGGGAGGUCGUAGGGGAAGGCGAGCACGGCGAGGCCCGUGGUGACGAGCAUGGCGCACGGGAGUAGGUAGGUGACGCGCCACGCGACGGUGACGGGGACGCCGAGGCGGAGCACGACGGCGUCGUAGGCGACCGGCAUGACCACCUGCGCGGCGGCGCUGCCGACGUUCGCCCACCCGGCGGCGACGGCGUUGGCGAGCCCCACGGCGGAGGGCGCGAAGAUCCGCGACAUCCAGUGCUGGUUGGCGACGAAGUUGGCGAGCGAGAGGCCAGCCACGAACCGGAGCGCGACGAACCCCGCGGGGGAGGACGCGAACACGGCGGCGAGCGCGAGCGCCAGCGCGCACACGAGGCUGGCGACCCCGGACGCGCGGCGCGGGCCGAGGAGGUCGCAGGCGGGGCCCAUGGCGAGCCUCCCCACCAGCGUCGCCGAGAGCGAGGCCACGGCGGCCGCCGAGGCGUCGGAGGGCGCGAGCACGAGCGCCGGGCGCAUCGCCGGGAGGAUGGGCGGCGCGGCGAAGGCGGCGAAGAAGCACGCGAAGAGGGACAUCCACGCCAGGUGGAACGCCUGCGUGUGCGGCCGCGACAGCGCCAUCGGCCGCAGCUCCGUCGCCCUCCCCUCGUCGUCGACGACGCCAUCGCCAUAGCCGCCGUAGUCGUAGUAGUAGCAGCCAUCUUCUUCUUCCACCAGCUUCGUCUUCUUCUCCAUGGCGACCAUGGAGAUGGAGGGGCAGAGCUAGCUCGAAUUCGUGGCGGAAAUUAAACGAUGGAAUCAAUUAACGAGCUGGCCAAUGAGGGGAGGGGUUUAGAUUUUGGCGCGAGCGGUGGUGGUGGUGGUGGGGUGGUGGCGCGAGCGGUUUAAAUACGAGGAGAUCGCGGGGAGGAGAGAGGCCACGUAUACGUAGGAGGGCGGUGGGGUUUCCAAGGUGGAAGCAAGUAGUAGCUAACAGGUGUCACUGGCAAGUGGGCCCUGGAGAGGGUGGGGCCCACAUGUCAGUCAGCAUGUCGUUCUAUGCAAGCGCGGUGCGAUUUGCAUCAACGAUCAUUGAUUAAUUGUAUCAAGAAGCUACUAAGCUGGGCGCCGCGUGCAUGGGCGUGUGGCUCCCGGGGGGCUUGAAAAGGGAUGAACGUUUAUACUAGUAGCCUAAUUACGUGAUGAACUGACGAUGAUGAUGACAAAUUAAUCAGGGCCGGACGAACGGGAGGUUUUUGAUUAAAUGAUCGACCGUGACUCGUCGUAUCGGUCGUGCUGCUAGCUGCCCAGGGUGUUGUACUGUUGUGUGUGCAUGUCUCAGCAUCUUUGAUAUGAUGUAGCGCGGUCGUGUGUGCACUGUCCAACGGUAUGGACCAUCUAAAAAAAAUCUCUGUUUGGUAUAGAGCAAGUGAUGAUCGAAUUAAUGGCUCCUUUUUCUUUCAAGGGAAAAAAAAUCUCUGUGUGCAAUAUCAUCAUGCAUCUCUCAUUCUCUCGUGUAUGGCCGUAUAGUCCUUAAAGUUUGUAUCUCAGUAUCAUGAGCGAAUGAUACUCAAAAAAAGAAAAAAAAUUGAAGAAGUAUCAUGAGCGAAUGACGCGGGAUGUCGAAAAUUUCAUUCUUCGCCAGCUCUUUUUAUUUUUUUGGGGGUUGUUUAAAAAAGCUGUUAAAAAUAAGACUGAAACUGAAAAUAAUUUAGGGCUCGCUUGAUUUGGAGAAAAAAAACAUAGAAAUUUUAGAGGAUUUCAAUCCUAUAGGAAAAAUUUUAUAUGAAUGCCUUUGAACCAAAUGAUUGAAUCUUAUCCAAUCUUUUAAAAUUCCUAUGGAAUGGACAAAUCCUAUAGAGAUUUUAGAGGAAAAUAGAAAGAUCUUAAAGCUCUUGGAAUUUCUUUGAGUCUAUCUCUCUUAUCCGAUUCCUGUGUUUUUUCAGCGGUCCAAUCAAACGGUUGUUAACGACCAAAUUUGGUAAAUUCUAUCACUAUUGGCAUCGGAGAUGAAGAUCAGAUCGAAGUGGAAUCCAAGAUGAAGAUCGUUGCGGAAACAGAGUAAGAAUCGGCUGCAGUCCAAAUCGGCUAAGGUCAGGUCGGCAGAGUUCGAGUCGGACGGGGCUAGCCGAUACAGCCGAUUCUGAUAAUAUGACUCGGUGUAUGUCAUCGGGUUCAAGUUGAUGUGCUUCAAGAUGAUUUCCACUCAUGGAUAGAGUCCUGGGAAGGCAAUUGUAUUUAUUAAUUAGGAUAUUCUAUGUGAUUUCCUUAGAGAUAUGUUUGGGCAAAAGUCUGCCGUAAAGACUUAUGAUAUCUUAGAGUUUGUUAGAGAUAAUAGUCGUGUCCAUUAUGGGCGUAUCUUGUAAUUCUCGGGUAUAAAUAGACCCGAGCCCUAUGUAAAAAAAGGACAACACAUCCAAUACAAUCUCGGCGCAUCGCCACCCUUUUUGCUUUACUUUUAUUUCGACGAGUUCGUGCUCUCGGGUUGAGCUGCAUCGGUUUCGAUCUUCAACAAGAGAUAAAACUUGUCAUGAUGACUUAUGUUCUCAGGAUUAGUGUCUCCAUCUUUAUGAUACUCUAAUGUUGUCUAUAUGAUUCGUCGAGUUAUCAUAUAUCUCACAUAAUCUUCGAUAAUAUCUUUAUCUAACCUAUAAUCGACUAACAUCUGUCAAUGGAAGGCAGCCGGUUAGGUUAGACAAUGACGUUAACUUAUGGCCGAUGAGUAUCAUAACCUUAUGGCCGAUGAAAGGGAAGAUCUGGUUCAAUCACGGCUACGAGCCCUUGCAAAGGUUACUAGGGAUAAGGAGCGAGUUGCCCGGCAUUAUAAUAAGAAAGUAGUACCCAAGGACUUUUUGGAAGGUGAACUUGUAUGGAAGUUGAUUCUGCUGAUUGGGACUCGGGAUAACAAAUUUGGCAAGUGGUCGCCGAAUUGGGAAGGACCGUUCCAAAUUCAUAAGGUGAUGUCUAAGGGAGCAUACAUGUUGCAAGGACUUGAUGGAGAAGUUUAUGGCCGAGCUCUAAAUGGAAAAUACUUGAAGAAAUAUUAUCCCAGUGUUUGGGUUAAUGCAUGAUCGGCUAGUGUUGCUGAUACAUCAUAACCGAUGUGUUUGCAUCGCUUUGAGAUGGCCGAUAUUGUUAUAUCGCCCUUAGUUGCUUUUCACUAUUGUCAUCGGUUGUGGUUUGCCGAUGUACAAAUGGCCGGUAUUGUUAUAUCGCCCUUAGUCGUUUCUAUAAUUUUGUCAAUAUUUUCAACAUUGUAAAAUUAGGGGGGCACAUACAUAGAAAAUUGCAACUUUUUGAAAAUUGCAAAUUUUUGAACAUUGCAAAUUUUUGAAAAUUUUUGAACAAGCUGGCACAAGGAUGGCACAGGGAUUGUAUUAACAGCAAAGUAAUUAGGGUGUUUUAGCCGAUUACAACAGUUUUCUACAGACUAUUACAUGGAAGUCACUGAGACAAGUAUCGUUGGAUAGCCGAUAUAGCCUUUUGCCUAAUCUGAUCUAUUUCUUCGAUAGCUUGGGCGUCUUGAGCAUCGGUUCCAGGAAUGACUUUCAAGGAUUUACUCAUCUCAGCAACGUUCUUGAUAGCUGAUUUUAGCCUUGCCUUCUGUUCUUCGACAGCUUGCGGGAGAUCAGCUAACUUUUUGUGCUCUAGAUCCAGUUCAGCAUUGCAUUCUUGAAGUUGUGCCAAGAGUUCAAUCUUGCGAGCUUCAAGCCGAUCAAUAUUAGAUUUGAUUGGGCCUUCAGAUAACUGAUCAAGCUUGGCUUUCUCUUCAUGAACAAGCUGCCGAUUGGUUUGGAUUGUAGCCUCGAUGUCCUUGCGCUCCCGGCGAUCGGCUAACAUCUGCCUGGCUUUCUCCAGUUUGAAUUGAUGCUACUCGAGGUAGACAGCUGGAGUAAGAGCAUCGACUAAUUCGUCCGGAAGAGAGGCUUGGAUAUCUACAAAUCUUGCCCGGAUUGAGCCACAGUUGGUCACCAGGUUAUCCAGUGACGCUCCUAGCCGAUGGGAGAUGUCUUCGAGUGUUUUUUCACAUCAUCAGACAGGAGAGCUGUUGCUUUGCUGGUGGUGUCUUCUUCUGUUUCAUCGAGGUAAUCUUUGAUGUCAAAGGAGAACAGAUCGGCUAAGACCUGCAAGAGAUAAUAUCAUGGAUGAUUAAGGAUCAAGAUAUGAUUGGCCGAUCUCAAAUUUAUGUUAAUAAAACUUACUGGAAUAGUAGGUGCAGCUAAUUGUUCCUCCUCUUCAACAUGAUGACUGCCUACAGCCGAUAGAGUGCGGCUGCCUGAUUCUGCCUGCACAAGAGGGGAAGAAGGAGGAGGAGGCUGCCAAAGGGAUAAAUGUUAGAUAUAAUCAGCCCAAGUCAGUUAAUGAGAUGAUAGAAGUAUCUUACUGGUGGAGCUGGUUUAGGGGCUGGAGUAACCGAUUUCUUCCUCACAGCAAUUUUCUUUCUCUAUAUUUAUUAAAAUUGUGAGGAAUCGGCUAUAAAGUAAAUGAUUGCAAAAGUGGACAGAGAAAGUUGCUUACCCUUGCUAAUUGAGCUGGAGCAGAAGGGAAUGGAGGAGCCUGCUUAGGUGAAGCCGAUGGUGUUCUUUCAGUAUCGCUUAUUUCGGCUGCAGCUUGGUCAAUGUCUUCCCCGAUUUCUUCUUCAUCCAGAGCUUGUUCGAUGGAUGGAUCUAGGGCGGGUAGAUCGUCAGCUGGCUUAGCUUUCUUUGUCUUAGCCUUCUUCUUCGGAGCCGGGGCUGAAGUAUCUGUAGCCGAUGAUCUGGUUCUCCGCUUCUUGUCGGCAUCGGCUGGUUCUCUGAUGAGCCCUUGAAGAAGUGCUGAAGUCUUGGGGGCAUUGAAGCUGAUGGUAGAAAGAGAUGGCCCACCUCCAUUUGAAAUUAGACCUAGAGCAUACUUAAUGACCUUGCCGCUAUUGCUCUGGCGAGGAGGAGAAGAUUCCGUUGUCUGCAAAACAGAAGAAAAGUUAGUCAAGGUUCAAAUCGGCUGAAUGACUAUUCAAGCAAGAUUGAAGAAAUGAAGAUUAACCUGAGGGAUAGCAUCAGGGAAUAAGUCUGUCAUGUACAUGGAAGCCGAUUGAUGGAACAGAUGUAGCUUCCACUCGCCCCACCAUCUGUCAAAUGCCCUGCUCCUGAGUCUUGCUAACUUUAUGUUUUCAAUGCUGCCUAAUGGGGGUCCAGGGAUGUUCAAUAGCCGAUCCAUCAUCAAGGUUGAAGAGAUAUUGCCUCUGCACUGGAUCUUGUCGGUAAAGUACAGGCCGAUUGGCAAUUGUCCCAUUCCGAGCUGUCUGGCCGAUGACAUUGGAUGAUAAAACUCGUAAGAGACCUGAAUAUUUCUCCCUUGAUGUAUGCCAACUGGGAGGAUACAUGGGCUGAUGGCAGUAGUGAAGAUUUCUCUAGAUUGCUGAAACUUUUCAUGAUUAAUGUCUUCAAACCUGAAAUCGGCUGGCAGUUCGAAAUCCAUUGAGUCGGCAUAGAAGAACCAAAUUCGGGCAUCUUUUUGGAACCCGUCAUAAAAGCUGAAGAACCAGUCCUUCAGAAGUUCAGCCGAUAACUUUGCUCCUGCAUCGGCUGGUGUAGAUGCAUAUUCUCCGUAUGACAUACAUCUGCGAUGGGUGCGUUUUUCUCCAUCAUCUUCCAUAAUCGGCUCCAACCUUGGAAAUUCAGCUUCUGUCACAGAUGGCCGAUUGACAACUUUCAUGACUACCAGGUUCAGCCAGGAUUGCAAGAGCCACCAUGGUCCACCUGUUCCAACCACUGAGCCGACAAUUAUCUUGGCCGAUGCGUUGUUUAAUAUCUGGUAUAGAUAGCCGAGAAGGAUUUUGCCUAAGGGAAAUUGUUUCUUCGUUACUAGGGCCUCGGCUAAGAAUUGCCAGUUGGUUGUAGGACCGUAGCUUGAUCUGCAAAAAAGGAAUUUUUCCAACCACAUCAGCAAAAAAGCUACGUGUUCUCUAGGAGUGACUGGCCCUUUGCCCAUAUAUGCUGUGAUAUAUCCUGACCAACCCCCAAUGCUCUUAGUUUUGAACUCAAAAGUAUUCUUGGUGUUCAGGUUCAUGGGGUUAGCUGAUGAGGUUACAUCUAGGCCAGUGAGCAUGAUAAUAUCCAGCAGCGUUGGGGUCAUCGGCCCUUGGUUGAAAAGAAAAGCAUUGAGAGUGUUGGACCAGAAAUAAGUUGCAGCAGACAUCAGGGGUUCAUCUUUGGCCGAAUUUGCUAUUGUGAGGGCUAGGGCUUGGCUGAUUCUGAUCUCAUCCCAAUGGGCUUGUUUGCUACCCGAUAUCCGCUUAUACCAUACAAACCAGCUUUUCUCCAAAGAAGGCCAGGAUUUGAAGGUGUUUUUCCAAUGGCUCGUGGUUGGAUUGGCCGACCUAAAAGGGGUUCUGUUGGUUUCGGCUAUGAUAAACUCAGUGGGGUCUAGAUUGUCGAUUGGACCAAGAAAGUAUUGUUGGUCAUGCAACAGACUAGGAACUGCAACAAGAUUGGAAAGAUGCUACAAGAAUAGAGAAGAAGAAAACAAGAUAAGGUGAGUGAAAAUCGGUCUGAUGAACGGAAAAGGGGAUCUAGCCGAUGGGGCUUACCUCAGCAUAUUCGGUUGAUGAUGCGGCGGUUGGAUUGGUGGAGGUCGACAUCGUCGCGGGUGGAGAUCUGGCCGGGAGUGGAAUCGCCUGGAAAUCGCCCUGUGCGUCGAGGAGGUCGCCGGAGAGAGAGAGGACGGGAUCUGUUUAAGUGGUGAAGACGGAAAUCACGGCGUAAAGAUUUUUUGGGGCAACGGUUAGUAUUUAAAGCAGAGCGAUAACGGUCAGAAAAACAACAAGUGCGAGUUUCUCUCAGAGUCGGUAUAUGGCAAAUCCGAAACAUUAUCCAAUAUUCCGGACUUGGGGGGCAUGUGUUAACGACCAAAUUUAGUAAAUUCUAUCACUAUUGGCAUCGGAGAUGAAGAUCAGAUCGAAGUGGAAUCCAAGAUGAAGAUAGUUGCGGAAACAGAGUAAGAAUCGGCUGCAGUCCAAAUCGGCUAAGGUCAGGUCGGCAGAGUUCUAGUCGGACGGGGCUAGCCAAUAUAGCCGAUUCCGAUAAUAUGACUCGGUGUAUGUCAUCGGGUUCAAGUUGAUGUGCUUCAAGAUGAUUGCCACGCAUGGAUAGAGUCCUGGGAAGGCAAUUGUAUUUAUUAAUUAGGAUAUUCUAUGUGAUUUCCUUAGAGAUAUGUUUGGGCAAAAGUCUGCCGUAAAGACUUAUGAUAUCUUAGAGUUUGUUAGAGAUAAUAGUCGUGUCCGUUAUGGGCGUAUCUUGUAAUUCUCGGGUAUAAAUAGACCCGAGCCCUAUGUAAAAAAAGGACAACACAUCCAAUACAAUCUCGGCGCAUCGCCACCCUUUUUGCUUUACUUUUAUUUCGACGAGUUCGUGCUCUCGGGUUGAGCUGCAUCGGUUUCGAUCUUCAACAAGAGAUAAAACUUGUCAUGACGACUUAUGUUCUCAGGAUUAGUGCCUCCAUCUUUAUGAUACUCUAAUGUUGUCUAUAUGAUUCGUCGAGUUAUCAUAUAUCUCACAUAAUCUUCGAUAAUAUCUUUAUCUAACCUAUAAUCGACUAACAUCUGUCAAUGGAAGGCAGCCGGUUAGGUUAGACAAUGACGUUAACUUAGAUUAUGUGAUAUAUCUACCACUCUACGAAACUUCCAACGGCUUGAUUGUCUAGAUAUUAUGUUUCUUUUCAUACUUAGUGCUGCAUCAGUUAAGUUUGAUCUACUAAGUCGUGCUUAGAACUACAAUCUCUAGCCUGCUUUCUGGUUGCCGAUUAGGGUAGUAUCGGAGUUUCAGCCGAUCUUAUCUGAUUUAACUACUUUUAUUCCAUAUGCUUAAUCUAUAUGUUAAAUCUGCCCUUUAUGUUAAGAUCUUAUCGCAUCUAAGUAUAUUAGACUUAUGUUUGAUAUAUUCUACUUGCUUUAACAUCUUAAUAUAGAGUGGUAUCGGAGUAUUAGCCGAUACAUGCUAGAUCCAUUUGAUCGGCUAUGCUAUAAAUGUAUAUAGUCCCACUAUUAAUAUAUAUUUCGAUCUAAGUGAUUUAUACUGUCUCGGCAAGGUGACCGAUCUGUCCCGAUCACUUGAUUUAAGUAUAUAUCGAUAUAAGGAUUAUAUAUCAUUAAUAUCUACAGCCGAUCGAGUAGAUUUAGUUCUAAUUUGUUUAUUGAUAUUUGCCGAUCGAUGUACGCAUGACAUCGGCUUGAAAUAAAUGAUAUGUCAUCGGCACCUAACCGAUCGGCUAUCAUUUAUAGGAUUGAUUGCGGUUUCUUUGUUCUAUUUCUUGUUGAUUGCAGGAUCAAAUCAACUGGCACGCUCAUACAUCCGAAGGCGAGUUUUGGACCUGCACUGGAGUUAAGCAGAUCUCCCAGGCCUCGUGUUUUCUGUCAACAACGGUCAUUCCUAUAUUUUGUAAACUUCGAUUUUACACUUUCAUUUCUAUUAGAAUUGUAUUUAUUUAUGCUUAGCUAAUGGUUAGAAUUAACUUUUUUUUUUUGCAGAUCAACUAGUACUGGCGCCUUGUGUAACUGAGGUACUUAGUUACUGUUGAUCUUUUUAGGCUGACGGAGACACAAAAUGGUUCCACCAUUUGGGAAUUGGGAGACUAGUAGCUAGGCAGAAGCUGCUUCAUUGCAGCAUAGUUAGCAAUUUAUAACUACUACAGAGCUCACUUGUGGUUCUUACGUUCAAGCCAGCUGUAAGUUUACAACCCGCUUCUCCUCUCUCUCCUCUCUUCUCUCUUUCACCUCAAAUAUUUAGCCGACUUACAGCCUUAUGUGAUGCUUGAUCUUACUUGUGUUUCACUGUACUUAUGCGUUGCCGUCGUUCUUUGAUUACGUAGGCAGCGGCUAGCUAGCCCAUGCAUGAUCCAGGAAUAAUAAAACACUAACGGGUAAUAGCUGCACUAAUAUGAUUGGUGGUUGCCUUGUCACCCUAGUUAACCUACUAAUCGCGCUCGCCUUCACCUAACCGUAACUUCCAGAACUCUCCCUUCUCUUGCGCAAGCACCAAACCUCGUCGUGUACCCCCGAUUAAACAUCAGCUAAUCACCCUUAAUUAACCUAAUUAACGUCGCCACGUAGGACCAGUGGGCCCCACGAAAGGGGACACGAGGACGGCUGCGGGGGAAGGAGGUGGGCCCAGGCGCGCGCGGAGCCACCAGCUCAGCAUCUGGGGGUGGGGCCCAUCAGCCCAUGGGCCCCAGAAUCAAGGGCCUUGGGUCUCUCCGGGAGGGCGAGGGGUUGGCGCUCGUGUCCCCGCGUUGCAGCUUCAGUAGCCGGAGGGGAUCCGAUUGGACGCCGAUAAAUUCCUGAAUCUCCCCGUGAAUCUCUUGCUGCCUCCUCGGAGCGUCGUUUAGGCAAGUUUAUACAGGAGAUUAGUGGCAAAAUGCUAUUGUCAAAUUCGUUUGUCAUAUGACAAAAGUUGACGAUGGGAAUGUGUUCGUAUCAUCACCAUUCAGAGGGGUUUGCUUAGUUUCAGCAGUACGAGAAAAACCGGGAAAUAGAGCUCUCGCGCCGCUCUCACGCGGGCGGCUCGGGAGCGAAACCCUAGCCGCCCGCGCCACCCCCUCCCAACGCCUCCAGCCACCUCGCCGCCGCCGGAGCCCGCCGCCGGAACCGUGCGACCAGCCGGGAAGGCGGCGGCGGGGAAAACGUACCGGCGGCGGAGCAUCCCCUUGGCGUGGGAGGCGGCGCGACGCACGCACGGCGGAAGGCGGCGGCCGGAGCGGCCGGCGGGGCUGAUCCGGUCGCGCCGGACGCGGAUCCGGCCUCCCCGGUGGAGGAUCUGGCCCCCCGGCGGCUAGAUCGGGAGAGGGGCGGCGGCGGCGCGGCAAGACGGCGGGCGGCCUCAAGCUCGCGGCGACGGCGACGCGGCAAGUCGGCGGGUGGCCCGAGCUCGCGGCGACGGUGGCGCGGCAAGACGGCGGGCAGCCUCGAGCUCCCGACGACGGCGGUGCGGCAAGACGGCAGGCGACCUCGUGCUUGCGGUGACGACGGCGCGACCUCGAGCUCGCGACAGCGGGGCGCGACUCGGCGGAAUAGCUCGCGGCGGCGGCGGCCGUGACAGCGCGGAGGAACAGCCCGACCGGCACGCUGCGAAGGCUGACCGGCCAGACGGCUGUUGGCGACGGCGGUGGCGGUCGUGCCCGCCGUGGUGCUCGUGGCAGUUGGUGGUGGCGUCGGCUGGCAACAGCUGCGGAGGACAUGGCGGCGGCGUCGAGCUAGCUGCUUGGUGGCGGAGGAUGACGGCGCAGCGGUUUGCGGAGGCGGAGGCUGGCGUCGGUGGUAGCGGCGACGGCGGCCGUGGCUGUGGACGGUGGCGACGUCGGCGGAUGCGGGUCGCUAGCGAGGUGGCUGGGCGUUCGGCAGCAGCGGUUGCGGUGGCGGUGACCGUGUCUGCGGUCACCGGAGGCAUGGCGGACUCGGAUGGCUAGCCGAGGGCGUGGCAGACGACUGCUUUUGGCUGGCACGGCAUCGUUUGGUGGAGGGGUCGGAGACCGGUUUGGCGCAGAGAGGUGCAGCCGAUGGCAGCGGAGGCUGGCUCGGCGCGAGAGGCGCGGGCGGCGGAGAUGGAGGCCGGCUUGGCGCGAGAGGCGCGGCCGAUGGAGGGAGGCCGGAAUGGCGCGAGAGGCGCGUCCGGUGGAGGAGGCCGGUUUGGCGUGAGUGGCGUGGCCGGCGGUGGAGGAGGCGACCUAGGUGUGAGGAGGAGCUGCCGAUAGGAGUAGCGCGGUCUUUGGCGCACGAAGGCUGGCCGGCGGGGGACGCCGGUGCAGGGGUUCCACAUGUCGGCAGAGCUUGUGUGGUGGUGGAGCAUCGGUGUGUCAGCUGUGGAUUCGCAGGUGGUGAGCGGCGGGUGAAAACCUAGUCUGGCCUCGGCCGGACCGACAACGAUGGUUCAUUCCCCCUCAUGAGGGCAUUGUCGUGCUGUCUCACCCCUCAAAGGUGGUUGCCGGGCGAAAGCCCAGUCUUGGCUCCUUUGAGCUCCGAUGGACGGCGGCGGCGGUUUGUCGCUUCUCUUCUUGAAGACGUCGUUUUGGCAUCCCCUAGGGGGGCGAUCUUGCCUGUGUCCCUUUGUUGGUCUAGUGGUGGUCGGUCAAGCUUAGCGGCGGCCGUUCCGGUGCUAGCCUUCUCCUAGGUUUGUGUGUUGGUGAUGUCGGUGUGUGGGUGGUGGUUUUUUUUCUUUUUCCUGGUUACGACCCUCUAGGGCUGUAAUCUUGUAAUUUUUUUCUGCUCUAUCAAUAAAACUUCGCACCAUCUCGUGCAAGUCGUUCAAAAAAAAGAGGGGUUUGCUUAGUCCUUCGUGUUCUUUUUUUUUUUACUGGGAGAUCCAAAGGAUCUACGUACCCUCGUGUAAACACUUAACAAUGAUACGUGGGCCAUCUUCGCUCUUUUGAAACUUGGAAGGCACGAACCGUGGUGAAAACCCUGUCUUAAUUCUCCUCGAGACCUCGACAGAUGAUAAUCUCAGUGCUCAUCGUUGUUUUUCUUCUUGGAAACAUCAACCAGGAGGCUCCACUACCAAAACUACUCUCAAACAACUUGUACAUGCUCUCUCUGGAUGUUUAUCCUCUUGCGACGAUGCCCCAGCUAAUGCAAGUUGGCUAUGUUGGUGAGCCUUGUGGGAGAGAGCGGCUUCAUUCUUCUUUCUCACCCUCUCUUCUCUAACCCCAAAGGUGUGAAUAGAAUUGAGUGCGAUGUUCGACUGUUAGGGUUUGAUUUUUGGGAGGUUUCCGUUGUAGCUUAUUUGUUGGUCUAGCGAUGGCCAGUCCAGUGCUAGCCUUUACCUGGUUCUGUGUAGGUGCUAUCGGUGCGUGGUGGUGUUUUUUUUUUCUUUCCUUAUCUACUAUCUUCCAGGGUGUUAGCCUUGUAAUUAUUUUCUAUUCUAUUCAAUCAAUCAUCGCAUUGUGGUCAUUAAAAAGAAUUACUGUGGUGAUACACCUAGUAAUUGAAAACUUCACUCCUAUCGUUUAACAAUUUAACUUGCUGCUUAUAAGCCACAACCGAAAUUUAAAUUUCAAAACUUAAUUUUGAGUUGCUUGGCGGGCAAUUAACAAUUACCUAAGGCUAGCCAAUAUUACAAUUUGUUUUUAAACCCACAUCAUGACUGGUUGCAAAUGCACUCCUCCAUGGGUAAGCUUCAUAGGUGACGGAACUCAAGACCGAUGCCGACGAGCAUCCGUGAUGGGCCCUAAAUUACCCCGUCAAAGGUGACCGUGUCAUCUUUGACGUGUUGGUUUCACGACAGGGUCAUCCAAGACGAUCUGUAGUUUAAUUGUACCUCAUCGGUGGGUUUUCGUUGAGAACCGUUUAAGGUGACUGUUGUCGGUUACACCUUGUGCCUAACACACAUGUGAGUGAUUUGUUAUCUUCUUUCCUAUAAGUGAGUAUCAAAUUUAGUUCUCGUUUAAUGAUUAUUUUUUUAUAAUUUAUUGAGCGAUAUAUGACUGGAGAAUCUUUGGUAACAAAUGUUUUCAGGCAUUUUCUUGAACCUUGGAUGAUGCAGGAGGGCAUGAAGACUUUAGAGUUUCAAACGGAUCAGAAGAGAAAUGCAACUGCUGUUAGAGAAGAUAAUAAUAAUAAUAAUAAUAAUAAUAAUAAUAAUAAUAAUAAUAAUAAUAAUAAUAAUAAUAAUAAUAAUAAUAAUAAUAAUAAUAAUAAUACUGUUGUUGUUAUACCUGAGUAACUACUUCAUUAUCGCUGGAGGAAACACUGAUUAAUCACCACAGACAUGAUCGAAGACUAAACUCGCCCGGUGAAUGACGCUAUAGAGGAGUGGGGUGAAUAUAGCGUGUCAAAGCUUUCCCACAAAAAUACUUCUUCAAAAACAUUAUGUAAAAAUAUUCUUUAGACUGUAGCUUAAUUAUGCCAGAUCUAGAAGAUCACUUUAAAAUACAUAUUACAGCGAUUAGAUCCGUUUUUUUCCGGCUAGGCUGUUAGGCGUUUCUGCUGGCGAUCGCCGCAAGUCCGGCCGGUGGCUGAUCAUCUUCGUCGGCUGUGAGCGGCUGGUGUUGCUCUUGUGCGGCCUCGGCGCCGGCGUCUUUCAGUGUUACCGUGCUCUAAAAAUUUAAGUAAAAUUUGAGGACUCCUUUUAGACAACGGAGAAUUUAAGAAAAUACUCCGGGCCACAUUCAAACAUUUCUUGUAUGUAUUUUAAUGUUUUCUAAUUUCUUUUUGAAUUUUAAUAAAUUAUAUUAUUCCUUUUAAAAAAUAAUUUUUAAUUCGGGAUAAAUUUAUCAGGACGUGACAGUUACGUGCCAUAUAGAACUCUGCUUUUAUAUUUACGACCCCUGCUUACACUUGCAGCCUGCAAACUUUAACCUUAAUUUUUUCAUUCAACUGAAUCCAUUAAUCAAUCAUUCUCACAUUUACAUGAAUGAUCAGUUAAUCGGCAAAUUAAUAGUUUAUAUAAAGAUGAGUCAAGCGCACCGCAAUAGACGGCCGCCACACUUGCACAGGGAGGCGAGGUCAAGGGGGCUCCGAGAUUAAAACUGCGACCCCACUUUGAGCCGCACUUUCUUCUUGUUAUUUUCUGUUCAAACGAUGUUAUCAAUGGGAUGUAGAACGUGAAACUAUCCCAAGUCACCAUGAUAUAUAGUCCUAAAAUAUAGCUACAAAUAGUACGGAUAGAUGGCCCUUGAACUGAUCUUUUGGCUAUGUGCACUGUUACAGUGCAGAGACCGGUAGUGUCCUAAAUCUAAUUCCACCACAGGAGAAGCUUGUCAAAGAUGUGAUAUGUCGACGACCCUCUCCUCACUACUCCAAAGGGGUGAACCUCACCGUGGAUGUCAACUGGUAGCAACACGUGAAAGAGCUUUUGAUACCGACGACAUCUCACACUAACACAAUUUUUUUUUUUGAAAACACAUCACAAUUUAUUUAAAGACAACGUGAAUUGAAUUUCCGAAUACAUCGCCCAGGAGAUACAUAAGAGUUGAACAAGCUAAGAGUUGAACAAACUUUAACAAGAGAGAGGUCAACUGAAGAAAGGAAACAAACUUCCUAAUGAAACUAAGCAGGAAUAGAGGAUCAAAUCGACAAGUUACUGCGGCGAUACCGUGACGGCUACAUCCUAGGGAACGGCACAUAUAAGACUAUCCCAACUACUUAACUAUACUAGGGGAGGGGGGACGACCCAUCUCCCUCCCGCCGCCGGUGACAAGGCUGUCGGAAUCGAUGAGGAAGAGGGGUCGACGAGAAAGCUUUACUAAGGCUGUGUUUAGUUUCACGCUAAAAUUAGAAGUUUGAUUAAAAUUGAAAGUUUGAAAAAAAAAGUUGGAAGUUUAUGUGUAUAGGAAAGUUUUGAUUUGAUGAAAAAGUUGGAAGUUUGAAGAAAAAACUUAACACAAAAUCUUAGAAGUGGUAUUGGACGGAGCUCAGGCAUCAAGCAAAAUACUGUUGACUAACUAAUUGGCCCUGCUUGUCAGCGUGUUGGGAGAAGCCACCGCUAUGGAUUGGAGGUCCAGGUUGAGCCUCGUUAGAGCAUCUCCAACAACCUACCCAAUCAUGCUCUCUAAUACCUAUAUAGCCAACUCUCUAAUUGAUUUAGCAAGUUAAACCCGUUGCUCACUCCAACAGCCUCUUCAUCCACCCUCUCUAUUCUGAGUGUAUGACAUUGGGACCCGUAUGUCAGUCUGUCACACCUUCCUCCCCCUUCACUUUCCUCCCAACUAUAUCACCGACGGUAGGCCACGAGGAGGGAAAAGCCAGCGAGGGGCGGCGCCGGCAAAGGGGCGGCGCGGAGGGGCGACGCCGGCGAAGUCGCGGCGGCGUCAUAUGCGCGGGCGGCGGCCUUGGCGGAGUCGUGGCGGCGUCGUAGGCGCGGGCGGCGGCCUCAGCGGAGUCGUGGCGGCGUCGUAGGCGCGGGCGUCGUCCUCGGCGGAGUCGCGGCGGCGUCGUAGGUAUGGGCGGAGGCCUCGGCGGAGUCGCGGCGGCGUCCCUCGUAGGCGCGGGCGGUGGCUACCUCCCCUUCCCCCGACCCCAGCCCGCCGCCAUCGCCUCGAGGUCGGCGGCGCGGAGUGCGCCGAUGGCGACGACGUUCUGCGGUCGGAGCUCCGGCUCGUCGUCGCCGUUGCCAUCGCCGUUGCCGUCGCCACCCCGCUCAAGAUCCCGGAGAGUCGAGGGGAAGACGAAGGGCGGCGAAGCCAGAAGGACGACGGCAGCGGCGGCGCCGGGAGGAGGACGGCAGAGGGAGCACCGGGAGGACGACGGCGGCGGGCAGGGAGGGAGCUGGGACGGGUGGGGAAAGGGUAAGAGAGAGGAGAGAGGGGUGGGACCCACACCAGAUGGCCAGCCGUCCUGGCUAGCCAACUUUGGCUUAGUGAGGUGGGGAAUUUAGCCAGCCGGAUAGCUUGGAGAGCCAUUUGGCUAGUCUGUUGGAGUAGAUUUUUUUGUCCAAAUUAGCUAAAAUUUAGCUUGGAGAGUCAUUUGGCUAGUCUCUUGGAGACGCUCUUAGUCGUUAGAUAUACUAGAGUCUGCGACACGCCCCUAUCUAGCACAUCUCCAACUUUUUUCCUUCAAACUUCAACUUUUCCGUUGGAACUUUCCUACACAUAUAAAUUUCUAACUUUUUCGUCACAUCGUUUCAAUUUCUUCAAAUUUUUAAUUUUAGCAUGGAACUACCUUAGUUAUUUAACAAAGUAAAAAAGUUAGCUAGUUGAUAUGACAUCGUUUUUUAAUAUAUAACAUCGUUGACUUUUUAAUAAACAUUUGACCGUUCGUCUUAUUAAACUUUUUUUUGCAAAUACAAAAAUAUUUAAGUCACGCUUAAAAAAUAUUUGAUGAUAAAUUCACAAUACACUUAAAUAAUUUUUUUAAUAAGACGAAUGGUCAAACAUAUCUUUAAAAAAAGUUAAUGGCGUAAUAUAUUAAAAAACGGAGAGAGUAACAAGUUUCCUCCUUGCGGAACCAAUCUAUACCGUACACGUACAGAAAAACUACACGGUAAAACAAAUACAGUAUCUGCUACAGCAAUCCUACUCGGCAUGCCUGGUUUCUCUCCCUUCUGAGAUGCUUGAUGGCUUGGAAUAUCUAGACCUCGAGGACAUUGCCGAUGGCGGCCCAACUCCGUGAAAGCUUCUCUGCCUCUUGUUGUACCCGCAAUGGCGUGUUUGCUCGCACCAACUGUUCCUGAUGUCUUCCAAGCCUAAUAAAUUCACUUUAGAUAUACCAUCACAGAGCCAAGUCGUCCCAACCAUAUGGACAGUGUGUGUGCUACACGAACGAGGAGCCUGAUGCACACCAACUUGUGUGGAUUCAUAGUAGCAUGUAUUCAUAGUACUACACGAACGAAUGUAGUACUGGAAGUGAUAUAUUUUAUUUAGAAUAUAAAAUAUAUCAUAUCCAAUACUAGAUUGGUUUUUUUACGAGACAAAGGGAGUACGCAUGUAUAUGGCCCGACCAGCAUGCAUGGCAGCAUCCAUUUCGAUCUUCCCAAUCUGCCUUUAAUUUCCUGCCUAAUUAAUUUAUGAGCAUUGGCAUCAAAAAGGAAAAUUGCUACCAUUAUCGAGUAGUUGCGCUAGCUGGGGGCCAGGAUCAACUACGAGUUCUGCAAUAACUUGGCAUUCCUAAAUCUCACACCCGCAAUAUUGGUUGCUCGACUUGUCGAUCAUGUGUAGUGCUCUAAAUUUCUCUUUCUUAUUAAUUAAAGGUUUCAGCUGGCAUCUUUCCACCAGCCUGUGAAAUAGUAUUGUAGAAUAAUUUUUUUGCUAUUAGAUAAAAAGCAUGUAAUAGGCAUUAAAAUAUUCUUGCUACUAGAUAAUAUACAUUUUAGAAGUGGUAAAUAGCUACUACCAAGCCAUAAACUUACUAGUAGGACAUAAACAAUUUAUGGUGAAUUCCACCUUGUUGUUUUAAUUGUAUCAAGGCUCAUCUUAUAUAUAGUUGGACUUUUCUUUUUUUUAAGAAAAAGAUAGCUUCCACCUUAUUUUCAACCUACAAGUAUACAUUGUAGAGCCUCUUCAAUCUAUUAAUGCUACCUGACACGAGUCACCUUAGCUUAUUGCAUCGUUGGAUAGUAAACAUUGAGAAUGGCCUAGAGAUGGAAGCCUCUCCGUUGAGGUAACAUGCGCGUGAGCCUUGAAGUAACAGAGAUAUUGUUAAUUAGCCUCUCUAUUGAGGUACCGAGCCACGCCUUAGCGCGCAUGCAUGACCAAUGAUCGCCUAACACAUGAAGGAUCACACUAGCUGGCAUGUCGAAUGCUCCUGAUGCCUUCCAAGCCCCAAUGCACCCAACCUAACUAUCUGUACAUACAUGUAUAUGUUGCAUCUAAUUUGGCAUGCGUAACUUGCACUCUCUACCUAGCAAAAAAGCCGCCCAUCUAGCAUAUAUAUAUGGGUCUUCUCUCUAAAAUUUUGAAGUAACCAUAGAUACCUAAUCAUUUAAUUUUUCGGUCUACUACUUUUUCCGUAUUUGUCAUUUUCUUUGGGUAAUUAUCCUUGUCAUCACACAAUCUAAUUAUUAAAUGUGUUUUUCUCUCUCUGAAAAGUCUGGAAAAUUUGAUACUCGAAACAGUCAACCAAUACAUUGCAGAUGGCCAGCAAUGCAUAGCAGGCAUCUAUUAUCUAUACUAGGUGAAACCCCACGUAUUGCUGCGGGAAUUUAGUAUGAUAACAACAAAAAAAAUAACGUGUAAGAUAUCUAGAUAAUAUCAGAUUAAGUAAAUUAAUGUGAUUUAUGAUAAUUUAAAUUUAAAUAGUAUGUAGAAUGGUGAUUCAAACGUAAAAAGUAAGAUGAUAUGAAUUUAUGAAAGAAGAAAAAUAGGGAGUUAGUUUGAACCGUAGACUAAUCAUCUAAAGACUAAAAACAAUUGAUGUGAUAUGACUUAAUUAGAGGAAAAAAAGGAGAAAGAUAAUUUGGACCAUAGAUUAAUCAUUUAAUCACUAACUAAGUGAGGAUGAACUAUAUAAAUAUAUAGGAUAUCAUAAAACAUAAUAGAUAUACAUUGAAACAUUAUGUGAAUUAUGUUGGAUGAUAAUUUAACAUGUUUGUAUUUGAAAAUCUCUUAAAUUAUAAAAACUAUAAAGAUAUAGCAUGUUUGUAUAAUAUUUAAAUGUGAUGAUUGUUAGUGGAUGAUGAUGUGUCAUCUUUGCAUGUUAAGCUUAAGGAAUUAGUGGGGGAUAACUUUAUAGUAAGAUAGGAUAUGCUUCGUGCUUGUGCGCUUCUUACUGCACAACAAACUUAAUUUUUCUCCAUCUGCAGCUUAAGCUUGUUUUCUCCUAAAGAUAGGACAGAGCAAACAAUUCUGUCCCAAAAAUUAAAGGAAUAUUUUGUUGAACCAGGUUGAGGCAAUAAGAGAUGCCAACCUUUUUUUUUAUUUGCCAUUAGGUUGAGGUGAGAAGAGAUGCCAACCUUUUUUCUUAUUUGCCAUUAUGUUAAAAAUAGUUAUAUUUUGAGACAGAAGGAGUAAUAGUAGUAUGUAGUUAACGCCUAGCACGUGGAAUACACUGGAACGGACAUUAACUUAGUUAACGCCUAGCGUCACGGUGUUCUCUCCUCUAUCGAAAUCUACCGCUCGCCACUAAUAAUAUUAUUUUCUAUAAAUGUUAGUUUGGAGCUAGAUGAUUCUUCGGCCAAAUACAAGUCAUCUCAUAAUUAUCGUUCAGUACACCAUGACAAUAAAUUAGUAAUAGGCAUGAGACAUCUGUCGGGAAAAAAAAUAGCUGAUGAAUUCCGUCAGUAAAGGUUGCUGACAAGCUAUAUGUUAGCACAUGAGUGCUUAAUUUGCGGACAGAUUCUAAGAUAGAGAAUUUAGGUCAUAGUAUUGUAAUCAUCGACAAAGAAGGGAAGGUGAUACUGCCUGCCGCAGACACAAACAUAGUACCAGAGGACCAAUAGUGGUUUCUACCCAAGCUCUGCUAGAAAAAGAGUCAAUCUAUUCUAUACCAUGAACAAACCGUGAGAUCUACGGUAUGUCUGUGACGCCCUUUAUCAAUGGCAUAUAAUGUAUUAUCUCUUUCAGUGGCCUCAACGAGAUGAACACCAGCAUUGCUUGCACCAUGCUCUGCUCAUUUGGAUGAACACCAUUCCGUGCAUGCACAACAGAGGAUUUACUCGGACAACCUAUAUACUGUCGCUCAGCAACGAUUCCCGACGCAUUUCAAGCCAAGAUAUAUAGCUAGACAGAUGCCACAGAACGAUGAUUAGCUCGCACGUGUACAUAGCGAUGAGCCGGAGGCGUUGAGCACACAGAUUUUGUAGAGCAGCAAUCAUAUGUAUAGAGCUUUUUUACGGUACAUUCUACCACUAGUAUAUACUACCAGUAUAUUUGAUCUAACGGUCUAAAAUUCAUCUGAUCUCCCUUCCAAUUAUCCUGUAGUAUAAAUUGAAAAGGAUAUAUUUGUCUUUUUAUCUAAAUGUGUGAGGGUAAUUUCGUGAUUUCACGUUUCAUCACUGGUCAGAUCCGAUCCAUGGGCGCCCCUUCGUGGAAGUCGUGCCCAGUCGUCUUCCUCUUGAGAGCAGCGAGCGCCGCCACGCCGCCGCCGUCAGCCACUAUCGUCGCCGCCGCCAUCGGGAAUCGAAUCGAUUUCCCUCCUCCUUUCCUCCUCUCGUGUCUUUUCCGACGACCCAAAAGCCUAGUUCUUGAGGGAGGCGACGGGCAGGCGGAGCCGCAGAAGGGCGCAUGCCACUGUGCCAUAGGCGUGCAGCUUCGGCAGCUCGCAGCGGCAAGGGCAGUCGGGCGGCGGCAGGUGGCAGCGGCAGGGCAGGGCUGAUGGGUGGUGAAGAGAUAAAUUUUUUUGAGAACUUCGGAACAUUCCAAAUUGAAAGGUUGAAAUUUAUUGUUGAAAUUGCAUUUGUGUAAUUGUUUGUGCCGUUUCUGCUGAUAUUGUAGUAUAUUGCACAAAAUGGUACACACACAAUUGUUCUGAGCAAACUAUUGAAAACACUUGCCAAAAUAAUAAAGGAACAAUCCAUUUUUUCAGUAAUACUAACUCCUUAUAUUAAAGGAAUUAGAACAAAGACAUUUAUUUCGGACAGUAUGUUGGGAGGUGUAGCAUGUAUUAGAUCUUCCUUUUAUCGUUCUUCUUGCGAGCGUCCCCCAAGAUUGCAGCUAACUUCCUUCUAAAAUUUUUUAUAUCUUCCUGCAGAAUUCAUAUAGGUAUUUAUUAGAUAGAAACAAUCAAUUGGAGAAAGUAAAGAUGAUGCAGAAAUAUUUAGUGCAUCUUACAUGCGUGUAUUCCUUCGACAACCUAUUGCCUUGACAGUGCUCCAUGUUUUUUAAUACAAACAGCCCACAUGAGACACUGGAAGAAUUGAAUUAUAUUAGACAAGUGAUAACAUACAUUUAGGUAGUGAAAAAAACUAUUAUUGUAGUGGCUGCAUAACAUACAGAUCUCCUUGUAAUGGCAAAUUCUGUACGACCGUGACUUCCCAGGAAGUAAUUUUUUGGUCAGGCCAUUGAGUUGGUAUGUGCUUUUCAUCUGGUUCCAACAUCUGAAAAUAUUGCUCUACUCCUUCUAGCUGUUAUGUGAGAAAAUGUCAUUACUGCGGUAUGUUGAUGUCCUUUUUGGUUUAUUUCUAAGUAAAAUACUUACAACUUUUCUUAGUUCCUUGUGUUGUGUGGAUGAAUUCGCCACGGAGUCAAGCACUUGGAUGAUGCGGCGUUUGGCGUGUAUGACUGCCUGGUACCAAUGGUUUUUCUUUUAUGUUCAUGGGGAGGAAAAUCUGUACAAAGAAAUCAUUUUUAGGAUAUAUUAGUAGUAUAGAGUUGUUGAAAAUUUCAUAGUAUUGUGGCAUAAAUAUUACCAUAUCAUGCUUUAGAUAUCUAUUUGCCGUUGCUUUAGCCAUUGCCCGAUCGAUGAUGUCUUUGGAAACGUAGUGUUCGCCAUCUCUUUGUAGCAACCUUGUUAUUAACGGUUUCUCUGGGAACACCGUACCUUCUGCCCUAGUCCUUGUACCUUCCUUCAUAUCUUUCUCACGUAGACAAGUAACGUAUGCAUCGAUUAUCUAAAAGUAGAGGAAAAUGCCAGGUUUUGAUUGUGCUAGUAGUUGCAUGAGACAAUAGUUUCACGGGUUAGUAAACUUACAUGAUCAUCCAAAUAGCUCAUGCUUGAUUCAGUCACCGGAUUAGUCAGAAUUUGCGUUGUUUUUUGGGAAAUUGAGACAUCAUCGAUAUGCACCACUAGUUGUGAUUCUGGUGCACUCAUUAUACUUUUAAUGGUUUCCUCAUCUUCUGCGGUGCACUUGAACUCUGCCAUUGAAGUUAAAUCUGUAAGUGAACCGCAACAGAAAAAUUAAGCGGAGUAGGAUGUGAUGAUAAUUAUAGGACUUUUACCAUUGGAUAUUAAAUUAUGUGCUUGCGCAUUCUUUGGUUUCUUCUUUGUAGCCCCUAAAUUGUAGACGAAAUCAGUAUUUGAUUUAAUUGUUGAUUUACGCAGUCUUCGUGUUGAUCCUGAAAGUGACUUGGCAAUGACAGGCGUUUGAGUUGGUGGGUUUGGUUUCUGCAAUACAAUUGGCAUGUUAAAAAUAAUUAGUAUUAAAUUUGACAGACGCGGAAGAAGUAUCCGCAUAAGAUGCUGUCUUACCUUUUUUUUUAAUUAUAUGUGUUUCUUUGUUGGAACUUUUGCAAACAUUUGGCUUAGAGUUCUUGGAAGUUGUUGAUAUUGUCUUUUCCUCUUUGAAUGCAGCUAUUAUGUUGGUGAGUGAUUGAAUUUGGUUAUGCAUGGACUGUUGAUUCUGUUUCAUCUCCUUCAUCUCCUUUCCUUGCUGUUCUAUCAGCAUGAUUAGUUUUCGGGUCAGCGUCUCAGUUUCUGGGCUAUCCUGCAUAAUAUGCGUUUGUUAAGUUAUGAGACAUAUGCUGUUGUAAUUCAAAUAAAUAGUAAUGAUGUAACCAUGGCUACUAUAGAUACAACCAUCGUCCACAUCAAGAUCAAGCCGUCCAAGUUCUGCAAUCCAGUUCGGCCACCUGCUACAGUGUCGACUUCAAACGGCCACCAAAUAUGCAUGCGAGCUCCAUUUUGGGUCCAUGAGUACUUGAUGGAAAGCUCUCGGAGUCAUCUUUCCAAUGGAUCUAGCUUCAUCGCCAAAUUCCAUCCCAGUCGGCCGAAAUCACAAAAAGAAGGUGUUGCGUCACUUAUAAUGGGCCUAUGGGCUUGUAACUUCGUCUGAGACCCCGGCCCAAGUGGGGCCUAUGUAGGGUGCGCCCCAACCAGGUGGAGCACGACCCUAGGGUCCCCUUAGGUCGUCCUCCCACCUCCUUAAAUAGUUAGGUACCCCUUUAGAGUUUCUUGGGUUUUGGUAGAUUAAAGUUUAGCCAUUGCUACUUGCUUGCAGCGCGCGUGUCGGCUAGACUGUCCGUCUGCUUGUUCUUCGGAACCCCAAGUUAUCAUUUGUAUUAAAUUCCUAUUUGCAAUAUCAGAUUGCUUUUAUCUUGUUCUUGCUUGUUUCUUCGAUUUGCUUGCAGGAAUAGGAUUGAUCUGCAUCGGUAAGAUCAACAACCCACGGAGAGGUGUAUCGAUCGCUAAGGCGCAACACAACGUCUCGUAUGGUUGUAGUCGGAUCGUCAACGUUUCUCCCAAAUCGUAGUUAUCACAACUCACCGAAAGAUCGGGCCAACAACAGCCUUGAGUGUCGAGAGGAACUCAGGGUCCAUCAGGUGGUAUCAGAGCUUUCGUUGCUUGGUGAGUUUUUAUCUACCCAUAACCAGAAAAAUAGCCAAAAAAAAUUGCAUCAUUUACCUAGCCAUAUUGUGCCAUUGCAUUGUUCAUUUUUCUUUUUGCUUUGUUGAGUUUUGCGUUACAUCGUUGAGUCGUGUUGCUGGUCUUAGCGUUUAGUCCGUUUAGAGUUUCGAGUUCUGGUCACGUUUAGUACCACAGUCGUUGUCGCCUCCGUGUCUCUGUUGUCGUCGGGACCUACAAAAACGGAAUCGGCUUGCUGUCACGGUUCUAUUUUUGUAGUUUUCAGAAUUUUUUAUCGGUCAGUUUUGGAGUUGCAUUUAGGAUUUGCUUGAGUUUCUGGUUUGCCCGUGAAUAGAUCGGCCUGUGCUUGUUGCCGGUGUAGAGAGGAGGAAUAAGAAUUUCCAAAUCUGUUUUUGGAAGUAUGAGAGUUUAAUCUGGAAACAAAUAGUAGAUCAGAUUGAUUGAAAAUUAGUUUCCCUUUUUCUCUCACCAUAUCCGGACUCCUAGGUAGUGCCGCAUCCUUCCUUUCCUCACCCACCACCACCCCGGGUCCGCGACCAGGCCGAGUCCGAGUGUCUCCUCUCGGUCACGGUUUCAAUCUAUACCGUGAUCUUGCAUAUUGCUUGGUGAAAAUUUUUCGAGUAUCGGAUUGAAAAUCCGUUUGCAAAAAUGGAAGCUACAGGACGAGAGGAUUCCAUUUUUGUAUAGUUCUAAUUUUGGGUUUGAACUUUUACAUUUGAGUCCCUGUAAAUUUUAUAUUUAUGUUUGAGUCCCUAUAAUCUUACAUUGAGGUCCUUGAAUCUGUUUUUGUAAAAUAAAAUCAAAAAAAGAAAGAAAAAAAAGGCAGAAAGGUGCAUAAAAAAAAGAAAAGAAAAAGAAAAGAAAAGCAGGAAAGACAAAAAAAAAGAGAAAGAAAGAAAGAAGAAAAGGAGAAAAUCAUUUUGUUAUUAUUGAGCUGAACUUCAUAUAUUAGAGUUGUGCAUGAGUUGUUCCUGGUGCUAUCUUGUGGUAUCGUUUGUGUCUAGGCUCACGUCUCUAGUACGUUCUAGCCUAGGACCAGCACGGUACUUGACUUUGAACAAUUAUUCAACUUUGCAUUAUCUGAUUUGAGCAUUUGCUAUUCCUUUGCUACAUAUUUAAGCCUACCUAGAGCUCCACAGAUUUGAUUGCAGCCGUACAGCAAGUGUUUGCCAAGGCAUCGAUACAUCCAAUCUCCAUUGGGGUGCUUGGUUGAGUCGGUGUAUGUCACCAUUCCGCUUGCAUUGGUAAGAUCUUGUAAGAGCUUGGUUAAAAGCUUGAGUGUGUGUGAUAUUUGAGCUGCCACUACCUAGUAGUUGAUAGGAGCGUGCAUAUUUUUGUGUGUUUCUUGUUUGCUACUAACCAUGGCAGGAUUGCGUAAGGGAAUACGAGAACAUCGACUUCUACACCUUCGACGAGAUAUGACGACUUCUCCACGUGAUGCAUAUGAGGUACAUGACUAUAAUUUUGAACAAGUUGCAUCUAAGUUACCAUUCUAUUAUGGAAAGUAUGAUUCUGUUGCAUAUAUUGAUUGGGAGCUAGCAGUAGACAAUGAAUUUGAUAUAUAUGAUUUUUCUGAUGCUCAAAUGAUUAAGGCUGCUAGUAAUAAGUUUACCUCUUCUGCAUUAUUUUGCUGGACUUAUGUUAGUAAUAAACCUAAAACUUGGGAUGAAUUGAAAACCAUGAUGAGAAAACGCUUUGUGACUUCUUAUUACAAAUGUACUCUUCGGGAGAAAUUAGAACAUCUGAAACAAGGUGAUAGAACUUUUAGGGAGUACAUUCAUGAAUUUAAGGUCUGUAUCAUCUACAGUGGUCUCAAAGAGUGCAAUGAAAAUACAAUGCGUAGAUUUUUCAAUGGGCUUAAUUCUGAAAUUCAGGUUUUGCUUGAUAAUGUGACAUAUAAUCAUAUUGGGCACCUAUUCAUGCUUGGUCGUAGCAUUGAGAGUCAGAUCAUAUCAACUCUGAUACCACCUGAUGGACCCUGAGUUCCUCUCGACACUCAAGGCUGUUGUUGGCCCGAUCUUUCGGUGAGUUGUGAUAACUAUGAUUUGGGAGAAACGUUGACGAUCCGACUACAACCGUACGAGACGUUGUGUUGCGCCUUAGCGAUCGAUACACCUCUCCGUGGGUUAUUGAUCUUGCCGGUGCAGAUCAACCCUAUUCUUGCAAGCAAAUCGAAGAAACAAGCAAGAACAAGAUAAAAGCAAUCUGAUAUUGCAAAUAGAAAUUUAAUACAAAUGAUAAGUUGGGGUUUCGAAGAACAAGCAUACGGACGGUCUAGCCGACACGCGCGCUGCAAGCAAGUAGUAAUGGCUAAACUUUAAUCUACCAAAACCCAAGAAACUCUAAAGGGGUACCUAACUAUUUAAGGAGGUGGGAGGAUGACCUAAGGGGACCCUAGGGUCAUGCUCCACCUGGUUGGGGCGCACCCCACAUGGGCCCCACUUGGGCCGGGGUCCCAGACGAAGUUACAAGCCCAUAGACCCAUUAUAGGUGACGCAACACCUUCUUUUUGUGAUUUCGGCCGACUGGGAUGGAAUUUGGUGAUGAAGCUAGAUCCAUUGGAAAGAUGACUCCGAGAGCUUUCCAUCAAGUACUCAUGGUCCCAAAAUGGAGCUCGCAUGCAUAUUUGGUGGCCGUUUAAAGUCGACACUGUAGCAGGUGGCCGAACUGGAUUGUAGAACUUGGACGGCUUGAUCUUGAUGUGGACGACGGUUGUAUCUAUAGUAGCCAUGGUCACAUCAAGUAACAAAAUUUUAGUUUUUUUGACUACCUUGUGUGAAGUGGCAUGUGUUGUGCUGUCGACGCGUUGUUCUGAUGUUUUUAUCUCGCUGUCACUUGCUAUGUCUUGGACAUUCUAUGAUGAGAUGACAGAUUUAAUGGAUAUUAAACCAUGCGUUGUGAUGUACAAUUGAAUGUAAGUACAGUUAAAUGAAAUGAUUAACUUAUUAGUAUGGAUGCAUGAUUCUGAUUGUUUGCUCUUCUCGCUGUCAUUUGUUACGUCUUGGACAUCCUACGAUGAAAUAUCAUAUUUAAUGGAUUUUAAACGUUGCGUAGUGAUGUAUAAUUGAAUUUAAGUACAGAUCAAUUAUUUGAUUACCUUAUCAGUAGGGAUACAUGAUUCUGAUUGUUUGCUCUCUUCGCUGUCUCUUGUUAUGUCUUGGACAUUCUAUGAUGAAAGGAUAUAUGUAAUGGAUAUUAAACCAUGUGUUGUGAUGUAUAAUUCAAAGUACAUAGAGAUGAAUAAAAUGAUUACCUUAUCUUUUCGGAUUUGUGAGGAUUUGGAGCAUUCUAUAGCAAGUGUGAUGUCGUCAACAAUCUAGUACAGAAUAACUCAUUGACGUUAGCUGGUCGAAAAUAGUGCUUUGGUAGAUGGUAAAAAAGUUAGCUUCCUGAGACUAGUCGUCUGUGUGCCCAUUUGAUGCUGUUCCCUUCCUUGUUACUUCAGGAUGACAAACUACUACAUGCAUGAUAUAAUGGAAAGCACAAGCAAGCUAAGACAUCAGCAGCAGGAGCAUAAGUAAAUUCACAUUUUGAAUUAAUAGGCUAGACUUAAGUGGGAAUAAAAUGAUUGUAUAUUACCUUCCCUUUACCAUUGUAUUAUCUUUUUUUUUGCCUUGUGCUUGUCCCAGUAUUGAAUAAGUGGUUUGUCGCGCAUAGUAUAAUCUAUGGUUGGAUCCAAAUUGUCAGCUCGUAGCUUCUCCCAGUACCAUAACUGCAACAAGUACAAUUGAGUAAAAACAACUUGUCUUUUGUUGGUACAAAAUAAUAAUUGUGCAGUUGCAUUACCUACAAAAGUGGUAGGUUUCCUUCAAGAUUGACUCCUUUUUUUAUUAAUUUUUUUUAAUGCUUUUCAUUAGGUGGUUUAAAGUCAAGCUUGUCCAGUUAAUUGCACUGAUUGCAUUGACAUCCUCUACAAAAUUUAGGUAUGCCAAGCUUACAUACCUUUGAGUAGUUGGGCACAGGAAAACACCGAUUGAUCACAAAGAGCACAAAACGGCGAAUGAAAUUGUCGUCAUAUAUACCUUUGUUUGUUUGAAAAUACUAUUGCAAAGAAGAUAAUUUUAUAUGUGCCCCUUGCUUAGAUGCUGUCUUGAAUUCAUCAAACAAGUCCAUAUUCUUGGUCUUUGGUGGUUCAAAUAUUUCUUCUCCUUGUGAUGGCAGGUCAAGCAAAUGCUCAGCGUCCCUACUGGAUAGACUCAGAUAGCUGCCUUGGAUGUUGAAUGCUUCAGCCUUUGUAUCAAAUUGGUUUGUAAUCCACAUGCACAAAAUACGGUGUACAUUUAUCCUAUGCAUCUUCAGCAAUCCUCCGAAGCCACAUUUGUGUACAGCUUCUCAUUGAGAAAUACUGAAGGUUGCGAUGAGGUCAUAAAGGGCAUGAAUAGAGCAUAUCUGUGUGCUCUGGUUGAAUGAAAACACAAUGAUUCAAUGAAAACACAAUGUAAUUGUACCGUAACGAUUUAUCGUAUGGUACCGAAUAAGUUGUGGAUGGAUAUUUACCUGUUUUUGGGGCUUAUUUUGUUUGAAAACCUGCUCUGGUUCGUAGAUUGUUGUAGUUUCAUCCAUUGCGGUUUGCUUCAUCAUAUCUUCUGCAGAGCAAUCCUUAGUAUUGGAAUUACACAGCAAUUACAUAAAGUGUAGCAUUCAGAUAAUCUUGGAACAAACCUAAGUCUUGUAGCUGACGGGCGAUCGAAACGUCGAGAUUGGAUUUGCUAAUGCAAACGAUUAGCUAUAUACAGUAGAGAGGGUAAUAAUCUGAUGGUUUUAUCACGUGUGUUGUGGUAAGCGGUUAUUUAAUUUUGGUUUGCUCGACGGAUAACCACCUGUUUGCUCGACCGGAUAACCACGUCAUUACCUUAUCCUCCCAUCCACGAUCGUGUUUGAGAGGAAAAAAAAGAAUCGGCAAUCCCCAGUCCCCACGGUGCGGCGUUAAUAGCGGCGACAUGCACUGCUGCGAGCCCUGCCAUGGGCGGCUUGCAGGGAGCAGUUAGUUAGCGAUGCCCGAUCUGAUUCGACCGGAUAACCACCUGUUAGCUCGACUGGAUAACGACGUGUUAGCCCGUCCGGAAAACGGAAUAAUAGGGGAUGGAAACGAGAUAUUUAAUCUCGAUAAUUAUUUUUUAGUUCGUAAAAAAAAACCGCUCCGCAAUAUUGUACGAGCGGUCGACCGGAAAACCAUGGUUUUCUAAAAUCGACCGGGUUCGGACGGACGAGGAAUUAUUUUUUAGUUCAUACAAAAAAAACGCACCGCGAUAUUGCACGAGCGCUCGACGUGAAAUAUAUUGAAUUUUUAUAAUCGUCCCGGUCCGGACAGACCCGGACUUAAUAUUUGGUUAAAAAAAUCAUUCCAGUGUAACAUAUGCGCGCUCGACGUGAAAUAUAUUGAAUUUUUAUAACUGUCCCGGUCCGGAUAGAUCCGGACUUAAUAUUUGGUUAAAAAAAAUCAUUCCGCUAUAACAUAUGCAUGCUCGACGUGAAAUAUAUUGAAUUUUCAUAAUCGACCCGGUCCGGACAGACCCGGACUUAAUAUUUGGUUAAACAAAAUCAUUCCGCUGUAACAUAUGCUUGCUCGACGUGAAAUAUAUUGAGUUUUUAUAAUCAUCCCGGUCCGGACAGUCCUGGACUUAAUAUUUGGUUAAAAAAAAUCAUUCCGCUAUAACAUAUGCGCGCUCGACGUGAAAUAUAUUAUAAAUAAAACCGCUUCGCUAUAUUGUAGGAGCGCUCGACUGGAAAACCAUGGAUUUCUAAAAUCGACCCAGUCUGGACGGUCUCGGAAUUAUUAUUUUAUUUAUCAAAAAACCAAAAUAUGUCAGUGGCCCAAUAACACAUGUGACAUAUCAGCCCACUAGGCCCAAUAACUCGUCACCACGUCAUGACCUUAUCCUCCCACCCAUGAUCAAGUUUGAGAGGGAAAAAAAAUAAUCGGCAACUCCCCAUUCCCCACGGUGCGGCGCUAAUAGCGACGACAUGCACUGCGCCGAGCCCUGCCAUGGGUGGCUUGCGGGUAGGAGUUAGUUCGCGAUGCCCGAUCUGAUUUGACAGAUAAAAAGGAUGGACCAGUACCCAUUUUCAUUCAUUAAACAGCUCCUUUCAUUCUCCACGAAUCUAAUCUUUCUCUUUCUCGAAGGUCACCGCCGUCGAAUCUCCGCAAGAUGUCUGAUGUGCAACAGGUGAGUGCAAGUAUUUGCUCGCUCAUUAAAGUGCAGAGUUCAAUAUGUGAAAUGUUAAGAUUUAUCGACAACAAUUAUAUGAUCAUGACUGUUGUUUGUUGCAUAACCUCGUGGAUAGGAUCAUGUAUGCUGUGUGACAUCAACGUAGCAAACUUUCUGUGCUGUCUCCUAAUCUAUAAAUAUUACUGUCGUACAAAGAAUUGUCAGCGCCGGCAAGGAGGAUGCAUACUACAUUGUUAGUUGUUACUGGUUGUUUCUUGAAAGUCAUACCCGAUUUGGAAUUGGAGUUUUUUUUUUCAGGCAUAAAUUAGUUUUACACAAUUUGAUAUUACACGCAAGGGUAUAACUGUUAAUAUUCAUGAAAUCAUCUCUAGGCUCUAACUGCGAUAUGAAGUGUGUAAUUUAAUCUGCUUAAUUGUCUUGGCCUCUUGGGUGGAAGAGAUCGGUGCUUGGCAGAACUUGAUGCUAGCUCAUCUGAUCCCUGGACAUGAUUCUUAGUACACAAGAUUAGACUGGAUGAGCAUCACCUAUCUCUUCGUUAACUUUUUUGUUUUUUUCCUUUUAUCUGUUCUUUCUGCAAGCACAUAUCCACUUCAAAGAUCAUCUUGUCUGAAAUGACAAUAGCUCUAAAUUUACAACAUGUUAUCCGUGACAGAAUGAACUACAAUUUUGUUUUCUGCCUCCUUAAAACUUAUAGAACAUAUUCAUCUGUAAUGGGUGGUCGGCACGCAAGGUGGUGCACGGAGGGUGGGCUGUGGGUGGCGGUGCGGGACGUGGAGGCAGGAGCGGCGAACUCCGGGAGGGAGCCAGAGUUGUUAAUAAAUAAGAAGAAGAUGUGAGAGAGUAUAAUAGGUGGGUCCCACUAUUUUUUUUAAAGACAAUGCUAACUGGAUUGUCACGCGUACGUCACGUAGAACAAAAUCACGUUAGAUUGGAUCGAGGGGGUAAUUCGUCCGAUAUUGAAUGUUCAGGGUGAGCAAUGUAUGGUUUUCGCGUUAGGAGGGAAAUUCAUUCUUUUUCCUGUACAUAAUACUGACAUGCAUGCUUAUGAAGCAUCGAUCUCUUUUUCAUAAGUACUCUCUUCAGCACACAAAUAAUUAAUUUCAAAAACCAAAAAUUUCGUAACACAAGUGCAUGUAGAUCGACAUAUAGCCUGACACAUGUAUGGAUGUAAUUAAGUAGGUUAGGGAUGUGGGGGGUUCUCAUAUAUGAGCCCUAUUAACCCCCUAUUAAACCCCUCCGGUACUGUUCGACUUUAAUUUCCUUGCUCUCUUUUUUUUUAAUGCAGCAAAAUCUUGAUUCAUUAUUUGAUAGAUCAUUUUAUGUACCCCACUUUAUGUCCAUUUACAUACAAUCAUCGCCCAAUUUUACUUAUGUAUCACUAUCUGUUUAAUUUAUGGCCCCAUGACAUAUUUGCAAAUGAAAAAUAACUUAUGAAUAAAACUUUUAUAUACGUGUUCUUAGCGAUCUAAAAGCAAAGACUGAAAAAUAAACUUGGAUGAAAAAAAAUAUUAAAAUGAAUUUUAACUCCAAGUUUAAGGUUGAAUUCAAAUUUUAGCUUAUAAGCAUAAGCAUAAUUAAGAAAAAGGAUGAAGCUAUCAAUCAGUGGUCGUUACUGAUGAGGACGAUGAACAAAACAAAAUAAUAGUGCAGCUGAUCUCAGCUAGCUAACUAACAUUAGAUACUUAAUCGGGCGGACAUGGGAUGUGUGACACACACUACUGCAGAUUCUAUCCCUCGUGUAUUCAUCCUGCAGCCAACUGAUAUCGCUAAUUUGACAAUCAGGAAAAGCAUCGCCUCUAAGAGACAUAGGCUAGGAAACAUCAGGGUCUCCGUAGUAGUGAUAAUCAGAGCAUGCAGCGUGCAAUCGAAGACGCACACCAACAAUUUAGUAUGAGCUUUGCCUCCCAUAUGCACAAAUACCCAUCUCCUGAUGCCUCAUAAUCCUUAGCACACGAAUAGUUGUAAGGCCAUGGUAUAUAUGCAUGUUAAUUAGCAUUCGCGCUAGCUAUAUAAUUCUUCCACAAUACUAACUUUUAGCUAGCCCUUGUAGUCGUUCUAUCCGGAUCGAGAUAUAUAUAUAUAUAUAUAUAUAUACGCACCUCAACCAUCUAAAUAGGCUACUGCAUACAUAAAUAAGAAGGCCAAUUAAUUAAUAUGACCUACAAUGGUUGGGUAAAUUAAAAUAAAUCAAAUGGGUCCACGUACUAUUACACCCUGGUGCUACAUUAAUUAUUUACGUAGAGCAUGGCAAGUGCAUAUUCUUCAUAACUAUGUCGAAUCUGUACGUAUGGCAUAGUCAAAAAGAGCUUUAUUAUUGAUUUGAGACAAUGGAAACAUUUCACUUCAUUUGCUAAGAAAUAAUAUUGACAGACGAUGUGUGGUUUACAUUAAAUUGUUUUAGCUCUAGCCUCAGAGCUCAGAGGUGUACAAAUUCUUUACUACUCCCGUCCCGUAAUAUAGCAACCUAGUACUGGAUGUCACACUUUAUAGUAAAAUGAAUCUGGACAGAAAGCAUGUUCGGAUUCGUUGUACUAUAUAUAAAGUGUCACAUCCGAUAUUAGGUUGCUAUGGGACGGAGGGAGUACAACUUUGUUGAUGCAUGGAGGCGUGAACAUAUACUAUGACUAUGUUGAUUAAUCCACUGCAUGCACACAAAGAUGGACAGAAUUUUAAUAUCUAAUAAAAAAUUGUCAACGUGGUCAAUCUACAUGUUGGAAGGCUCGAAAUGUAAAAAAAAAAUGAAAUGAAAAUUUACAAUGCGCUGAGUUGUGUUGAUUCAGGGGCAAGGAAUCUUGUAACUAAUAGUGUGAAAGAGAAUCGACGUUACAGUGGAGCUAGCAUGACAAUUUGUUGCGUUAAUUGAUUCGACUCUAUCCAUCACUUUUUUUUUUGACGGGAAGGACUGUUGCCAGGGCUCUGUCCCGCAGUGUCUUUUCAUUAAAGAAGAAAAAAAAUAUUUACAUGUAGUUUAAUUUACAUAGGAGAUAAAAAUUACUAAGGUUUGUAACUAAUUAAAAACUAUUUGCUUUAACGGAUCUUUCAUUCUGCACAUUAUCCAUCACCUAAUUAAUUAAUGUUGUUCUGCUACUGCAUCCAUUUUCACUCAGUAGACCGCAUCGUUCUCAGUUUCUCACAUUAUUGCUUGACCAUCCGCCUUGUAAUUCACAGCAAUAUACAUUUCCAUCGAUCACAGCAAUACAUGUUCUUUUUUUUUCGCUAGACCAUUGACGGGAAUCCGGUCUAGAUUUUAUAAGAUCGAAGAAGGUUUGGUCAGAAAGUGUUAGACUAUAUUGUUUACAUGUAUUUAUCGAGUCUUAUCUCAUUUAGUCCCGGUUCCUUUUAUAUAUAUAUAUAUAUAUAUAUAUAUCCUCCUAAUUUUAUUGAUAUAAAUCGGUUGAGUGGUUACGGACGGGUCUUUAUGUGCAAAAAUACCAUGACCAAUACAACUGUGUUGAGUCAUUCCUACGCACAUGGUAUCAAAUUUGUUUCCACUUCUGCUCCACCACAAACCCUAACCCUACUCCAUUAGAGUUCCGAAGAAGCGCUGGAGUUGUUAGCCUUCUUCUCGUUCUAGUACCUCGGCGGAUGCUUCUUUUAAUAAAGUAAGUAUUCGAGAUCUUCUUAUAAUAUUUAAUUUUUUUGCUUUAGUGAGAUGAUUCCCGUUGUUGCGGGUUUAUCGCUUAGUUGCAUUAUUAAGUGCUAUAGUACUUGGACUCUAGAUAACGAAGAAAGUUCCUGCGCGAGGCUAGAGUAGUAAUCAAUAACUUAGGCGUGGUGUCUAGGUUAUUUUCUUUUGUUGUGUGCUCCAUGGAAAGUAGGGUGGUCAGCAGAUAGUGAUAGCUCUAUCUGUCCUUCGUAUCCCUCCACGUUGAGGUACAUCAUAGAGCUGUAAUCCGAACUCAGCUUGGCAAAUCAGGGGAGAGCCACUGCCCGAAGCAUUGAUCUGAUAGGGUUUUACCUUUAACUCAAGACUAGUAAAUUAAUCCAUAUGAAUUCUCUUUAACCUUAGCCUACUAUUAGUUGUUGUUUUUGAUAGAAUUCUGUUCUUAUGUAUACACAUGUCCCCUGUGAUUCGAUACCUUUAGAAUACUCUGAAGUGAAUGUGCUUGUGGAUUUAUCUGUGACCGUAUCAAAUACCACCGGUGUAUAAGCAUUCAUACGGACAAAAAGAGUGUCGAGGAUGCACUUCAAAUAUUUCACUGCAGAUGAACGAGAAGCAGCUUCAUGAGUAUAUAUUUCCAUCCUUCUUAAAUUUUUCGACGAGAAACAUAAAUGCAAGCAUGAGUCAUCACAAUUCCUUUGAAAAAAAAUUAACAGAGUAAACUUGUUUUUUUAUCAAAAAAAUUAACAGAGUAAACUUGUUUUUUUAUCAGUCCACUUGAUUGUUCAGUUUAGGAAUCAGCCCAGACGUCAUAUUGAAUUUGUUUUUUUUUCUAAUUUACCAAAAACAACAUUCCAUGUUCAUCGGAAUAUUUUCAAAUUGCAAAAUUUCAAUCUUUCUUGUUUCAUGAUUAUGCAUUAGGUUGUUAUUGCUGAAACAGCUAGCGAAAGAUCAGAAGCAAUUACCAGUCUAAUUAAGAUAUUGGUGGUAUUGAGUCCCAACUCACGGGUUCUUUAAUUUUACAAUCCAACUCCAUAUUUCAGCUCAAUAAUCUAUACAAAAUUCAGCCUACGUUUUUGACCCCAUCUUUAAAUUUUAUAUGGUAAAAGGAUAGACCAAUAACACAACCAUAAUGUUGCUGGCAGCACAAAUGCUAAGAACAUGCAUACAUGAAGAAUAUCUCAAUUUCUUGUUGACAGAAAUGAAAAAAAAAGAUUCAAUUGAUCUGUGGGUGACAUGACACCGGCUGUUCGUUUGGUAAGAAGACGCAGCACGACCUGAAACACAUCCACCCUAGUAGUAGAUGUCGGUCGACUCUGGUUUUGUAUCCUGCAUCAUGGCUUCCGACGGUGGAUAUCGGUUAGUUCGUCCUCGCGUACGUAUACAUAUAGGCAUGACCGCCACCACGUGGUGGUUCUGGGAAUCAAAAGCACUCCAAGCUACUCAAUCCCUUAUGGUUCCCGGUGCCUUCCAAACCUAUGGGGACAGGGGACAUAAGGGUUGCCUAUUACUGCAAUCCAUGCAAAGUUGGAGGGGGCAGAAAAGUAUGUUUCAAUUUGUUUCUCUAUUUUUUUUAUGCGUAAGAGUAUUUAUAAGCAUUCAUGCAAAAAAAAAAAGAGUGCCGAAUAAGUAGUUGCACUGUAAUAGUUGAUAGGAGAGUCUGCAGCUCCAUUAAUAUAUAUCGCUCACGCAUCUUGAUUCUUGCAAGAGAAACGUAAAAUAUCAUGGCUUGAGAGAAAAAGGGAUAGUGGCCCGCGCUUUACUGCGGGAUAUAUAUUAGAUAAUGGAUAAAUGAUGAAAUCAUUUGGAUCGAAAUAUUAUGAAAAUGAUGAUUUAGCAUGUGUAUGCUUAGUUUUAGAAUGAAGUAAUUGUAGAUAUAAUUACUAUAUGCUUGCAUGUUGAGUUUUAUGUGUUUAAUGGCUUGAUGUUGCAUGCUUGCAUAUAGGUUUUAGAAGUGCUAAUGAAUACUAUGCUUGCAUGUUGAGCUUUAGAUGUUUAGUGGGCAUUAGCUUUAUAAUAAGAAGAGAUAAGCCAUCAGCUAAUUUGUGUAUUUUGUUCAAUAAGUACGCUCAGCUCAUUGGGAUUUGUUAUCAGGGUAGUUUUUACAAUUAGGUACCACAUUUUUAUACAAAAUUUGUUACUCUUAGGUACAAGAUACUUUAAUAUACCAAAAUUUUUAUUACUAUAAAAUUUGGGUACUUUCAGAUACCCUAAAGAUCGCAAAAUUUCUCCAUUAAGACAACCGCACUUUCCUCCCUAAAUCGUUUGUAGGAGUAGUCUGCCCCCGGCUUCAAAGGGAACUCCAUCUUUGGAGCCCAUGGCCCAAAGGAAAACCCCACCCUAAACUCUAGGCGAGGUGAUUCGAAGGGAGAGUGUGCAGUUCGUCCCCAACCCUAUGGAGACAUGCUUUGGACAUCCUCCAUCCAUUAGCCCUUUGGAGCCAAUAAAUGAGGAAAGGUCUGACCAAUCCACAUCUGUUCAUCGCCAUAUACUAGGUUAUUCAAUUCUCACCUACUAAUUGCCCGACCUCGAAUCCUAGCCACACCAUGUCUCUGCGCAAUGCCUCAGGUUCUAGGAAAGCCAAGAUUCGACAGUCUCCACUAUCGGCCUAUUUAUUGGACUGGACUGCCUGACUUAAUUACUAUGAAGGCGAGAGAGCCCCUACCAGGGCCCACUUGUCAGUAGUAUCGGCAGGGACAAAUUGAUGUAGCCUACCAUGGGCACCUUAAUAGUAAUUUUUCAAGUACUUGGUUUGGCACUGUAAAAACCAAACCUUUUGCUCCUUCGAAUCCAAUACAAAUUUUACUCCUGGUUAAACUCUUGCACUUCUAGAUACUUAACGGUUGGACAAAAACUCGUUUAUUCCAACACUACCUAGCUAGAUGAACGUGUAUUUGUUUAUAUAUUAGCGACAAUCCAUAUGCAUGCACGGUAUGCCAGUGUGUGGCUGAUCAUACUGUUUAUUUGAUCCCACAACAUAUUGAUCUCUCAAUUGAUCGUUGAUAUCUCUCUGUACCUGCAUGUCUGUAUGUGUAAUGUGUUUAUCAACACGCAUGAACACAUAAGACACGCAAUAAUUAAAGGGUCAAGCUCAACAUUACGUGAUUAAUUAAGCAAAGACGGGCAGCCCUACCGUUGGCACGCCGGCUGCGGCCUCGAAGUGGAGCUAAAAUGGUACAUUCUGAUGAUCAUUAAUUGUCGAUGUCGUUAUCUCCCAAAAUUUAAGGAUAUGAGAAUCACCCAAAAUUUAAGGACAUUUACACACAUGAUAAACUAUCCAAUGUAUAGCAUAAUUUAUCUAUUGUAUAUACUUAAAAGUCCAUUAAACUUUCUACAAACGCUUUUAAGCCGCCGUGUGGGACUCCUACAAACAUUAUUAAGCCGUUAUGUGACGCUUUAAUAAAUUAGAAGAAAUCUAAAAAAAUUCUGAGGAAAAAGAAAAUUAUUUAACCAUUAGACGCCACGUGGGACUUCUACAAACGUUUUUAAGCUGCUAUGUGACGCUCUAAUAAAUUAAGAAAAUCUAAAAAAUUUCUGAGAAAAAAGAAAAUUAUCUAACCGUUAGAUUAAAUCCGUUCACCCUUUCCUCUUGGACCCACAGGUACGUACGUACCACCACAUCCUAUUCCUUCCCCUCCUCAUUCUUCUCUCUAUUAACGUUAUGCACCAUAAUUUGUUACUAUAAAAAUUAUUAGAUCUAUUUACGUGGAAAUUUAAUUUAUAUAUGAAAUGAUCUUGGUGACAUAAAUAACUAAUAAUUAUUUUUUAGCCUAUCUACACGUUUAAUUUUAAACUUACUAUAAACGCUCUCAAGCGCCACGUGGAAUUCCUACAAAAGCUCCUAAACCGCCACAUGACGCUCUAACAAAUAAGAAAAAAUCAUAGAAAUUGUAAGAAAAAAGAAAAGAUAUUUGACCCAUCGAUUUUCAUUUAAACUGAUUGCUCCAUUAUUAUCAACCAUUGGAUUGGAUUUAUCAAGUAAUCAACAAACGCACGCACCACUGGUGGAGAAACCCUUUGUAGUCCCGGUUCGUAACCCCCCUUUAGUCCCGGUUUCCAAACCGGGACUACCAAUCCGGGACUAAAGAUAUCUAUCUUUAGUCCCGGGUAAAAUAACCGGGACUAAAGAUCGAUCUUUAGUCCCCCAACCGGGACUAAAGAUCGAUCUUUAGUCCCGGUUGGUAACACCAACCGGGACGGCUGAGCCAUCUUUAGUCCCGGUUGGUAACACUAACCGGGACAUCCAUGUUGCUGACCUUUUUUUUUUGCAUGGCCCUGUUGCUGUAUGGUAUAUAUGUUUCAGUACAUAUAUGCAUAUAUAAUAUAUGCAUAUAUAUAUUAUAUUAUAUUUAUAUAUGUUUCAAUACAUAUGUACAUGCAUAAUAUAUAUGUAUUUAUACAUAUAUAUGUUAUGCAAAUGCAUAUGUAUAUAUAUAUAUAUAUAUAUAUAUAUAUAUAUAUAUAUAUAUAUAUAUAUAUAUAUAUAUAUAUAUAUAUAUAUAUAUAUAUAUAUAUAUAUAUAUAUAUGACCAAAAUAUAUUUACAUUAUAGAAAAUGUGUACACAUUCAUAUAGAAACAUAUGUAGUCAUGUAUUAAUUACAAUCCAUUAUAUGUCCUAGCUACCUACGAUUUCGACGUAGUAGUAGUCGCUAGCUCAGAAGCUAAGGACCUAUGAAUUGUGUUUCCGUCGUAGUAGAAUUCACCCUUGGGAUCAAGGAUUUGUUCGUUGAUGAAUCCCAUGAGUUGUUCUUGAACCGCCGCGAUAAAUUCCUUGUGCGUGGUCAGGUUAUCCCUCAUGCGAAUAAACUAUAUGAAUGUAUGAAAUUGAUUAGUAAUUAAACAAGAAAUCGAUACGUAAUGAAAUUUUGAAUUUAUUUGUACGUACAUUGAGCUCUCUUGUGGUGAUGAUUUGGUCUGCAAGGCAGUGGCAAUACUCGCACACGUAAUAGCCGCACAAGUUAGUUCCCUUCUUUUGCUUUGCGCACUACAAAUAAAUGACAAACAACGAGAGAUCUAAUUAAUAUACACUUGUAUGUAUUUGAAUCAGAGAAAUAUAAAUGUAGAGCAUGUGUACUCACAGGAAAUUUAAACUUCUGCCUAAGUCUUUCUCUCCAUUUGCCGCGGACCAAAUGACGGAACCGAUACCAAGCCCUACAUGGAGUUUAAAGCUAUGAUUCAUAGUAGCAAUUAACAUAACAAGAUUUUCUUAAUUAACAGAGGAACUUAUGACGGUACCUGUCUAUAAGUUCGAAAACCUUGUCAAGCAUAGACUCUUUUUUAUCCAUUGAGUCAUAUACGUUGACGGUGCAGGCCGACAGGUCGAAGAGUAAAAGCACCUAGUGGAAUCUGUAAUGUGCGUGGGAUGCAUUACAUAUGAAACACUUAGCAAGUUCGUACGGGAAUGAAAUUUGGUAUAGAAAGACAGUAAAAUUAAACUAACUCUGUGUUGUACGGCAACAGUAUGAACGUCUUGUAAUGCUGUGCCUUCAGGAGAUGGACGAGAUUGUCCUCUGUGGCUUGCGGAUAUUGGUCGAGCAUUGCGACGUUUACUUUCCGAGGGUCGAUGAAUCCAGUAUCGAAAACCCCCCGCCGUCGGGCCCUUUGAAUCUCCAUUCUACAACGAUAAAAGGGAGUAUAUUAUUUUCUAUAGUCUACUUAUAUACAAGGACCUAAUUAAUUAAAGGAGACGUAGUAAGAAAUCUAACUGAAUGAUAUACUUACAAAAUCCAGCAACUCAUAAUAGAGACAUCAAGGGCGUCCAGCUGGUAUAGUUCGUAGAUUCCCUUGAAAUUGAUCCAGAGAAUGUCAUCUCCUUGCAAGAAGUCCGUGUCCCUGAUCCUCGCUCCGAUCAUCUCUCUACCGGUGGCGCUCAUCUCCAUGUACAGCUGAUGGAACUUGUACAUUUGUGUGGGUAGGGACUGUAGCAGCUCAGGCUUGACAAGCGGUUUACCGAGUUCGUACAUGUAUUUCACUUCCGCCUUUUCGAUUGGUGCGACUCCUAGCAAUUGAUCCGUAGUUAGACCGGUGUCAGUAAUAAAUUCUUCUAUCGUCAUUUCUUUACCGGUCACCAACGGCUCGAUCUCCUGGUUUGGUUACUCUCCAAGCUGAGGGACUGGUUUGGACUUUCCAGAAGAUGCUUUCUUCAGCGUUCGCUCAUAGUCCGAUAGCUUAAUGGCCUCCUUGGCAGGUGCAGACAUACCCCUGAAGAAGUUCAUGACACUCGGGUCUAUAGGAAUCUUCUUUUCUGGACUUCGAGGCUUGAAUUGUCUCUUGACUUCUGAUGCCACGUAAGCGUCAAGCUCCUCAUGCGUACAAUCGUACCCUGGGUCCUUGUUCUUGGCGGCGUCAACUUUCGCCUUCUUCGUUGCCCUUGUGUGGGCAGGCGGUGGAGCUUGGGGAGCCCUUGACUUUGAAGGUGACGGAAGAGGAGCUUGCGGAGGAGUCGGUGUAGGAGCCCGAGGAGGAGUCGGUGCAGGAGCCUGAGGAGGAGUCAGUGCAGGAGCCUGAGGUGGAGACGGUGCUGGAGCAUGAGGAGGAGACGGUGCAGGAUCCUGAGGAGGAGAUGGCGGAGCCGGAGGAGAUGGUGCACGAGACGCCGCUUGUCGCCCAGGGAGGAUGAUGUACCGCCUGCGCCAUAGAAUAAUGGCAUGGCUUGUGUCUCGUAGAUGCGUCUCACCGUCUCCUCCAGGGUAAUCCAGCUCGAGAUCUUUGUACGCGCCUUCGACCAACUCAACUUCGACUUUGGAGUAUCCUGCUGGAAUCGGCCUGCAGUGGUAAGUACCUGAAGGGUCCGUUGGGAUGGCCAUGUCCGACGCCACCUUCAUGUGGUGAGAGGUUAUUUAUUAGUAAUCAACAUAUAUAAGCAGCAACUAGCGGAAUGGGCAAAUCUAAAAUAUAUAAACUACGAGCUUACCUUUAUUGAUAAGUUUUUGAAAGGAAUAUGCAGCUCACAUGGUGUCCGCUGAGUGAUGUCAUCAACGGGGCAGGUGGAUUCGUCCUGGGUUUGCGUGGCGUCCAUGCUCUGUGAUCCUACCUGCCCCGUUGAGGCGCAGCUGCUACGGUUUCCUGACGGGCUCACCAUUGCAGGAGAAAUGGUCGGCUGGGGAUCAUUGGACCGAUGUGCGGCCAUGCGUUCAUCAACCUUCCUUGCCACCUCCUCUUGCAUGCUGAACUCGUAGCUCGAUACCCUGAACUCAAGAUCUGCAAUCUUCGCCUCGGUAUCUCUCUUGCUACUCAUCCGACUCCUGUACGUGUGGAUGUCCUACUUGAACCCAAUCUUCCAAGGAAUCACCCCUUUCCCUCGUGUUUGUCCUGGAUGCUCUGGAGUCUGCAGGGCGAGUGACAGCUCGUCCCUCUCUCUAUCUGGUCGGAACGUGCCCUGAGAAGAGGCUUCCACUGCGUCUGUUAGUCGACACGCAGCCUCUCGUAUCUGAUCGCCGAAGACCAGUGAGCCAUCAGCUGGGUUGAGCGUUCCACCGUGAGCAUAGUACCAGAACUUCGAUCGUUCCGGCCAAUUAGUGGUGGCCGGUUCGAUACCCCUCUCAAGCAAGCUAGCCUCCAUCUCCUCCCACUUCGGCAUCGCGACGCUAUAGCCGCUUGACCCCAAGUGGUGAUGGUACUUCUUCUUGGCGGCAUUUUCUUUGUUUCUUUCCAUCAUCGCCUGCCCUUGUUCACCUGUCUUAUAUGCAACGAACUCGUCUCAGUGAUCCCUUAGCUUUGGGAAUGUGUCGAAGUUCGGUGUCUGCCCCUUCAGGAUAUAUUUCUUGUACAACUCUCCCUUGAAGCUCUGAAACUGUUCUGCCAUUUUCUUCAGAGUCCACCUUUUCACUUUGUUCUCUGUACCCGCGGGAAGGGUGAAUGUCUCGAGCAUUGUGGUCCACAGCAUCUCUUUCUCCGAAUCUGGCACAAAGCUCUCAUGAUCUCCGCGUGCCCUUGUUCUUCGCCAGUACACCGUACUGACAGGCACGUUAUCCCGCACAACCCAACCGCUGUGACAUACAUAGUUCUUGGCGGCUUUUGCCGGGCACUAGGUCGUCCAUCUUCUUCCACUUCCGUUAUGAUGUGCCGACCCUCAAGCUUCUUCGCGGCACCUCGUUGCCCACGUGCCCUCUUCUGUCCAACGGAGGGUUGACUUCCACUAGCCUCCUCCUCCUGGUUCCCCUCCACAUCCCUUUCCACGUGCCCCUCCUGGUUCCCCUCCGCAUCCCUCUCCACGUUCCCUUCCUCGUUCAAAUACUGGUUUGGAUCCUCGUUCCCCUCUUCUUCGUUCCAGUACUGGCUGCUUCCCUCCGCGAUUGAAUCGUACAAUAUCUGUUCAUCAUCGCGAUCAGCCAUCUGUUCAUACAGGAAACAUCUGCUAAGUCAUGAGACAUUUAUGUUUUAACAAUCUUAUAUUAAAACUCAAAUAAUCUUAUAUGCUAAGACUAAAAUAGUCAUGUAUGCUAAGUGUAACUGUCAUAUAUUAGAACCCUACACAAUCUUACAUGCUAAGUCUAAUUACAAAUCUAAUAAUCUUAUACUAAAACUCAAAUAGUGAUGAUAUAUGCUAAGUCUAGGUGACGUAUAUUAUAGGACCCUAGCUAGUCAAUAAUUAUAUACUAAGUCUAAUUACAAAUAUAAUAAUCUUAUAUUAAAACUCAAAUAAUCUUAUAUGCUAAGAUAAAAAUAGCCAUGUAUGCUAAGUGUAACUGUCGUAUAUUAGAACCCUACACAAUCUUACAUGCUAAGUCUAAUUACAAAUCUAAUAAUCUUAUACUAAAACUCAAAUAGUGAUAUAUAUGCUAAGUCUAGGUGACGUAUAUUAUAGGACCCUAGCUAGUCAAUAAUUAUAUACUAAGUCUAAUUACAAAUAUAAUAAUCUUAUAUUAAAACUCCAAUAAUCUUAUACUAAAACUCAAAUAGUCAUGUAUUCUAAGUGUAACUGUCGUAUAUUAGAACACUACACAAUCUUAUAUGCUAAUUAAGUCUAAUUACAAAUCUAAUAAUCUUAAUUGCAUUACAAAUAUAACAAUCAUAUAUAUAUAAUUACGUCACUUGCCUGGGCGAAUUCUUUCGAGGGCUAGCUCUACCACUCCGGCUUGAGGGACGACUCCGACAACGUCUUUUCUGCAAGAUACAAAAAUAUGUAUUAGGAUAAACGCGAAGUAACAUAUAUUGCAUUUAACGUUCACGUUUCGUUCACGAUAUCGUUCACGUUCGCGUUCUCGUUAAGGUCACGUUUCAUUCACCUACGUUUGUUCGUUCACGUUCAUUAACCUGCCUAUAAUUGCAUUUCACGUUCACGUUCGUCCGACAACGUUCUCAUUCACGUUCAUUCACCUUGUUCUCGUUCACAUUCGUUCUCUCGUUCUCAUUCACAUUCGUUGGCUCGUUCACGUUCGUUCGCUCGUUCUCAUUCACGUUCGUUGGCUCGUUCACGUUCGUUCGCUCGUUCUCGUUCACGUUCAUUCACCUUGUUCUCGUUCACGUUCAUUCGCUCGUUCACAUUCUCGGUGUGGCGGCAGCGGAGCGGCGGCGGGGCGGCGCGGCGGCGGCGUGGCGCCGCGCGCGGCAUCGGGCCGGCGCGUGGCGCGGCGGUGUGGCGCCACGCGCGGCAUCGGGCGUGGUGCGGCGGCGGCGUGCGGCGUCGUGGCGUCUCGUGGCGCAGCGUCGUUGUGGCGCGGCGUCGUGUCGUGACGAGGUCGGCGUCGGCGUCUGAAACUCGGCGGCUGGCGGCAACCGAGAGGGAGAGAGAGAGAUCAAGAUCGGAGAGAGAGAUCGAGAGGGAGGCGGCGCGCGACGGCUCUCACCCUAGAGAUGCGGCGGCGGCGGAGGAGGCAGAGGCGGCGGCGACGACGACGAGCGCGAGACGACAGCGAGAUACGGCGGCGGUGUCAGCGCGGGGAUGCCCUAGGCAAUGGCGGCGAAGGAGAAGCCGAGAGAGAUCGAUCGGGCAAAAACUUCUAAGUGUUGGUGGAGAAGACGAGGGCGCGCAUCGGGAAUAUAUAUAGCCCUAGAUCUUUAGUCCCAGUUGAUGAGAACAACCGGGAGUAAAGAUAUCUUUACUCCCGGUUGACUAAAGAAAAGAUCUUUAGUCCCGGUUGUUCUCAACAACCGGGACUAAAGAUAUCUUUACUCCCGGUUGUUCUCCUCAACCGGGACUAAAGAUCUUUUCCCGCUAUUUCCAAAUUCUUUUUAAACCCGGUUAGGGUUAAGAACCGGGACUACUAAUAAGCGCACUGAAUAUUAUUUUCCAUUACAUAUGUUUUUCUAAAAUAGAAGAUAAUGCAUUACAAUUAUUUAAAGUACAAAGAUUAAUGACAAUUACUUCGAAAAAUUAUUGUUGUCUGUAAUAAAUUAAGUGGAUAAAACGUAAUAAGCAAAUAUAUGAUUUAAAAUUAACAAAAAUUCUAAUAAUCAUAUAUACUUAGCAUAUGAAUGAUAUUAUUAAAUUGGUAAAAACUCUAAUUAACAUAUGUAUAUACAUACGGCAUGAUUUAAAAUUAAUAAAAAUUGUAAUCAUCAUAUAUACUUAGCAUAGGAAUUAUAUUAAAUUAAAUUGUGAAAAACUCUAAUUAACAUAUGUAAAUGCCACAUGCAUGAUUUAAAAAUUUUAAAAAUUCGAAUAGUCAUAUAUAAUUAGCAUAUGAAUGAUAGUAAAUUAAAUUGUGAAAAACUCUAAUUAACAUAUGUAAAUGCCACAUGCAUGAUUUGAAACUUUUAAAAAUUCUCUUGUCAAUUAUAAUUAGCAUAUGAAUGAUAGUAAAUUAAAUGUUAAAAACUCUAAUUAACAUAUGAAAUUGCCACCUGCGUGAUUUAAAACUUUUAAAAAUUGUAAGGAUCGCAUAUAACUAGCAUAUACAUGAUUUAAACUUGUUAAAACCUCUAAUAAUCGUGCGUAAUUAACAUAUGCCAUACAUCAAUUGAUUUAUAUGGAUAAUCAAUACAUCCAAAAUAGUUUACAUCGUGUACACAAUAAUUACGGCAAUACAUCGGCGGUGACGGUUGACCGCACGUACUUUCUCCUCACUAUUGUUCCCUCCUUGUGAUCGCUACGUGAGUAAGGGGUGUCUUCAUUUGAUAGGAGGAUGCUAGGGUCAAUCGUCACCGUGAAAGGGGGUUGCCCAUCCAACUGAUCGUAAUCCUCGUCAGUCUUGUCCUCAACUCCGACGAUUUUUCUUUUGCCUGGGAGAACCACGUGAUGCUUAGGCUCGUCAGGUCCUCUGCCCUUCUUUCCUUUGCUAGACAUGUCCUUCACGAAAAAGACUUGCGUUACAUCAUUGGCAAGGACAAAAGGUUCGUCCGAGUAUCCAACCUUGUUAUGGUCAACCGUUGUCAUCCCACUGUAAUCAAUCAUUACGCCUCCACCAGUCAACCUAACCCAUUGGCACCGGAACAGAGGGACCUUGAGAGGACCAUAGUCAAGUUCCCAUAUGUCCUCGAUGGCACCGUAAUACGUGCCAGUUGUUCCAUCGUGUCCCAUGGCAUCGACACGAACAGCACUGUUUUGGUUCGUGCUCAUCAUGUCUUGGGCUAUCGUGUAGAAUGUGUACCCAUUAAUCUCAUAUCCCUGGAAUGUCGCGAUCGACCCAGACGGUCCCCUCGCUAGGAAGGCAAGUUGUUGGUUGAUCGACUCGUUACCCAUGAGAUGUUGUCGUAUCCACGCGGGGAAAGUAUCAAUGUGAUGCCGUGUAAUACAUGCAUCGGACUUACCGAUGUUCCUGGCACGAACUAGAGCCAAGUGCUCCUCGAUGUAAGGAGCUACCAAUGAAGAUUGUUGCAAAACCGUGGAAUGGGCUUUACGAAAUAAAUUGUUGUCUACCGUCAUUAUUGCUUUCCUUCCGAGAGUUCCCUUUCCUCGUAGUCUCCCUUCAUGGCGUGAUUCAGGUACCCCGAUUGGGCGAAGAUCUUCGAUAAAUUCUACGCAAAAUUCGAUGACCUCCUCUGUUCCAUAACCCUUGGCGAUGCUUGCCUCUAGACGAGCACGGUUACGAACAUACUUCUUCAGAAUGCCCAUGUACCUCUCGAAAGGAAACAUGUUGUGUAGGUACACAGGUCCGAGAAUACUGAUCUCUUUCACAAGGUGACAAAGCAGAUGCGUCAUUAUAUUGAAAAAUGAAGGUGGAAAUAUCAACUCAAAACUGACGAGACAUUGCACCACAUCAUUCUGAAGGGCUUCUAAUCUAUCCGGAUCGAUGACCUUCUGCGAAAUUGUGUUCAUGAAUGCACAUAGCUUUGUUAUUGUUGCCCGGACAUUAUCUGGAAGGAUACCCCUUAUUACAACUGGUAGUAGUUGUGUCAUCAACACGUGACAGUCAUGAGACUUUAGGUUUGUGAACUUCUUCUCCUUCGUGCUUAUUAUUCGCUUGAUAUUCGUGGUGUAUCCAGACGGUACCUUUAUGCUCUCCAAGCAUUCAAACAUACUUUCCUUCUCUGCCUUGCUAAGAGUGUAGCUGGUUGGACUCAAGUAAUGGCUUCCUUUCUCCUUUGGUUCCGGGUGAAGGUCGCCGCGUUGUUCCAUAUGCUUCAGAUCAUUACGUGCUUCCAGUGUAUCUUUCGACUUUCCGUAUACACCUAGGAAGCCAAGAAGAUUUACGCAAAGGUUCUUAGUGAGGUGCAUCAUGUCGAUUGCGUGGCGUACGUCCAAGAAUUCCCAAUAGGGUAACUCCCAAAAUAUAGAGUUCUUUUUCCACAUCACCGCGUGACCAUCUGCGCUCUCUAUAGGCUGGCUUCCAGGCCCCUUUCCGAACACUACUUUAAGAUCUUUAACCAUAGCAAACACUGUUUUCCCGAUGCGAUGUUUAGGCUUCGUACGGUGGUCAGCCUUAUGUUUGAAGUGCUUGCCUUUCUUCCGUACCGGGUGGUUUGCUGCAAGGAAUCGACGAUGACCCAUGUAUACAACCUUCCUACAGUGCUUAAGAUACGUACUUUCUGUUUUAUCCAUACAGUGAGUGCAAGCCUUGUACCCCUUGUUGGACUGUCCGGAUAGGUUGCUAAGUGCAAGCCAAUCGUUGAUGGUUAUGAACAGUAGCGCUCGUAUGUUAAACUCCUCAUGUUUGUCCUCGUCCCACACGGGGACACCUUCCUUCUUCCACAACAGCUUAAGAUCUUCGACCAGUGGUCUUAGGUGCAUAUCGAUGUUGUUACCAGGUUGCUUGGGGCCUUGAAUAAUAAUCGGCAUCAUUAUGUACUUCCUCUUCAUGCAUAGCCAGGGGGGGAGGUUGUAGAUACACAUCGUAACGGGCCAAGUGCUAUGGCCACUGCUCAUCUCUCCAAAAGGAUUCAUGCCAUCCGUACUCAAACCAAACCGUAUGUUUCGUGCGUCCUUUCCAAAUUCUUUAAAUUUUCUGUCUAUGUUUCGCCACUGCGAACCAUCGGCGGGGUGUCUCAGCAUCCUGUCCUGUUGACGCUCUUCAGCGUGCCAUCGCAUCAUUCUAGCAUUCCCCUUGUUCCUGAACAAAAGCCUUAUCCGUGGUAUUAUAGGGAAAUACCACAUCACCUUAGCAGGAAUUAUCUUCUUUGUUAGCUGCCCGUCAACUUCUCCUGGAUCGUCUCAUCUAAUCUUGUAUCGUAGUGCUUUGCAAACAGGCCAUGCUUCUAGGUUCUCAUACUCCUCACCGUGAUAUAGGAUACAAUCAUUCGGACAUGCGUGAAUCUUCUGAACUUCCAGUCCUAGCGGGCAGACUAUCUUCUUAGCCUCGUACGUUGUCUCGGACAAUUUGUUUCCCUCCGGAAGAAUGUUCUUGACGAGUUUCAAUAAAUUGCCAAAUGCCUUGUUACUAACCCCAUUUUUUGCCUUCCAUUGCAAGAACUCCAGAGUGGUAUCCAACUUUUUGUGCCCCUGCUCGCAACCUGGGUACAACGAAGUUCUGUGGUCCUCUAACAUCUUGUCCAAUUUAUGGGCUCCCUUUUCACUUUCGCAGUCCUCCUUGGCGUCCUGCAACAUCUGACCAAGAUCAUCCGCAACGUCGUUACCAUCAGCAUCCCUUUCCUCCUCGCCCGUUUGAUUUCCUUCAAAUCCAACGUACUGAGCAAAGUCCGGAAUAUUGUCGUCUUCACUUCAUCUUCUUCCAUUUCAACACCUUGCUCUCCGUGGAAUGUCCAACAAUUAUAUCUUGGCAUGAACCCCGACUCAAACAAGUGGAAAUGAAUAGUCCUGGAUGCAGAAUACUCCUUCUGAUUCUUACACUUAUUGCAUGGACAACAAAUAAAACCCCUUUGCCUGUUAGCUUCGGCCACUCUCAAAAAAUAGUGCACGCCGUCAAUAAACUCUUUGGACCGCCGGUCAGCGUACAUCCAUUGCCGAUCCAUCUACAUGAGUCGAAAAAAAAUCGUACAAAAAUAAUUAUUCUUACAAUAAUGACAGUCAUGCAAUAAUUAUAAGAUAAUUACAAACUGUUUCAACAGUCAUACAAUAAUGACAUAUCUUUAUUCAUACAAAAAUCAUAAAAUAUUACACCAAAUAAUUCUUAUUUACUAUUUCUAAAGUUUUAAACUAAUUUUAAUGUGUUUUACUUCUUUUAAUUUUCAUUUUAGUUUGUUUUCUAGUAUUCAAGAUUAACUUUCAUUAUAGUUUUCCUUCUCAACUAUUUUAUAAAACCUUCUUUAGCAAAUCAACUAAAUUUCUAUAUAUUCUUUCUUCCCCACACAAAUUUUCUCCCUCAUCAACUUACAACUAAAUUUUGGAGACAAAAAAGUGUGCAAAACAUAGCUGCAAAUGUAAUAUGACAAAAAAAACAUUGGAGGAUGAAGUUGUAAACCUUUUAGGCACCUCCGAUUUGUAUGUAAUCACCGAAAUAAAUUCACUAGAAAUUUUGGCAUGACCUCCCCUCUUUUUUGAAGAAAUUUUGAAACUUGCUCGGGCAGCUGGAGGAGGAAGAAGACAUAUAUAUAGAGGUGGGACUUUAGUCCCGGUUGGUGUUACCAACCGGGGCUAAAGAUCCCCGAGAUCUUUAGUCCCGGUUGGUAUUACCAACCAGGAUUAAAGUUACGAUCUUUAGUCCCGGUUGGUGUUACCAACCGGGACUAAAAAUCCCGGGGGGCCUGACAGGCCCUGACAGCAUUUGAACCGGGACUAAAGAUCAAAUAUGCCCGUUACCCUUUUUAACCGGGACUAAAGAUCAUCUUUAGCCCCGGUUUUUAUUGCAUCCGGGACUAUUGUGGAAUUCGGCCGACCGACGAAAGAUGGUCUCCACCAGUGCACGCAAGAGAGUGGAAAAAAAAUAAGAUGCGUACCUAAAAUCAAACCGGCUAAUAAUAAGACAUGUAUGUACCUAUAAGCAAGACAUGUAAAAGAAAGAGUCCGAACCUCCCACCAGAUUUUUACUUUGUUUUAACACCUGUUCACUUUUCUUGAAAUUAUUUUUAUUAAUGAUGUAAAAGAUAAUUGUCAUAAAUAUUUUAUAGUAGAUUAGUGUAGAUUAUUUCUCUUUUCAAACACCGUACAAACGCACAUGUUAAUUAACCCAUCUCUUUAGAUAUACAUACUCACAUCCUAUUCAUAGGAGGGGAAAAAGUAAUGUUACUAUUCAUCAUCGAAAAAAUGGGAAAAUAACAUAAGUACUCCCUCUGAAAAGGAAUCAAUUGAAUAAAUCUAAACAAGUUAUCCGGAUUCAUCAGAGAUGGCUAUUCACCGAAAAAAACCAUACCUUCGUACAAUGAGAAAAAUAUUAAUCCUUCCCUCAUAAUUCUUAAAUAAAAAUAUAAAUAUUGCGCCAUGUGACACCAUCGAUUUUCAUUUAAAUCGGUGGACCCAUAUCCAUAUUAAGGCCUCCUCUGAAUAAAGCGAAAGUUUGCUACAGGACACCAAAAAAUAUGUAAUUAGCUAGGUGACACUGUAAGAACGUAUAUCUGCUAUGAGUAAAAAAAUGGUAAUUAGCUGCUGGACACUUGUGGCAUAUUUUGUUAUAUCCAAAUGAAAAGGAGAGAAACAAUCGUGAAAGUAUAUUUUGCCCCUUGCUACUAUGCGCGGCUCGCAUAUAUAUAGCUCUGACGCCGUGGUGGCCACGACAAGGGCGGCAGAGGGUAUGGCAGCGCAGCGCUACUGCGAGACCGACUGCGAUAGUCUGCGCUCUGUGGUGCCUGCUCGACAUGAACCAGGAGGUGUUCCAAGUUGUGCUCAUCCCAAGCAUGGUGUGUGGCAAAGCAUCGGUGCCGGCAUGGCCCUUGCACUGCAACGGUGACGAAGCAGGAACAACGCGGAGCCAUGGGCCCUGGCGCACUCCUUGAACCCCUCUCCCCUAGAGAGCCACCUCGCUAGCAGCGGGUGCAGUGGCAAUGUCGAAGGUGUAUGCGAGCCGGACUUAGUAAGCAGGGGCAAAAUCAUACUUUUGUGAUUGUUUUUCUCUCGAUUUGCUUUGGAUAUUAUAAAAUAAUGUCGCGGGUGUCCAACAGUUAAAUUAUUAAUUUUUCGCGGUACUAAAAUAAAAGAAAGUACUAAAAUAGCUCACCAAAAAUCAAAAUAUCCCACCUUAAUUUUUUACAAAACUGGUAGACCUAUUACUUAUAUCAUGUUAGACAUCUAACAACUUUCUAUCAACUUAAUUAAUUUUUCUCUUACCAUGUAUAUAGGAGGUAUUUACCAAAUUUGAUAUUUAUGCUUUUAUCAAUAAAUUAUCAUUUUAGGAGAUAAAUUAAUAAUCUUAAGAUGGUCAUAGCAUCUAAAUUAUAUAUAUGAUCUAUGAAGUCACGUCACGUGGCCAGUUGAACAACAUAUUGAUCAUACUAAGCACAUUGGUUACACUAAGAAAUCUUAGCAGUGAAACAACCAUAAUGUGGCCUCAACAAUAUAUAAGCCAAUUCUAGAUAUGAAUUAAAAGACCUUAUCCAUUUUUGUUUGGUACAACUUACUACGAUACAUUGUGAAUUCGUGAAAUUUAGCAUAUAACAAUCUAAAAAUGUGUAAUUAUUACAUGACGCCCCAGUUUUGUGGUAAUUUGCUAAAAAAAAUACUACGACCUCUUUUUUAAAUUUUCUUAAUUGGAACGAGAUAAUUUAUAAUGGAUGCCUUUACCCCAUGCCGAGUUGUAGGAUCAACCCACUUAUAUUUUCACCCUAAAAUACAGAGAUCAAAGCAUUGCAAAGAUGGUUCAUAGAGUGGAAUUCUCAAGAAAAAAUGAAGAUGAAAGGAAUGAAAAUUGAACAAAGUUUAUCUAAUUUUAAUUUUUUUUGUUGGGUUUAUAACCCAUUCUAAAUAGAAAUAUUCAAAAACUUUAGCAAGACUAAUAAAAUGAAUAUAUUUAAAAUUUCAAACAGAAUCUAACAAAAAAAAUUAGACAUUUAUAGGAAACACAUCUAUUAUUUCAACACAAAAUUUUCUCAUGAACUAAAAACUACACGGUUUAAAAUAAUUUUAGUUCAUAAUUUAUAUGUUGCAAGUAACCAGUGUUCAAAGCAUGUUAAAUAAAUUCAAUUUUAGUUUAUGAUAAAGUAAAAUAAUAUUUUUUAUAGAAAACCACCUACACAUGGACAUUCGUAAUAAAAUUUCACACAUGCCUACGCAUAUGCGUGGGCUACCUUCCUAGUUUUAAAGAAAAAGAAAAGGAGCAUGCAAAACUAUUCAAAUUGGGGGUUGACUCAACAUGAAUGAUUAACGGAAGGCUUUCCUUCCUAGCAAAUGAGUUCCCUUGUUUGGAAGGAAGGAAGGAAUGAUAGCCUAUAGAAAUGAUAGAGCCAUGGCAAAGAAUUGGCCAUUGGAAUGUAAGAAAAUCAGUUUGGUUACCGAUGUGCGACUGAUCGAGAGAAUUCAGCACUGGCAACACAUAGGGAGGCAACAGUGUGCAAUCAAGGAGGCUAGAAGAGCUUCGUAUUUUGCAUGCGGGUAUCAAAUUCUGCAUGCAUCUCUUAAGCCCUAGCAUAUGGUGUAAUGGAAAUAUCGAUGCACUCUGAUCAGCAUAACUUGAUAAUUUCACUGGAGUAUAAUUUUACUACAAAAGUCCUCACUUCCUUUCUAUCCGAAAUUCACGACAGAGAUUUGGUUUGUAGCUUCUAUUACACUCCGCUUGGUGAAACUGAAUAACAUAUUAACAUGUGUCCAUAUAUAUAUAUAUAUAUAUAUAUAUAUAUAUAUAUAUAUAUAUAGGGAAACUCGUAUAUGAAUCGAAGUUCAUAUGAACCAUAAAUCUUGACCGUUGAGGGUUCCAAGAUACGUGCGCAAGUGGCUAAGAGUUAGGAGAAUUGAGUUCAACUAGUAGGACUGUUCCUUUCUUAAUUACACUAGCAAACAGUUAUGGUGCUCACGCACAAGUAGUACAGAAAUGCUUUUUUUUUUCACACUUCAAGCACAGCCUUGUUUUGUCUUGUCACUCAUUCAUGCCAAUCUUAUAUUUUUGACCAACCUAGUCAGGAGAGUUGGGAAGACUAGCUGCGUACUAGCUUUUUUCCCUUGAUCCGACAUUCACUGUGCAAAACUAAUUUUAUAAAUUUAUUUGUAUAUUUGGGUAAGUAAACAUUGCUAAUUAGCUGAUCUAAUCAUUUUUUGCAUGUCAAGUGAUACUAUAUAAUCUCAAAAUUGGCUCUUUACCGGUGGUAUACUAGUAUUAUGGCGGGAUUACAUUACUUUUGUAAUUACAAUUAGCAUGACUAGAUUGGUUGGUUAGAAAGACAUAUACGCACCACACAAGUUGAUUGGCAGUUAAUGGAUACCAAAAUUGACCAAAGCAUAUAUCAAAAUCUAGGUACAUUAGUUGAUGGGCCACAUGCUUUUUUAUCUCACAGACAAUAUUUUCUCUAGACAUUAUUUUCUCUAGAUUAUAGAAAAAUAGAUUUAUGAUUAGCAUAUAUUUGUAGAAAUAUCAGUCAUGUAUUUUUUAUUUCAAUAAAUCCCAAGUGAUAUAUCAUUUUCAGACAUCACUUUAAAUGUCAUUUUCACAAAAUAUCAUGUUUGGGUGGUGAGUGGACAUUCAUCUUGAUAUAUUUUCUAAGCAGACUAUAACAAAAUGAGAUGUUAACAUAUAGAUGUAAAAAAAAUACCAGACAUGUGUUCUUUUAUUUUAAUACACGCCAAAGUGAUAUAGCGCAGUUAUAUAUAACUGAUAGACACAAUGACCAACUGACAAAAACUGGUACUCCCUCCGUUGUUUUUUAAUAGAUGACGCCGUUGACUUUUUCUCACAUGUUUGAAUAUUCGUCUUAUUCAAAAACUUUAUGCAAUUGUAUAAGAUAUAAAUCACACUUAAAGUACUAUGAGUGAUAAAACAACUCAUAAUAAAAUAAAUUAUAAUUACGUAAAAUUUUUGAAUAAGACGAAUGGUCAAACAUGUGAGAAAAAAUCAACGGCGUCAUCUAUUGAAAAACGGAGGUAGUAGUAUUUUAAAGCAUGCCCAUUUCAUCACCAAAUGUGAUUUAGUAUGCAUUCGAACUAGCUGUUAUGGCACGCGAGACGAUAUAAAUCAUUAGCGAUUGUAAGUUUUAAAAAUAGAUUUAUUUAAUUUUUUUAAAAAAACUUCUAUAUAGAAAUCUAUUACAAAGAAACAUACCGUUUUAGCAUAUUGAAAACGUACUCACAUUAAGUGAGAGAUUUAUUCAACAAAAACUCACUAACGUGCAAAGUGAAGUUGUGCAUGAGAAAAAGGAAUAUGAAGUUGGGAAACUUAAGAACACGUCCUAAAUCAUUUUUGCAAAGUGAUGUCCGAAAAUAAUAUUGCAAAAUGAUUUCAAUCACAGGCGUGUGACGUCGGCUUGGCUAGACACAAGAUAAAGUUUUGACCAAACAGGUGCUCCUGUACCAGCAUGGGACUUUGGUGUCAGGAUGUGGCCAUGUGGGUGCGGCAGUUGUACAGCUAUUACCAAGCAAAUCAGCAUGCAUAUAGCUCUCUAUAGGAAUGGAACGGAGUAGGUACAUCUUACACUUGCAUUAGACAUAAUAGAUCAAACACAUCCCUGUGCAAUGCGUACACGUGUCAGGCAUAUGAGUAAGGCGCAUAUGAACCGUGUCAAAAGUUUCAACUUUACGGCAAUAUCAAUCAACUAAAAGUCCUAUCUAUCAAUCCUUACAGCGGAUUUGUCGGGUACGAGAGUGGUUGAAUAAGUAUUGCAUGUGGAAGGAAGUAGACGAAAAAGAUUUUGGAUUCGAAAUAGGCGCAUUCGACUAAGUCGUACUUUGAAUCCAAUUUCAAGUUCGAUUAGAAGGAUAGAAAGGCCGCGAGGAUCGGAAAAGAAAAUUCAAAUCUUUUUAAUUGCUUCUCCUUUUUUGCUAUUUUCUUAUUAUUUAUAUAAUCCAUUCGAUUCUAUUUUUAGAAUACUAAAGUAUUUAAAAAAAGUAUUCUAUAAAAAAUCUUUUUUGGCAAACUCAAAAAUACAAUAGUCAAUAUUCGUUAUAAUAGAUAUACUUAAUUAUAACAUAAAAAUCUUAAGAUAUUUUUUGAAUAGAUCAAAUCGAAUAGAUAGAAAUAGUAAAUUUGAAUGGAGACACCUAUUCUAUGAUGGAUUUUAACUUACCCUCUAUUUUCGUGCCUUUAGUAGGCUUAGUAUUUCCGGCAAUUGCAAUGGCUUCUUUAUUUCUUUAUGUGCAGAAAAAUAAGAUUGUCUAGAACCGACGGGAACGAAUUUUCUCAAUGUAUUUCCACACAGGAUCAUAAUACGGAUCUUUUGUAGUGUAAGUAAUAUAAUAUGGUAUGUUAUGUGGCUCUUUCUACACACAAAUGCAAACCCGCUAUGGAUGGGGAUUAUGGAUGCGGAUAUAGGCUACGAGCAUAAAUGCAUGCAUAUGCGGAACCAGGUAUAGUGAGUUUUUUUAAGUGGAUCAACAAAUACUUUUUGAAUAGAAAGUCAAUAUAUCUAACCAAUUAUUUUACAGGAGUAUCUAGUUGGCGAAGGCGAUUUCAGAAUAAAAAAAGUAAAGUCAAAAUCAUUUAGCUUAUUCUCUCAAUUUCAAUCGACCGCUGUUAGUAUAUCUAAUAUGAAUUGGCGAUCAGAACACAUAUGGAUAGAACUUCUAAAAGGUUCUCGAAAAAGAGGUAAUUUUUUCUGGGCCUGUAUUCUUUUUCUAGGUUCACUAGGAUUCUUAGCGGUUGGAGCUUCCAGUUAUCUUGGUAAGAAUAUUAUAUCUGUACUUCCAUCUCAACAAAUUCUUUUUUUCCCACAGGGGGUCGUGAUGUCUUUCUACGGAAUCGCAGGCCUAUUCAUUAGUGCUUACUUGUGGUGCACUAUUUUGUGGAAUGUAGGCAGUGGUUAUGACCGAUUCGAUAAAAAAGAGGGGGUAGUGUGCAUUUUUCGUUGGGGAUUCCCUGGAAUAAAACGUCGUGUCUUCCUUCGAUUCCUUAUGCGGGAUAUCCAAUCAAUUAGAAUUCAGGUUAAAGAAUGUCUUUUUUCUCGUCAUAUCCUUUAUAUGGAAAUCCGUGGCCAGGGGGCCAUUCCCUUGACUCGUACUGAUGAGAAGUUUUUUACUCCACGAGAAAUUGAACAAAAAGCUGCCGAAUUGGCUUAUUUCUUGCGCAUACCAAUGGAAGUAUUUUGAGUACCAAUUGAAUUUUUUGAAAUGAAUUGAAUGAAGAAGAAUUGGAAGAAGAAAAGUUUUCUCAACACGAGGGAAAAGGUCCCUUCGAAAUUGCAUUAUUGUAAGGGGAUUUUGAGUAUUUAUCUAAAGGAAGGAACAAAUGAGGAUAAGAGAAAAUUGCUUCUAAUUUGUCCAAGUGGGAUAUAUGGAGUAAUAUUCUUCCAUUUUCAUCCGAAAGGACUUUUUUCUAUUUCUCUAUUCCACUCCAUCUAGAUCUAAGAAAGAACUCAAUGCAAUGAAAUUCUACUAUUAUAGAAAAAAGAGGAAUAGAUACAAGGUCUCAAACCUUGUUAUAGAAUUUUUCCUUCAAAGAAAAAGAAAUAUCAUAUAGAGUCAGCGAAUAAAGCGGAUUCAUUAACACCUCAAUUUACAGAUCAAAAAUGAAAAAAAAAAAAGAAAGCAUUGCCUUCUUUCCUAUAUCUUGUAUUUAUCGUACUUUUGCCUUGGGAAGUCUCUUUCUCUUUUAACAAAUGUCUGGAACUUUGGAUUAAGAAUUGGUGGAAUACCAGGCAAUCCCAAACUCUCUUAACUGCUAUUCAAGAGAAAAGAGUUCUAGAAAGAUUCAUGGAAUUAGAAGACCUUUUUAUCUUGGACGAAAUGAUAAAAGAGAAACCGAAUACACAUGUACAAAACCCCCCUAUAGGAAUACGCAAGGAAAUAAUACAAUUGGCCAAAAUAGAUAAUGAGAGUCAUCUCCAUAUCAUUUUGCAUUUCUCGACAAAUAUAAUCUGUUUGGCUAUUCUAAGUGGUUCUUUUUUUCUGGGUAAAGAGUAACUUGUUAUUUUGAAUUCUUGGAUUCAGGAAUUCUUCUAUAACUUAAAUGACUCAGUAAAAGCUUUUUUUAUUCUUUUAGUUACUGAUUUUUUUUGUUGGAUUUCACUCCACCCGCGGUUGGGAACUACUUAUUCGUUGGGUCUAUAACGAUCUUGGAUGGGUUCCUAACGAGCUAAUUUUCACUAUUUUUGUUUGUAGUUUUCCUAUGAUUCUAGAUACAUGUUUGAAAUUUUGGGUCUUUU
rnacentral:lncRNA from 1 species